UCCCAACCUUGAUGCCUUGAAGACCUUUAACCCGCACAAUAAUUGGAUAUUUCCUGUGGAAAACACCUUUUGGUAAAAUCUUGAGCUUACAUGGAAAGACAGCUUCCUUGUCUGCAGCAGCUAACUCCUUCUCCUUUUCCUCCUUGGGGUUUUUCAUAUAGGCCUUAAUCACCUCAUGAAUUAUAUCACCAACAAAAAUGCCAAGAUCUUCUUUUCAAGCAUCACACUGGCCUUCUUCACCCACAGUUGCUCUCUCUCAAGCAAGUUCCCUUGAACUUGUGACUCAGAGUCUCACAAGUUCCUGCUUCUGCAACCAUUGCAUUUGGCCCCAUCCCUACAUUUUAAACACAAACAUUAGUAUUCAUAGUUUCAUACAAAAAGUUCAUUUACAUCUAGUAAUAGAGAUUAAAACAGUGAGAAAAUCAGAAGGAUGUUGCUCAUAUAUGAUUAUACCAGAAGCAUGAGAGCAACAAAGAAAAGUCGAAAGAUAAGCUUCCUCCUCCACAGCAGCUAGCUCCUUCUCCUUUUCAUCCUUGAGGUUUUUCAUAUAGGCCUCAAUCACCUCAUGCAUUAUAUCACCAACAAAAAUCUUCACACCCAAUUUAUCUGCUAGUUUCUGGGCCUCGGGUGUCACUUUGACCUCAAAUGCCAAGAUCUUCUUUUCAAGCAUCACAUUGGCCUUCUUCACGAACCGGAAUAUCAACUUCUUGAGCCUUCAGAAACUCUAGCAUUGCUUCCAAAGAGCCUUGAGCUGAUGCUUGUGCACAUACACCUUUGUCUCCAGAACUGCUGUUACCACCACUCAUGUUGUCGUUCACUAGAACACAAUUCAUCAUGUCUUCCAUAGCUGCUUCCUUGAUUUCUUCCAAGUCAACAUCAGGCCUUAUGACAUAGAGAGCAGUGCCAGCAAUAGCAUGUUUAAACCCCUGUGGUGAUGUGAUCUUGAUAGCCUGUGCAGCUCUGAUUUCACUAUGAUGCUGAUACUUUCCCUUCACACAAAGCUCAUUAACCAAUAUAACAUCAAUUGUUGUCCCAUUAACCAAUAUAACAUCAAAUGUUGUCCCAAGACCUUCAACAUAAUUGACCUCCAACAAUGUACACCGCACUUCAUUGAUGUAAGUAAACUUCUCAGCCAUGGAUUUCUGAGACCAAUAGACCAUCAGUGACAACAAAUCAGGAAUGUCUUCACCACUCUUGGCACUUAUAGGUACAAUGCUGUGUGUAUCCCUCAUUCUUUUGUUCUCAUCCAAAUUCAAUUUCAUAUUGAUCCCCUGCGCCUUGAACUGAGUGAUAUCUCCUCAACUUUCUUAUUGACUGAUAUUUCACAUCCUUUCACAUCCUUGUUGACAAUUGGUGCAUUUGGACAAGGAUUCCACCCGCAGAGCCUGUCCACCUUAUUCAAUUGCAACAUUGCAUAAACAAUGCCUGGUAGGAGUUUUAAAACCAAAACCUUGAUAUCUUUACUGAAGACCAUUUUAAAACAUGUUUAACCAAAAACUUAUAUUGGAACCCAAUGUGUAACAGUAGUUAGAAGUAAGAACAGUAACUUGAUGGUUAAAAGGAAAUUGCAGCUUAGAGGAAAUUUUUCUCAAAACAUACAUAACAGACCAAAGCAAUAGAAGGAUACCUAAAUGUCCUUGCUCAAAAUAUAAGCUGAAUCAAACUGACCAUGGACAUAUCUACCAUAUACAACGUGUUAAUCAAUCCAGAUAGAAUAACACUAAGGCUGCUUAUCACCCCCAGCUUAGUCAGUUUAUUAUCAGCAGUGCUGCCAAUAAUGUUUCAUUGAAUUUGAAACAUACAGAGGAAGUUCAUGGACAUUACCUGGAGGAGUAGCCACGAACACAACUCUAUUCUCUUUAGUGAUUCCGAAAACAUCUUUCAGCACCGGGAAUGAGUUUUUCUUCUCAAACCUCCUCAUUUUCUUAUACACUUGUCAAAAAACCGACAAUGCCAUUCGGCUCGCUCAGCUUUAUCUCCUCGAUCCACUCCGCCCAAGUCACAAACAACUCCGAAAAAAGUAACAAUCUGGCACAGGCUACCGUGAAUCCUACUACUUCUUUUACAGCAGAGGCUGGCCUGCCUGCAUAGUAGCCGGUCCGGGCUUGAAGAAAUUAGGUGCCGGUCUGGGACCAUGCCCAACCCUAAUAAACAGCUCGCUUAAAAGAAGGACAACUUGGUCAUUUCUCAAACCAUACCUAAAAAUCGAUGUGUGAGAGAAACACACUGUGCAACGAUGAGUGGGAACCCCCCGGCGAGUUCAAAGAGGGUUGUGUGGGUACCAAAAGCAGCGACCGGGAAUCCUUCUACCCCGACCGUGAAUCCUACUACCCUUGCCGUGAAUCCUACUACCCUUACCGCCGUGAAUCCUCUAACGCCUGCUGUGAAUCCUACUACUUCUAGCGCCACGAUUGUGCAGAGUGCGAUUCUGUGGAGUGAGUUAUCGUGUUACAGACUCAAAGCUGCAGCUUUUCAGUUCCUCGAAGGUUUUUGGUUCCAAAGUUCAAUCGCACCUACUAUGUGUACGAUAACAACAUUGAGGGUACGGCACGGCGGGCCCACCCUCAUUCAUUUUCCCAGCCGAGAGGAGGCUUUAGAGGCGGCCCGAGCUCUAAAGCCAUUACCGAAGUUUCUUCAGCUUGUGAAGAUAGUAGAUCCUAUUCCUUCUAAGAAUCCUUCCGCCAAAUCGUUAUUUUUUCCGAAGUUGUUUGUCACUUGGAUGUAGUGAAUCGAGGAGAUACUUAAAGCUGAGCGAGCCGCUGACGUUGGAGAGAUGACAUUGUCGGUUUUUAGGCAAGUGUAUAAGACAGUGAGGAGUAGGUUUGAGAAAAAAGACUCAUUCCCGGUGCUGAAAGAUGCUUUUAGAAUCACUAAAAAGAAUAGAGUUGUGUUCGUGGCUGCUCCUAUAUGUAAUGUUCUUCAUAAACUCACUUCAAUUUAAAAAGAACAUUACAUGUAGGAGCAGCCACGAACACAACUCUAUUCUCUUUAGUGAUUCUGAAAGCAUCUUUCAGCACCGGGAAUGAGUCUUUCUUCUCAAACCUACUCCUCACUGUUUUAUACAUUUGCCGAAAAACCGACAAUGUUAUCUCUCUAACGUCAGCGGCUCGUUUAGCUUUGAGUAUCUCCUCAAUCCACUACAUCUAAGUGACAAAUAACUUCGGAAAAAAUAACGAUCUGGCAGAAGGAUUCUUAGAAGGAAUAGGAUCUACUAUCUUCACAGGAUGAAGAAACUUCGGUAAUGGCUUUAGAGCUCGGGCCGCCUCUAAAGCCUCCUCUCGGCUGGGAAAAUGAAUGAGGGUGUCGCCCGCCGUGCCGUACCCUCAAUGUUGUCAUCGUACACAUAAUAGAUGCGAUUGAACUUUGGAACCAAAAACCUUUGAGGAACCGAAAAGCUACUGUUUUGAGUCUGUAACACGAUCAACUCACUUCACGGAGUAGCACUCUGCACAAUCGUGACACCAAAAGUAGUAGGAUUCACAACAAGCGUAGGAGGAUUCACGACAGUAGGGGUAAUAGGAUUCACGGCCGGGGUAGUAGGGUUCACGGUCGGGGUAGAAGGAUUCUUGGUCGCUGCUUUCAGUACCCACACAGCCUUCUUCGAACUCGCCAGGGGGUUCCCACUCAUCGCUGCGCAGUGCGUUUCUCUCACACAGCGAUUUUUAAGUCUGAUUUGAGAAAUGACCAAGUUGUCAUUCUUUUAAGCGAGCUGUUAUUAGGGCUGGACACCGUCCCAGACCAGCACCUAAUUCUUCAAGCCCGGGCCCGGACCGGCUACUGUGUAGGCGGGCCAGUCUCUGCUGUAAAAUUUUCCGGGACGGGCAAAAACCCAGACCGACAUAAACCGGGCCAGUCUUGCCGGUUUUCCGGGCUUUUUUUUUCACUCCGCCGCAUCUGGUUCCGAUGAAGCAAUUCAUAGUGAGAAACAUCUGAAAACCAACACAAUCAAACCAACCAUUUGUUGAAAGAUCUCAACUUUACACAAAACUCAAUAGUUAUUGAAAUUAAGAUCGAUUCAUAUACCAAUUCACCGCCGCCGAUUCAGGACUUGUUUUUGCUCUGAGUCAACAGACGAUCUCAUAUACCAAUUCGCCGGCGCCGAUUCGACGUGGACUGAAGAUUGAAGUUACAUGAUCGACUGAGGUGACCGAAACGAGUGUUUGAGAUCUGAAAAUUUGAAGGCUGAAAGGGAAUUCUAUUUUUCUGGGUUCGAUUUCAGAGAGGGAUUUGAUUUUUGAGAGAGAAAUAAUUAUCUUCUAUCCGGCGAAUCGUUGUGUAUAGAAACCAGAAAUUGAAAGACUGAUAUAGAUGGAGAGAGGGAGAGGGAGUGAGUGCCCCAAGCAAAAGCAGAAAACAGCAGUCGGCACUACAGCACUACAGCACAAGCUUUGUCUCUGUACUAGAGAGAGAAACAAGUAUAUAAAGAUAGAGAAGGGAGAAGAGACGAAUACAAAGUGGUAGAGACAGAGAGGUACCGAGCAAUGGAUCCACAAAGGCACUACAGUUAGUACAAGCAUUCUUUGAGAUUAAUUUACAGAGGUGACAAAACUCAACCAGAGGUGCUCUGGUUUGACAAGGAUUGGAGUUCGGCGAUUUGGUUAGGUCGUUAAAGGGGGCGUCAGUGUUGGAUAAGAAAGAAAUAUCCUACUAUAUAGCAUUGGUGUAGGGCCGGGUCGGUUUGCCCUAGACUACUGAAGUGGCCUGUUAUUUGUUUCAUGGAACGAUGUCGUUUGAGUGGUUUUUUUUUUCUUUUCUUUCUCAUUUAUGCUUCACAAAAUGAAAAAGGCGAAAAAAUGAAGUCCCCAGAGACAGAGUCCUCCAACCUGAAGGUUUUCAAAGCUCACAAGGCCUUAAACCACUCUCUCAUAAACCCUAAAACCCAAUUCACCAAAACCCCAAAGAGCUAUGAACCCCCACCUCUCUCAAAAUGAACCCAACUGAAGACCCACAAGCCUUCUUCUUCUUCUUCAUCUUCUCCAAGAUGCUGUUGUUUCUUCGCAAUCUGUUCCACACAAGUUGCAGAGUCUCCUCUCUUCGAGUAAGACCCAAAUACCCAUCAUCUUCAUCAUUAUCUAAUUCCUCUUUUAUCAAUGCAUCAUCUUCCCCUUUGGUUUGGUUCACCAGUUUCUUCUGUAUUAUUCGCUUCCCGUUUGUCACUAAAUCCAAUCCUGAAAUGCUUCCUCAAAACUUAAAUGUUGAAUCUUUGAGUCAAAUUGUUCAGCAUGACUAUUGGGACGAUCCCAGAAUCGUCAAUGUGUUUGGUUCAGCCUUGGCGCCCAUUUGGGUCUCCAGGUUUUUGGUUGAGCUGAGGAAAGAUCCCAACUUGGCAUUCAAGUUGUUUAAGUGGGCGAAAACCCGUACCGGGUUUCGCCACACUACUGAGUCUUAUUGUGUUUUGGUUCAUGUAUUGUUUGUUGGUAGAAUGUACAUUGAUGCCCAUGAGGCUAUUAGGGAGUUGGUAUUGUUGAGCCGGGGGUUGCCGGGUUUCGAUGUGUUUGAUGGGCUGUGGGAGACCAGGAAUGUGUGCCGGCCGGGGUUUGGAGUGUUUGAUGCCUUGUUUAGUGUUUUGGUUGAGCUAGGGAUGCUGGAGAAAGCAAAUGAGUGCUUCUUGAGGAUGAGGAAGUGUAGGGUUUUGCCAAAGGUGAGGUCUUGUAAUGCCCUUUUGCACGGGCUUUCCAAGUCAGGGAAGGGGGAUUUGUCGAGGCGGUUUUUUAAGGAUAUGCUUGGGGCUGGGGUUUCGCCUUCUGUUUUCACUUUCAAUAUAAUGAUUGGAUAUACAUGCAAAGGAGGCGAUAUGGAAACUGCAAGAUGCUUGUUUGCUCAAAUGAAACAGUUGGGUCUUACACCUGAUAUUGUGACAUAUAAUUCUCUUAUUGAUGGAUAUGGAAAGGUUGGACUAUUAGAUGAUUCAGUGUGCAUAUUUGAAGAAAUGAAGGAUGCAGGUUGUGAACCUGACCUAAUAACAUACAAUGCUUUGAUUAAUUGUUUUUGUAAAUUUGAAAAGAUGCCUCAAGCUUUUAAUUUUCUCCGGGAGAUGAUGAGAAAUGGCUUGAAACCGAAUGUCAUAACCUAUAGCACUUUGAUUGAUGCCUUCUGUAAGGAAGGGAUGAUGCUAGAGGCAAUUAAGAUUUUUAUAGACAUGAAACGAGUUGGUCUCUCAGCUAAUGAAUUCACCUAUACUUCUUUGAUUGAUGCAAGUUGUAAAGCUGGAAAUUUGAGCCAAGCACUGAAGUUCAGAAAUGAGAUGUUAGAUGCAGGAGUUAGCUUGAACAUUGUAACUUAUACAGCUCUACUGGAUGGGCUGUGUGAAAAUGGGAAGCUGGAGGAAGCAGAAGGAGUUUUUAAUGAGGUGAUAAACUCUGGGAUAAUUCCGAACCAGGAAAUAUGUACUGCUCUUGUUCAUGGGUAUGUUAAGACUAAGAAGAUGGAGAAUGCUUCAGAAUUCUUAAAGGAAAUCAGGGGGAAAGCCUUUAAACCAGAUUUGUUACUUUAUGGAACCAUCAUUUGGGUCCUGUGCUCUCAAAAUAAGGUUGAAGAGGCUGUGCUUGUGAUCAGUGAAAUCAAGGAUUGUGGUUUAAAGGCAAAUCAUUUCAUUUAUACAACGGUUAUGGAUGCUUAUUUCAAGAGAGGAAACACCAAUGAGGCACUCAAUGUUUUACAGCUCAUGCUGGACAAUGAUAUCGAGGUUAGUGUCGUAACAUAUUGUGCACUAAUAGAUGGUUUGUGCAAAAAGGGGUUGGUCCAAGAGGCCAUCAAUUAUUUUCAGAAGAUGUCCGACAUUGGUUUGCAACCCAAUGUUGCACUCUAUACAGCCUUGAUUGAUGGUCUUUGUAAAAGUAAUUGCAUUGAAGCAGCUAAGGAGCUAUUUAAUGAAAUGCUAGACAAGUGUAUGAUUCCAGAUAAAACUGCUUACACCGCUCUAAUAGAUGGGUACUUAAAGCAUGGAAAUCUUGAGGAAGCUUUGAGCAUGCAUAGGAGAAUGAAAGAAAUUGGUAUGGAUCUUGAUCUGCAUGCAUAUACUUCCUUGAUUUGGGGGCUUUCUCACCUUCGUCAGAUGCAACAAGCGAAAGCAUUCCUUGAUGAGAUGAUUAGGAAGGGUAUAAUUCCUGAUGAGGUUCUCAUUGUUUCUCUUGUAAGAAAAUACUAUGAGCUAGGGAAUGUGGAUGAAGCCAUCGAGUUGCAGAAUGAAUUGCGAAACAGGGGUAUAUGAACUGGAGUUACAAAUUUUGUGGUUCCUAAUGCAAGAACUUCAGCGGGGCUAAUCCCAGCUUGGUUGUUGAGUUGGAUAUAUGAAUUCUCCAUAAAGAAUGGUUUUACUUGCAGUAUUGAAUGGUUUCUGGCUGGAUGGGAUGAUUUCUUGCAGAAGUUGUGCUUCGUGCCACCUGAUGAACUAUGACAACGACCAUCAAGACAUAUUAAAGCUUCUUUAUGGUCUAACCGGCAAACUCUGCUGCUUUCAAAACCUCGAUAUUUUUUCCGGGGUGAGCUUUUCUUCCCUGUCCAGGUGUAUUAUAAAUCAAGUCAGUAAAACUAAUACUUCUUGCUUCUUGAAUCCUUCAAGCUGCUGUUUAAGUACUAUCUAAUUAUAUAAUGAUACAUGAUACAUACGACAGGCGGCAGUGAUAACAGCAAUGGUGAUGGACUGAUGGCAAGGACAGUGUUGGUGUUGCUCAGCAACAGUAGUUCUGGAAAGGACAUGUUGUAGUAGGGUGUGGUAUUCCAGACCAGCAGUGGUGUUGGGACUUGGAGUGUGGCUGUAUUUCCAUGGUGGUGGUAUAUGGUGAAGCCAGUGACAGUGAUGUGGUACAUUACUUGAGGCGGUGGAGGCUUAGUGGUGUCUGUGGAAUGUAUGUCCAGAAUCAAGCACACAAAUGUGGCCUUCACUUCUAUCUUUUCUGUUUCUGAUUUUAUGCCUACGUCGUAUAUAAGUUGGAUAGGUUCCCAAAUCUUUUCAUUUGGUUUUCAGCGGAGCUGUAUGCAAUGCAAUCAGUUUUCCAGUAAUUGACAUCUGGUGAUGAACAGUGUUCAUCAUAUUCAGUAAAUGGUUUAUUGACUUAUUCAGCAAGUGAUGAAUAGUAAAUGGUUCCAACAAUUUUCAGAGAUGUGUUUAUUCCGUAACAUUUAUAUAUCCAUUGGUGUAUAUCAUAGAAGUUUAUUCACUACAUUCACACAGAUCACAUUUAGCUGCCAUUGGUUUAUUUAGUUGAUGGUUUUGCUUGCACAUGGUACCCCUUGUGCCAGUCAUCAGCAGAAAUGCUUCAGACUUUGGGAUUUGCUAAAAACAGUUGCAGAAACGCGUUUUGUAGUCACAGUUGCCAUCCUGAAAAUCUAAACAACGGUGUGAACAAUCAGAAUCCGACCAACAUGGAACACCAAUUUCGAUCGGCAUCCUUGCUUCAUUUCCGGCUAAAACCUGCAGAGUUGGUGAACCUGCACCACCAUAUACACCAAUUCCGACUAAAUUUCAUGUCAUAUAAAAGAAAACAUCAACAUAAAUUUCAAUGUACAGAGGGAGGGAGAGACUAACAACAUGCAGUAACCAAGAGCAUAACAAAGAUGGCCAUUUUCACAGUCGACAUUUUGAAAGCGAAAAUUUACGUUCAGAUUAUUGCAAGCGAGGAUUUUCCUGUUUAUGAGAAUUAAAUUUAUAGUAAGCAUAGACCAUGAUGAGUAUGAUUUGGUCAAAGUAAAACCAACUAUGGUAAUCAACAUAAUUCAAUUCUACAUAUCUCAUUUUGCGACCCAAAUUAAUGGAGCCUAAUACUCAAUUAUGUUCAUACAUGGACCAAAAUUAAUUCAUACAUUCACCAUUAGUAAUCUCUAGAAUGGUAACUUGUGGACAGACAGAUUGGCCAAAUGUCCAUAUAUUUGAAAUGGCUUUAGGUGUCCAGAUUCCAUGCAAAAAUCUAUCCCAAAUUGCCAACUUCAUCUGCCAAUAAGACAUAAAUACAAUUUGAUUGGUAAGAUAAUUUCCAAGGUUUUCCAAUAAAUUACUUUGAAUUCGAUUAGUAAAGUAAUAUAUACAGAACAUCACCAGUCAUGCCUUCUUCUUCUUCUUCUUCUUCAACAAACCCUCUCACUUUUCAAUCUGUCAUAUCAACUCUUUGUAUUGCAGCUAUAUGUUUUCUGACAACAGAAGCAUUAGAUCAUACCAUAUAUGCAAUUCUGAUCCCUAUUUGUUUUGUGAUCUUCCCAGCUGGUGCAAUCGUUGCUCAGAGUAUUGCCGCCGGCCGAUUCUCAAGUCUCUUCUUAUUUCAAACUCAAACACACGAAGCAUGGCAAGAGGGCUCGGAGAUGGUGCUACCACCCCCCACUACUUACAGUAAAUCUCAAUGUGAAUUCGAAUAUGAAGAAGAAGAAGACGGUAGAAGGAGCAGUAGUUGUGUUAUUUGCAUGGAGGAUUUUGUGGAGGGUGAGUCUUGCCGUGUUCUGCCUACAUGUGAUCACAUAUUCCAUUUGACUUGUAUUGACUCUUGGUUGACGCUUCAUCCAUCUUGUCCUAUUUGUCGCAACUCUAUAUGCAAAUGUACUGCUUGUGUCCUAGAUGUUUGAUUUAAUUCUUCAUUCAUGUUAUACAUGAUCAUGGAGAUUAUAGAAUUCAAAUCCUUGUGUUUUUGAUUCAUCCAUAUCAGGAGUUAUUGUGAAUGGUUGAAUCAUUUUAUGAUACUUUAAGACUCUUCAUUGUGGACAAGUAUGUUACUUCUAAAAUGUAACAAUCUUUAGAUUACAAAGAGACCUGUCAUGCAUUAACAACGAUAAAUUAAACAUCUGCAAAUCAAUACUACAUUAUCAAGCUAUUGUGUACUUCAUUAGAAUAAACAUAUGAAGAAUUGUUUAGUUAAUCUUCUUUCUUUCUUGGUUGUUAUUCAAGAUCCCCUAUCUAAAUCGUUUAUCAAAGACAUUGCAUGUCUUAUGAGCUGGGCACAAUGGCACCAUAAUGAAUAUCGUGACACUUAAUUUCAAGUUAAAGGUAGCGAUUGUUAUGAUUUAAUAAAAGCAAGCACAAUUUUUUCCUCUUAAGUAUUUAGUUCUUGAUUGUAGCACAAUUGUUUGAUUAGCAAAAAAGGAUAAUGUGUGAUAAAGCCGUAAAAACCGAAUGUUGUUAGUUGAGUAGAGAUUUGCUCAACUAUGAGUGAACUAUGGUUUCAAGUAGUUUUAUUGUCGUCGCUUCUUAGAUUAUUUCGAUAUAGAGUAUAACUUAUUACUUUAUUAGCUAUUGUCAACUUUAUUCCAAAAUAGUAAAAAAAAAAAGAUUGCUAGAAUUAACUUACAACAGAUGGUAAAUUCCUUGAGAUCAUCGAUCAAGGUUUAAAUGGGCUUUGGGCCUCCAAUGUAACUUUCUGGAUCAAAAUCCGAUCCAAAUCUCGACCACGCAGAGGACCAUCUGAACAAGCGUGAGCUUGCGCUUAUUGUACCCCUACCACCCCACACUAUAUAAACGACUUGGAAGCACAAAGAGGUCAGGCUUGGAUCCAGAACCUGAGGUAUGGUCUGAGGCUUGGAUUCCCUCACACAACUUCCCAGUCUGUAUAGCCGUUACAAUUCUCUUCAACAUCACAACAAUUCAGAAAUGGGGAGUAGGGUUCCGGUGCAGCAGCAGUACACCAUGAGAACGCCGCCGCCGAAUACCUUCCUCGCCGCCGCCAGCAGCCCUCUCCACGACCUCAACGAUCCCCGCUCCGCCAAGCUCGACUCCAUCGCCGCCGACAGCCUCGACAACGACGAAGACGACUCCAGCGCCGGCGUCAGCGACUGCAUCCAUGACUCGUACUCCAACUCUCUGCCGGUUCACGGCGUCGGCGUGGAGGAUGAGCCGUCUAGCCUCGACAACGACGGGUCGUCUAGCUCCAGAGCUCCUCCCUACGACAUCGACAUGGUGUCGCUUCAAGGUAGCCAAAAUCAAACCAAAUUAACCGAAAGUUUUUUAUAGAUCGAGGAAUUUCUAAUGGAUAAAUUGCAUGUACUGAUUUGAAAUGGUUUCGGAGUAGAUGUGUCGCCGAUUGAGUCAGCUAGGGCGAGAUUUCUGCAACUUGUGGUGGAUCAUUUUCUUAGCCAACAUGUGAUCCAAGCGAUUGAUAGUGAGGAUAGUGGCGGCAGUGGUUAUAGUGCUCGGUCUGGGCAAGAUAAGCUUAGUAAGAGGAAGCUUGGGGAGGUACAGGUUGAAGGAGACCCAAGGUUUGCGUUGCCGUUGAUGUAUGUUGCAAAUAUUUACGAAACUUUAGUUCAUGAAGUAGACACUAGGCUUGCUUCCGUGGGUGGAUUUCGCGAAAAGACUAUUGGUGUUGCUCUUGAAGCAGCUGGCGGUUUGUAUAGAUUGCUGGCUAAGAAAUUUCCCAAGAAAGGUAAUGAGUUUUCUUAAUAUGAUAUGUAUGAUGAAUUAAACAAUGUGAAGAGUAAAUGGCCUUAGAGAAAUGUUCUGGAUUUUCCUUAGGACCAUGUACAUUUAGAAGAAGAGAAUUGGCCACUUCUCAUGAAACGAGGGCAAGAUUUCCAGAAUUGGUUGUACAAGAAGAGAGGCGAAUCCGUUUUGUAGUAGUCAAUGGAUUGGAUAUUGUGGAAAAACCAAAUAGCCUACCUAUUGAUGAUGCUGAGUGGUAAAUGCUAAUCUGUUACUAAAUACCUUUACAUGAUUUGUUCACAAGGGAAGUUACCAAGUUGAUCGGACAAGAUUAAUGACUAGUUUGUUUUUUAUUGCAGGUUCAUAAGAUUGACUGGUCGGAAUGAAGUGGCUGUCUCUGCUCGAGACUUUAAGUUCUACUCUCCAAGACACAAGUGUAGGCGUGGUCCAUCAAACUCUUCUCCUAAUAUGCUCAGUUUACCUGUAAGCUUGAUGCCUUGAUGAGAUUUGUUUCUUUAAUAGUUGGAGCUAAUUACAUCACCUUAACACAAGGGUUUGAAUGUUAACUAUACCAUGGAUAAUGGGUUUUGUUGAACAUUUGGUUUAACAAAAUUGUAGUGACAUAGGUCUUAGAUCCCUAUACAUCUUACAAUCUUACAAUAUUUUUCAUUGCCCUAUAGUAUGCUCGAUCUAAUCAUAAUAGCGUUAAAACUUCAUUAAAGAAAUUAUGUGGGUGAGCUUUGUCGUUAUGUCAUAAUUGUUCCACUUUACUAAAUAACUUGAAUGCGGACAAUUCAUCCAUGUGAUUUAUCCUUUUCAGACGUAUCCUGGACCUGACAAUUCCUCUAUGUUGGCUGCUGCCCAAGGAUUCCGCUCCAUAAAUGAAGUAAGUGUCAACUCUACUGAUUAUUGUUUUAUAAUUUGAUCAAAUUAUCAGUAUAUUGAAAAUUAAUUGCAUUUCGGAAUGACAUGAGCAGGGCUGGAUUCAAAAUUGAUCUUGGCCCUUAGGUUUGAUAUCAUGAUCCUAAGAAAGGGAAUGCUUCAGUGAAUAGAUUUGGGAGAUGACUUUUCUUAUAUAAAGACAAUAGGUAUUCUAAUUUAGUGUUUCAUCAUCAUGCCAAUUUUACAAUUCUAAGUGUUUAUCUGCUAGAAAAUAAACAAAUUGUGUAUGUGUAGGUUGAAUUCGCCAAUUCGACCACAUUAAAUUAACACAAGUUAUUAGGUUGUGUGGGCACAGAUUCCAAUUUUUGGUAUUGUGAACCUAUUGACAUACUUGGAUCUGUACUGAUAUAAAAAUGACAACAGCAAGACUUUCAUCUAUUUAGGUACGAAGUGUGGUGUGGGUAUCUUUCACCUCAGAUUCUAAAGUGGCCAUUUAUUUUGGAAAACUACUAAAUGAAUUAGUGUUGCUCAUUUUGUUUUAAUGAGUUAGCUAUUGUGCUUCCCUGAAUGUUCUUGUUGAUAAUGUAUAUCUGUGUUUCUUGUCCUGGCAGCCACAAAAUCAGCCGGAGACUCCAUCCAAGCAUCAUCAUAUGCAACCUCUAUCACUCCAGUCUCAGUUUCAAACUGUUCACCAGAACCAUCACCAAUCCAUGCACCAAAGUCAACACUCUGUUCACUAUUCCCAAAACCAUGAAUGCGGUCCAACCUCGCACCUCCCUGAUAUAGCUCAUGCUCACCAUUCGUCAACCUUAUCGCAACACAUGGCUUGCUUACAACAUGUAGGGGGACGCUUACAUGUAAUGGUGAGUCUUUAUUGCUUUUCAUAUUGAUAUCAAAGCAUUUGAAAGAUCCUCUACAAAAUAUCGGUUGCCAUACUAUAGUGUUACUAAUAAGGCAAAUCUAUAAAUUACAGCUGCGAUGAGCACUUAUGGUAGUUCGUUAUUCACUUUCUUCUGCUGAUGCCAUUGUUAGAACACUCCAUUUUACUCAUUGUUCUAAAUACUUCGUAAUGAAUCCACUACAGCCAAAGGUUUUGUGUUUACAAAUGUUAAUCGUCAAACUCAGUAUACUAAACAUCAUUGUUUCUUUCUUCCUCUUUUUUAGACAAAGUUGUGCUUACUACUAACCCUUUUAAAUUGCUCUUUAUGUCAGCCAUCCAACCCCGCCAAGUUUUGCGACGAAUGCGGCACCCAGUACCUAAGAGAAACCUCCAAAUUCUGCUCCGAAUGUGGCGUCAAGAGAUUGGGUAUCUAAUCCCAUCUCUCCUCCAAAUCCCUUCUCCCCCAUCCCCAGCCUGACAUUUCCAUUUUCAAAGUCACGUUGGUUCCAAAAACAAACUCUGUGUAAAUUUGUAACUUAAUGUAACUUAAUGUAGCUGCUCGUCCAUAGGCAUCAUUUCACCAUUGAUGCCUCCAUAGAAUGUUGCAAAACCAAUUUGUUGGUAACAUGUCACUAUUACAGUAAUGAAUCAGUUUCACCUUCCUUUUUACUUCUUUUGGUUUUUGAUGAACUAUGAAGGUAGGUGAAUCAUGGAAUGGAAUUAAAUUUCACAUGUGCAAAAAUUAGUGUAAACUCCUAUGCCUGCCACGCUGCAAGCAUUAGAAAGGUGGUUGGUAACUUGUAAGUAUCAAGCAAAAAUUAGAUUCGGCAGUUCAGGUCAAACAAUAAUACCCCCAGCCAAACUAGCUCUCUCUCUUUUGGUACUCUCACUCACUUAAACCCCCAAAGCUUAUAGAGACCCAGUCAGUCUCAUCUGCUCAGCUCCCCCAAUUCAACCAUGAACUCACCCUCAACUCUAGCCUCCUCCUCCUCCUCCUCUUCAUCUCUCUUCCGUAUUAACCACCUCACUCCCACCAAACCCACCCCAACUUCUCUUCUCCGUUUUGCCCCUCCACUUUCCCAUAAUACCCUCAAAGUCUCCGCCUCCACCAACAACUCCGUCCUUCAAACCGCCAAGCAAUACGCCAAAACCGCUAUCCUCAUCGGCGUCACCGCCACCGUCUUCCACCACCACUCCAAACUCCUCGCGCGUGCCGACCACGCGCCGCCUCCUCCCCCGCUCACCGAACCAGCUCCAGCUCCAGAUGAGAGCCACCAGGCCUCUCCGCUGUCCGAUUUCCUCGGCUCCAACGCCGACGCCGUCGCCGCGCUCAAGUCGCUGCUCCAGCAGAAGCUCGAGAGCGGCGAGGACGACGAGGCGCUGAAGAUCCUGCAGCGCCUGGCGGAGGCGCAGCCGGCCGUGACGGAGUGGAAGUUCCUGACGGCGAGGCUUCUGAGCGAGAUGGGGGAGACCGGGAGUGCACGCCAGGUGUUUGAGGAAAUUCUCGAGACGAAUCCGCUGUCGUUUGAGGCCUUGUUUGAGAACGCAUUACUCAUGGACCGCUCCGGCGAGGGCCACGCAGUGAUCAGGCGGCUGGAGGAGGCGCUGAGGGUGGCGGAGGAGGAGAACAAGGUGAAGGAGGCGAGGGAUGUGAAGCUGAUAAUGGCGCAGAUACAGUUCUUGCAGAAGAAUGUGGAAGAUGCUUUGAGUAGUUACAAUGAGUUGGUGAAGGAGGAUCCUAAGGACUUUAGGCCUUAUUUUUGCAGGGGAAUGAUUUACAGCUUGCUUGAGAGGAAUGAUGAGGCGAAAGAACAGUUUGAGAAGUAUCGGCAGCUUUCACCCAAGAAGUUUGAGGUGGAUGGUUACUUGAGAUCGCCAUUGUCAAGAAUCAAGCUUUUCGGCAGCGAUGAGAAUUGAGUUGAGUUGGCUCAACUCGAUGCUUUUACUUACAUUGUUAAACUUCUGUCAUCUGUUGUUUUUGAUUGAGACUUCACUGGAAGUCGAAAAUAAGAGGCUAGACAUUUUUGUUCAUUCGAUUUAGUAAUAACAUCAUGAUAUAAAAUGCAGCAACCACAGAUAAUCUGUUCUGAGUUACAUUAUAAACAAACAAGUUUCAGGCAAUUUACAAGGUAUAUAAACUUCAGGGCAUGUGGCAGCUAUUUCCGCCCGCCUUUCUUCUUGUUUUUCUUGUUCUUGCCCUUUGUCUUGUUCUUGGCCUUGCUUCCAGCUUCUUUACUGCCGGAUGGGGUGGAAGCAUUGACAUCUUGUUGGCAUGUCGGAUUUGACUCACUGGAUGCGCAGUUUUCCUCGCCUUCUGUGUGGCUGUCUUCGGCAUCACACUGCUUCUCAGCUGACACUUUGGAUAUGCAAUUACCCUCAUCUUUACUGUGACUGAAUUCAGCUUCACAUUGCGUUUCAUCUGCAACAUCAGUCUCUUUUACCAAGCUGGAGUCUGAAGGAGAAAGUUUAGAACUCUUUUCUCCUUCAGAAUCAUUUGCAGAUAGUACACCACUGCAAGAACUACUACCUCCAACUUCAACAGAUCCAACUUGGGAUGGUGCAACUUGAACGACAGGCAGCUUUGGAAACCAUUUUCUCAAUAUGUCAUCCUUGGACUGGUGGGCCGUCAUGUCGACAAAGAUGGCAUCUGAACAGAAAAAUCUUGAACAAUCAAGCCCAAAACUUGCAACUACCAAAGUAUUAUCAAUCUUCUUGAGAGCUCCAGCAAGCACAUUCACAUUUAAGCUGAGAGAAUUGGGUUUCCUCCUCCUCCUAAGUGCAUCGAAAAAUUCCCAUGGUAGGAGAUCAGUGAUAUAUUUCCUCCCCAGCAAAUCAUGGAUUAUAUCCAAACACGAGCCAAAGUUCAAAUUAAUCAAGCAUAAGACAGUAACCAAUCGCAACAUGAGUGGCUGAUAAUAUUUCCUCCAGUUUUUGUCAGACCUCUUAAUCCAUUCAAUCAUCAUAUUCUCCUUGUUGUAAAUACAAUCGCGAACCACACCAAUCACAAAUGGAAGAGUGCCUCCCAGAGCAGGACGUCCACCAGUCACUGUGCAACGUAAGCUGGUAUCUUCAUCCUGAUAUAUCAGCCAUUCGAUAAAGCAAGAACUUGUACUGAUAACCAAACCUUGAAAGCAACUUGCUGAGAGCAGAAGGCGCUCUACAAGAUACAAGAAGCAACCAGGUGAUAUGUAGUCGGAAACCUUCCUCCAGUUGGCACUGUAAGUUUCAACCAAAGCCUCAUGUAACCAACGCAUGACAGACAACUUCAUUGGUUGCAGACUGGUAUUUCCAGGUUCAGUGCUCACACAUAGAUUCUCAAUGAAGGCCUUCCAUGGGGCAUGGCAUUCAAGUUUUUUCACAAGCUUAUCAGAGAGCUCAGCAUUCGGCUUACCUAACCCGAGAAUGAUCAUUGUGAUCCUUCCAAUCUGGCCAUAAGACAGCUCAUUCUUCGAGCUGGCAUAUUCAACUAUAACUUGAUUCAGCAUGUUCUUGGAAGCAUCAGUUCUUCUAAGAGAAAUCAUGUUUUGUCUCAACAAAUUCUUCCCAUCUAAAGGAAAGAUGUAAGCAACAUACUCCCCAGUUGAAAAUGUUACAUGCUUCUGCAGGGUCGACAUAUCUUGAUACCAUGGCUUCAGACACUUCGAAUCCAAAAGAUUCCUUGCAACAUCAUAAAUAAGGGUAAGAGCCCUGCACUGGAAGAAUGUUGAGUCAGAGUUCUUUGGUGGGAACUUGAAAAGUGCUUCAACCUUUUCCAAAACUUUGAUGCCAACAGAGAGCAGUUCUGAACUCCAAUAAUUCUGAGCGGCUGGAAUGAGCUGGUGAGCAUCAAUGGAGACCAACUUAUUAUAAGUUUUCAAAUGCCUUUUGUCCAGACCUCUGACCCAAUCAGCAUCAGGGACCAGUAAAACAUAGAUUGGAUUCAGAUUCUGAUACAACCGCCAAACUCCUAAACAAGUAAAACAGAGCUCUACAUAGCUAUUGAAUUCUGGAGUUUCCAAACAUCCUACAGAUUCAAUAAUGUGGAUAAUGUUCUCCUUCCAUAAAAUCCAGUAAUAGGCAAGCGAAUCAAUGGAUACCUGAUUUCUAGAUAUACAGUCUUUUGAAUGCUUCACAACAUCUCCAGUCAAUUCUUUCUCCCAAAAAUACUUGUCAGUUCUUGAAGAGAGAUGUGCAUCCAAAAUUUUUCGAGCUGACAACACUUCACCUAUAAUACUUUUAUGUCUUUGAGAAGCAUCCAUGUGAUGAUUCAAACCAGCCAAAUUAUCCUGCCCAAUUCAGUAAAAUCUCCGACUCGGUGCAAACCAGCUUAUAAACAUUAUCUUCCCCAUUCUUGNNNNNNNNNNNNNNNNNNNNNNNNNNNNNNNNNNNNNNNNNNNNNNNNNNNNNNNNNNNNNNNNNNNNNNNNNNNNNNNNNNNNNNNNNNNNNNNNNNNNNNNNNNNNNNNNNNNNNNNNNNNNNNNNNNNNNNNNNNNNNNNNNNNNNNNNNNNNNNNNNNNNNNNNNNNNNNNNNNNNNNNNNNNNNNNNNNNNNNNNNNNNNNNNNNNNNNNNNNNNNNNNNNNNNNNNNNNNNNNNNNNNNNNNNNNNNNNNNNNNNNNNNNNNNNNNNNNNNNNNNNNNNNNNNNNNNNNNNNNNNNNNNNNNNNNNNNNNNNNNNNNNNNNNNNNNNNNNNNNNNNNNNNNNNNNNNNNNNNNNNNNNNNNNNNNNNNNNNNNNNNNNNNNNNNNNNNNNNNNNNNNNNNNNNNNNNNNNNNNNNNNNNNNNNNNNNNNNNNNNNNNNNNNNNNNNNNNNNNNNNNNNNNNNNNNNNNNNNNNNNNNNNNNNNNNNNNNNNNNNNNNNNNNNNNNNNNNNNNNNNNNNNNNNNNNNNNNNNNNNNNNNNNNNNNNNNNNNNNNNNNNNNNNNNNNNNNNNNNNNNNNNNNNNNNNNNNNNNNNNNNNNNNNNNNNNNNNNNNNNNNNNNNNNNNNNNNNNNNNNNNNNNNNNNNNNNNNNNNNNNNNNNNNNNNNNNNNNNNNNNNNNNNNNNNNNNNNNNNNNNNNNNNNNNNNNNNNNNNNNNNNNNNNNNNNNNNNNNNNNNNNNNNNNNNNNNNNNNNNNNNNNNNNNNNNNNNNNNNNNNNNNNNNNNNNNNNNNNNNNNNNNNNNNNNNNNNNNNNNNNNNNNNNNNNNNNNNNNNNNNNNNNNNNNNNNNNNNNNNNNNNNNNNNNNNNNNNNNNNNNNNNNNNNNNNNNNNNNNNNNNNNNNNNNNNNNNNNNNNNNNNNNNNNNNNNNNNNNNNNNNNNNNNNNNNNNNNNNNNNNNNNNNNNNNNNNNNNNNNNNNNNNNNNNNNNNNNNNNNNNNNNNNNNNNNNNNNNNNNNNNNNNNNNNNNNNNNNNNNNNNNNNNNNNNNNNNNNNNNNNNNNNNNNNNNNNNNNNNNNNNNNNNNNNNNNNNNNNNNNNNNNNNNNNNNNNNNNNNNNNNNNNNNNNNNNNNNNNNNNNNNNNNNNNNNNNNNNNNNNNNNNNNNNNNNNNNNNNNNNNNNNNNNNNNNNNNNNNNNNNNNNNNNNNNNNNNNNNNNNNNNNNNNNNNNNNNNNNNNNNNNNNNNNNNNNNNNNNNNNNNNNNNNNNNNNNNNNNNNNNNNNNNNNNNNNNNNNNNNNNNNNNNNNNNNNNNNNNNNNNNNNNNNNNNNNNNNNNNNNNNNNNNNNNNNNNNNNNNNNNNNNNNNNNNNNNNNNNNNNNNNNNNNNNNNNNNNNNNNNNNNNNNNNNNNNNNNNNNNNNNNNNNNNNNNNNNNNNNNNNNNNNNNNNNNNNNNNNNNNNNNNNNNNNNNNNNNNNNNNNNNNNNNNNNNNNNNNNNNNNNNNNNNNNNNNNNNNNNNNNNNNNNNNNNNNNNNNNNNNNNNNNNNNNNNNNNNNNNNNNNNNNNNNNNNNNNNNNNNNNNNNNNNNNNNNNNNNNNNNNNNNNNNNNNNNNNNNNNNNNNNNNNNNNNNNNNNNNNNNNNNNNNNNNNNNNNNNNNNNNNNNNNNNNNNNNNNNNNNNNNNNNNNNNNNNNNNNNNNNNNNNNNNNNNNNNNNNNNNNNNNNNNNNNNNNNNNNNNNNNNNNNNNNNNNNNNNNNNUAAUCUCCAUCUCUUCAUCUGUAACUUCAAAUGGAAGAUCCAACUCUCUACCCUCACGGUCUGACAACAAGUGGUUCACUACCCCAGACGACAAGGAAUAAAAUUUCAUCAGUAACAAACUCUCGCUAACCUGUGAGUUCUCAACAUAGCUUCUACAAUCAGAAGUGUCACCAACUAAAUCACUCUGAGCUUCACUGAUGUUAAGAUCCUUAAACCGGGAAAAUUGCAAUGAGGGUGGCCAGGUUUUUGGAACUUCUAGAUCACUGGUUACAAGUGACGAACAAUAAAAUCCAAUAACUAGUUAGAACUACAGAAAGGAGGGCUCAUAAAUAUUAAAUUAAAGGCAUGCCAACAAAAAUAGAUGGUUAAACAACAUACCCAUCAAGACACUUCUCCUUGCAAAGAUUAAUGAAGUCAUCAGUAUAUCUGUUGAAAAUACUAUCCAGGCGGUUUAUCAACUUUGGAAUAUCCUCCAGAGGCAAUAUGUCCCAGAUCUUUAAUACUUGAACAUAGCUCAAGUUCUUUGCAAUAUCAUUAGUGCAAACAAUGUAUAAGCGUUCAACCUUAAAUUUCUUCAAGAUCAUAGAUGAGCUACCACAACUUGUCUCAAAAUUUUGCUUCUUAGGUCUCCAACCACUGGAAAGAUUCAGUAGAAGAUGUAGCACUGACUUCUGCAAGCGGACUGAUGUCAGUUUNNNNNNNNNNNNNNNNNNNNNNNNNNNNNNNNNNNNNNNNNNNNNNNNUUGUAAGUGAGACAUUAACUCUUUGCGGUUUUGAAAUGAACUGAAGUGAUUGAUGGCUGUUGGAUCGUACAGUGGAAAUUAUAACUAUGUCCUCUUCCCACCUUGGAAUCCAUCAACUGUUUUUACCUUCACUACAAAGCCAUCAAGCUUAUCAUAUUUCCCACCCACUCUGUCCUUAAUUGCCACCACUUGAGCAGCAUAGGGAGAUACUAUACCAAUACUAAGUCUCUGUUUUGAUUCAACCCAUCCUGUAUACAAAGAGAGAGCCAAAAGAAAAUAUUAAACUAACACAAUACAUGCAUAAGACUUUGGCAAUGUUUGACAUCGUAAUGGUUUGAAAAUAUAACCCUACUAAAUGCGUACUUCUUGAGUUGAAACUCAUGCAAUGGAGACUUGCAUGAGAAGUGCUGAAGCAAAUUGCACACAGAUUUAAACAAAAAAAUAAUCAGCCAUACAAAGCCAGUUAUGUGGUACUACCACUUGUUCAGAAAGAAGAAACAAUACAUUUCUUGCAGUUCAAGUCAUUAUUCUCUAGUGAACAAAGUAAUGUAAAUUUUUAAACUGAAGCAUAAACAGCAUCGAUUUGGAAAUCCCAACUAAUAUAUAUACUGAGAUGACAAACAUGAAGAAGAAUCUCCUGUUAGACAUACCUUUGUACAGAUUCCGCAGUAUUUUUGAAACAACAGCAACCUCCACCAUAUUCUUCCGACUACGUCCAUCCUCAUCUUUCUCCUCUCUUCCACCAAUCACAUUUAUAAAAGAAUACGGACCAAACAUUGCUCCUGGAAGAUAGUGUUUCUCGUGGCUUCUUCGUUUUACAUUUGGAGCAUCCAGGAUCAAGUUAGAAUAGAAACUUGAAUUUGGGAAUAAACUUAUUGAUGGAUGCAUUCUGUAUUGCACAUUUAAUAGAUGUUUUGAAUGACCCAUUAAACUUAACCUCUCAAACAAGCUUCUUGCAAAACCAGCUUCAUCAGAAACCUAUAGAAAAUAAAAAAGCAGAUUUUGUAACAAGUUAGAAGUACAAUAUGAAUUUAUGAGAAGAGAAGGAAAGAAUAUAGCAUCAACAUACAUUACUUGUUACAGUAGCUGGUAACUGACAUUCAUCACCAACAAGAACAGCAUGCUUCACACCUGGAAGUUGCAGGGGUAUUGUUGACUCACACUCUUUUAGCUGUGCAGCCUCGUCAAUAACAACAAUACUUAGUGGCUGCAUUGCCACUCUGUGCAGCUUAUAUGAACUAGAUGCAGUGCAAAAUAUUAGAGUUGCUCUUUGAAAACAGAACUCCCGUAUAGAAUCCUUGCUCCUAAUAUUUGGAAGUUUAAGCUCACUAAGAGAAUCCCGUAAAGUGCGUAAAGCUAUAAGGCAAUCCUUUCUCAUCGUCCAAAGAUCAAAGAACUUGUCUACUAACGACUUAGACACAUCUUCAACAUCUGAAUGGGAAAAGAGUUCUUCCAAGGCUUCAGAAACAACAUUAUCUUGAGACAACAACAUUGUCUUAAAGGAUUCAACUUUCUGAACAAGUGAAACCAAGUCUUGGAAAUUAUCUUCCGGAAUAUAACUUUUCCCUAUAUGAGUACAGAACACAGAAAUGCAACAUCUUAACGGCACUGCAGUAGAGACAAAUCUAUCUCUCAAAAAUUCGACAAAGGUUUUGCACUUCAACUUUUUAACUUGAGCAACUCUUCUGCAUUCAUUAUCUUUCAUUUCACUAACAGUUGUUUGUUCCGUCUCUUUGGUGAAUUCAUUUUCCAAGAAAAUAUGGUAGUCAGAAACACAAUCCUCAAGUAAACCUAUCAUGGAAGCAAAGCAAUGCCUCCAACCAGUCGUUGGCCCUAAACAAUCUUCUAGCCUUUUGAUACGGCAAUCCAUAUAAAUUUCUUCAAUCUCUGAACCAAUUUUGAGUCGCUCCUUAUUCCCAAAUAGAAGAAUCUCUCCUAGAGAACAAACCAAUUCUUUUGACUCUGCUUCAUGCACCAUUUUCACAAGACGAGAAGCAACUUCAGUUAUUGCAACAUUUGUUGGAGCACAGAUAAGAGUCCUAUAUUUCAUCUGUAGCAGGGUUGAAAGCAGAGUAACCGUGGUUUUUGUUUUGCCAGUACCAGGAGGUCCCCAGAUAAGUUCAACGGCAGACUUCUCACCAUAACGCAGCAUUUCAAGGCAGGCCAACACUGCCCCAGUUUGGGACUUAUUUAAUCCAGAUAAUAGACUCUCAGCUAUACUCUGAUUCCAGAUGUUAUUAUUCUUUUCAGAGCAGAAAUCUGUCUGAACCUAUUACCAAGCAUAGCAUAUUCAGUCAGUUCCAACAAUAAAUAUAAGCUUUUAAUCCAACUACAAAAGUUCUCUCGAUUCAAAAUCAACUGGUAUAAUUAGAUGGGAGGGAUACAAGGGUAAAGAAAGUCAAAACAUGUGAUUGCAUCAGUCAAUCAAUCCAGUAUAUAUAGUUUGAUUAAUAUAAAUCAAUUACUGUUCAAAUCAAAGAAAGUCAAAUCAUGUAUUGCAUCAGUCCCUAAAUCCUAGGAGGAAGACAUUGUGUCAGAAUUAUUAGGGAAUUAUCUUGAUAAUUAUGAAAACCUACUGAUUCAUCCCAUAUUUGUUCAUGUUGUUGUAGCUCUAUAACAAAACCUACAAUGCUGAUUAGUUAAACAAGAUAACAAAACAAAACCUCAUUACCAUUGAAUCAGUGCACAGAACUCCGUUGAUAAUCUUCAGAUUUCUGGACAUGUGCAAUGCUUUCCAAACUCUUCCUUCAGGGAUCAAAUUAACCAAGAAAACUAUAAAAAGUGAUGUCCUGAUAUUUUCGACUUCAAACUCUUUCGAUGCCUUGACUUUAAAAUAAAGAGAGGUACUGUCAUCUUCAUUCUCACUUUCUGAGACACUAGUGGCCGAUGCAAAAGCCCAUGACCUUCCCACCCUUUGUAAAUCAGAAACAGUUUCAGGUUUAGCAUCUGCUAAAACAAAAAGAUCACCAGGCAAAGUUUUAUAUGGCUCCUUGCCUCUAUCACUGAACCUGUUUCGCCAGUAAUCAACCUUGACAUCAUAUAGCUUUGUUCCAUAUGGCUUCAAUUCUUCAAAACCCACUACUUCAGCAAACGGUGCUCUAUUAAGAGUUUCCAUACUUGAAUGCACUUCUGCUCGAGUUUCUUCCAGUAAAGGAUAUAUAUAAGACCCAAAGUAAUGCUGAGCCGAUUGAAAUGAAUUAGGAAUCUCCUUCACCUAAAAAUGUGAAGGCACAGAAUAAGUACUCUUUCGGAUACAGCACAUAAUGAUAUCAUAGAAGUUAAACUAGUAUACUUUAACACGAACACUACAAUGUGAUAGAAAAUUAAGUCAAAAACAGACAAUUCUUAUAGUAAUCCAAACGCCUUUGUUCAAUGCUAUCCAUUAUUCCUGGUUUAGCCUGAAUUCCUAAAGUAAAUUUAGAAGAUAUGCAAAACCAAUACCUCUCGAUUUGCGAUUUGGGCCAUUUUAUUCAUGGGUAACGCUUUUCCUUUAAUUUUAACAACAUGAUCAUAUUAAAACGUGAAAAAAAUGGGCUACAUUAGAAAGCAAGCUCCUUUCAUAGGCAAUACGGGUAUUCCCCAUUACCAAGAAGAAAGCUGCAAUACCAAUCUCAACAACGUUUGAAGAUACAGAGAAUCCAGAAUGAUGACAAGAGAAGAUAAUAAUCACAUAAAGCAACAACCUUUCUUAACAAAAAAACAAAAACACGAGAUUUAUACUAUUAAAAAGUGGAAGCAAAUACCUUGUCUUUGUAAAGAUCCUCAUUGAGAAUGUCCUCCAGGGACCAAGAAAACACAGUAUCAGUGAAAGGUUCAGGCUUCACCUUCUUCUUGCCUGAAACCUCCAUCAUCUCCACCAAGACUCAAGUUUUUCUUCUCUGCCUUCUUCAACACAAAGCCUAUGUUUCUGAACCGUUUCACAGAAAACCCACUUCUUAGAUUUUGAUAAAGAUGAGAGCUUUGAAGUUUGAACAAAGAAAAGAGACAAGUCUAAGAAUCUAUAACAGGAUGAUCACUUCAUGCAUUGUUAUAGUACAAGUGAUUCCAAAACUAAAAUGCUUCUGGAUUAGAGCUUUGAUCAAAGCACAAGUGAUUCCAAAACCUCAUGAAUGAAAGAAAGAAAGAAAGAAAGAAAGAACGAAGAUUUCUCAAAAAAAGAAAGAAGAAAGAAAGAGUGAACAGUGAUGAGUAAAGCCUCUCUUUUCUUUUUUUUUCGAAAAGCGACGAGUAAAGCCUCUGAUUUCUACUUAGAGGAGAAGUUCUUCUCAUCAAUUGGCUGGUACUUAAUAACGCUCUCUUAGCCUCUUUCAAUUGACCAUUUGACCUCAGAAAUGGUUUUCUUUCUUGAGAUUAAAAAGAUGGUCCUAAAAAGAAACACAAAGUCCACUCGGACAAGUCUUCUUUUAAAUUUUUAUGCAAGAAACUCAUUGGGAAACGGGACAGGUUUUCACGAAAGUAUCAAACUGGUCAUAUGAGGAAAAAGCAAAGUACUUUUUUUUUUAACUACAAGACCUCCCCAGAUCAAAGCUUAGCCAUGAAGGCAUGAAUGAUACAAACAACUCUCUACAAGCCUGUUGAAUGCGCUCGACUAUAAAAAAUGAUGUUCUUACAGAGGGAAAAAGAGAGUAAAAGUUGAUACCUGAAUCAACAAUGGUGGACUUCACAGUUGCUUUUGGUUUACAUAUAUAUGUUGAAUAUACCAGCUUGUUACUUUGUGUUAAUACCGAGCGAGAUUAUAACGUGGAGAAAUGUGAAAGAAGGGGUCUCAUUAGUUUCCCAAUAAAUACAUAUGGAAAUAUCAGAGGUUGGGCAAUUGGUGAGGCUACAGCCUCUAGGAAAUUGAAGGGAAAUUUUACGAAUGAAUUUAAUUUAUUUUGAAGUUACACGGCAUUUGUAUUCAUAGUUGACGCCCGGCCUGUUUGAGUUACAUUGUUUAACCAAAUCAGACUAGUUGUCGGGUUGAUACUUCAUAGCCUAAUGACGUAGAUGAAUAAUCGAUAAUGAAAAUGUAUCGAAAUAGCAAAGUUUAGCUCAAAACAUAUACAUAUAUACUAUUACAUUUGGUUUUGUAUUGGUACAUUGAUAUACGACUAUCAAAGACACCUACAUGAAUUCAUAUGAAAGUAUGAAACUUUAUUUCAAAACAUACAAACCAGUUACUAAUGCAUGUAUGCCAACCUCGACUAGCUAGGACAUCGGAUUCUCAAUCCCAACCAACCAAUUGAAGCAAAAAACCAUCAUAGCACCAAAGUAAUUCCCCACAAGAAAACAAAAACAAAGAAAGUACAUCCUACAUAACAUUGUAAAUAGUAAAAUAGAUAAACAUUUCAGAUAUUAAAAAGUUGGGCAUAUACACUAAAGUAACAUUUGAAUGUACAAAUGAUAAAAAAAAUCUUCAAUUGUUCCGUAUGAUAAAAAAUCUUAUCUUACAUGAUAAGAUGGUCACCUUAAUACAUAUCAAAUGAUAAAAUGUUCACUCUAAAUGAUAAAAUGAUUCAUUUAGCUAAUUUUCACAUGACCAUUCUACCCUGCCAUCAAUAGUACCUUUUUUCUCUUUCACUUUCAAAAACGCAUCACCUCUCUCUCUCAUCAGAUUCGAUUCAAGAUCCGAAUAUGGAUCUGGAGAAACCAUAGGUUCCCUUAUUCGCAGACGAUCUAUAUAUACACUAUAAGAAGCAGUAGAAUAUGAUUGCAUGUCAUGUUGACAGCUUAAUUUAGAGCUUCCACAAAACAACUUGUGAAGAAAUGGCACAAUCUGGAAAUGAAUUAUAGCUAAAACUGAGUCAGGAAGAACCAAGACAUGCCACGGAAACUUGUUGAUUAAGAAAACAUUGAGGGUUGGAAUAUGCACAUUCCUGACGAUGAUCUGCAUAUGAAGCUUGGUAUUACCCUGUUGACAUGCAUAUGAAUAAACCUUGCAGUUUAAGUGCAUCUUAGUCAAUAUCUUAUCAUAUACAACUAGAGCGAGCAAAAAGUUUGAGAUAACCUGUCAGACUAUUUGAAGACAUGUAUUCCAUCAUUUACUCUCUUAAAAUAGGAUUUGGCUACAUGUAUAAUGUAGAUGAAGAGGAUUGUUCAAACCUAGCAAACACGCUAUUCAUGAAAACAGACAAAGUAAAAGGUAGGAAACAUCUAAGAGAUAGCAUAACAGAAGUACAAUUUAUUUAGCUGAAUGCACACCAUCCAGACAGGAAACAGAAUCUUGGCAUGGAAAACUUGUGGUGGGCGGUGGCAUCUUGUUCUCAGGUGGUUUAGAAAUGAUUGUAGACUCUGAAAGAAUCUUGGAGGGGCAAGUUCUGGGCCAGUGGUCACAUACCUUGCCACAUAAAUAACAAAACAUGGGAACAGGUUGCUUGCUGCCUCCUUCACUCAUCUCACCAUUGGCACCCAUACUGUAGAAAUAAGAACCCAUAACCCACCCUGGUUUCAAACCAUCGGGGCCUGGUCGGCGUGCCUUCUCACCUGUUAAAUACAUUAUUAUUAUUAUGUAACUUGAAUAAAUCGGUGCUAGUGACAAAACCUAAAUCAAAGAAUUGAUUGAGCAUGAUUUGGAAUUCUUUCUGUUAUCGUAUACAUAUAGAUGAAUGCAUGCACAAAGCAAACUACAAAACCCCUAAAACAGUAAUUAAUUUUUCCAGGAGAUCGUGGGUAAACAUAUAUCUUAAGCCUCGUCAAUGUUCUAAUCAAGAAAAAUAUAAAUCGAGUUAAGAUCAUACCGUCUUCUUCAUCCCAUUUGCGACUGAGCUCGUCAAAAAGUUCGCAAGUAAACCUUCCCCUACUGUCCUGAGUUUCCUCCAUGCCUGCCAUGGCGGAGAGAGAUUGUAUUCGUUCAGAGAUCAGGUUUUAGACUCAUAUUAUACGCCGAGGUUCUCAUAUUUAUACUCCUCUAAUUUUUGUAAAAAUUAAUUUCCGAUUUUAGCCCUUCUACAGAUUUAAAAAAAAAAACUCUAGUCCCCCACGAACAAGUUAUAUCAAGACCACCAAUUCUAUGUUCUAUGUUCUAUACAAAGCCAUAGAGAUAAGAGUCAUAUAUAGGACAUGUUUGGUUAAAUGUAUUGAUUUGGGUCUUGUUAAGCACUGUAUUUCAUUUUGAUUUGAUGACUUAGAUUAUAGUACACAUUGGUUUUCACCCAAAAUUGAAUGUUUUUACUUUUUCGACCAAACUUUUCUUGUUAUCAAGUCAUAAUUUUUAAAUAUUUCUCGAAUUGAUGUAAUUCGGAAAUCUCAAUCGGAUUCGUGUUUUACGGAACUCGCUUUAUUUGAGUCACUCGCCUUUCCUAUAGCACCCAAAAUCGAAUGUUCUUAUUUGUCGACCAAAUUUUUUGUAUUAUCAAAUCAUGGUUUGAUAUGGGGAUUCGGCAACAUUUUUGAUUCUGGAGUUGUUUCAGUAAAAACACAACUGAAGGAAACUCAUGCAACUAAUCAGAAAUUCUCUUUGAUCUGAUAUGUGUGUGUUGUUCUAUGUCACAAAGAAACGCCAUAUUCUAAGUCAUUUAGAUAUGGAGUGAAGUUUUGUACUGGAGUUGUACAGGCUUGAUUUGUACUGGAAAAUAGUCUGUUUGAUAUAUUACAAAAUAUAUCAACUUACCAAAUUGCCUACAUUACAAGAUAUUCAAGCCAUUUUGAAUCUUCGCUGAGAGGAAUCACCAACAUGGCAAACAACAUCAACAUUGAACCUAUAAAAAGAGUUUAGUACUGGAAGAUACAUCUGUUUGACAUACCGUAACUCACUAAAUUACCCAGAGAUUACAAAGUAUUCAAGUAGCAUCUACAUCACUGCAUUUGAUGGCUAUUUUCGGCCUUUUUUCCCCUUAGGGUUCUUGGUGUUGCCCUUUUUCUUCCCGUGGGUUGCAGAAGCAGCAUCUGGACACUUUGGCUUCGAGUCAUUGGAAAUGCAAAUCUCCUCAUCUUCACCCUCAGUGUCUCCAUCAUCCGACAGAAAAGUAUAACGAUUAUUACCUUUCCCUUCAACAGGCCUCAUUUGGCUUUUUGAAGCUGGAACAACAUGGGAUUUAGGGAACAAUUUCCUGAAAAUAUCUUCCUUGCACGGGUCUAAUGACAUGUCAACAUAAAUGGCAUCUGCGCAUACGAACCUUGAACAAUUAGACUAGCAAUUACUAGAGGAUUACCAAUCCCCUUAAGGGCAGUAGCUAUAGCUAGCACACAGGCAGUAGGAGAUUUGUCUUUCCUCCCCUUCUUAAGGACAUCAACAAAUUCCUUGGGCAGUACUGCAGUGACAUAGUUCUUCCCCAGAAUAUCAAGGAGCAUAUCUAAAGACUUCCCAAAGUUCACAGUGAGCAAACAUAGUAGAAUGACCAGUCUCAACAUCAGUAGUGAAUAAGAACUCAUCCCAUCUGCAUCAGUUUUUUUAAUCCAAUCAGUAAGGUUUGCCCUCUUAUAAACACAAUCUCGAACCACAUCGGUCACAAAAUCAGCAACCCGUUCCAGAGAUGGUGAACUUGUGGUGGUAUCUCCAUCCUUGUAUAUCAGCCAUUCUAUAAAACUUGAACUGGUGCACAUAACAAAACCAUGAAAGCAAGAUGCCAAAGUCAAAAGGCGCUCCUCUACAAGAUACAAGAAGCAACCAGGAGAUAUGUAAUCAUGAAGAGCCCUCCAGUUUGCACUAUAAGUUUUGACUAAUGCUUCAUAGAAUCGCCACAAAACUGACACCUGUUUUGGUUCUCCACGACGAGCGGCGGCGCACCCGGCCGUGACGGAGUGGAAGUUCCUGACGGCAAGGCUUCUGAGCGAGAUGGGGGAGACGAAUCCGCUGUCGUUUGAGGCCUUGUUUGAGAACGCGUUACUCAGGGACCGCUCCGGUGAGGGCCACGCGGUGAUCAGGCGGCUGGAGGAGGCGCUGAGGGUGGCGGAGGAGGAGAACAAGGUGAAGGAAGCGAGGGAUGUGAAGCUGAAAAUGGCGCAGAUACAGUUCUUGCAGAAGAAUGUGGAGGAUGCUUUGAGUAGCUACAACGAGUUGGUGAAGGAGGAUCCUAAGGACUUUAGGCCUUAUUUUUUGCAGGGGAAUGAUUUACAGCUUGCUUGAGAGGAAUGAUGAGGCUAAGGAGCAGUUUGAGAAGUAUCGGCAGCUUUCGCCUAAGAAGAUUGAGGUGGAUGGUUACUUGAGAUCGCCAUUGUCAAGAAUCAAGCUUUUCGGUAGCGAUGAGAAUUGAGUUGACAUCGUUAAACUUCUGUUAUCUGUUGUUUUUGAUUGAGACUUCAUUGGAAGUCGAAAAUAAGAGGCUUAGACAUUUUUGUUCAUUCGAUUAUGAUAUAAAAUGCAGCAACCACAGAUAAUAUGUUCUGAGUUACAUUAUAAACAAACAAGUUUCAGGCAAUUUACAAGGUAUAUAAACUUCAGGGCAUGUGGCAGCUAUUUCCGCCCGCCUUUCUUCUUGUUUUUCUUGUUCUUGCCCUUUGUCUUGUUCUUGGCCUCGCUUCCAGCUUCUUUACUGCCGGAUGGGGUGGAAGCAUUGACAUCUUGUUGGCAUGUCAGAUUUGACUCACUGGAUGCGCAGUUUUGCUCGCCUUCUGUGUGGCUGUCUUCGGCAUCACACUGCUUCUCAGCUGACACUUUGGAUAUGCAAUUACUCUCAUCUUUACUGUGACUGAAUUCAGCUUCACAUUGUGUUUCAUCUGCAACAUCAGUCUCUUUUACCAAGCUGGAGUCUGAAGGAGAAAGUUUAGAACUCUUUCCUCCUUCAGAAUUAUUUGCAGAUUGUACACCACUGCAAGAACUACUACCUCCAACUUCAACAGAUCCAACUUGGGAUGGUGCACCUUCAACAACAGGCGGCUUUGGAAACCAUUUUCUCAAUAUGUCAUUCUUGGACUGAUGGACCGUCAUGUCGACAACGAUGGCAUCUGAACAGAAAAAUCUUGAACAAUCCUCAAGCCCAAAACUAGCAACUACCAAAGUAUUAUCAAUCUUCUUGAGAGCUCCAGCAAGCACAUUCACAUUUAAGCUCAGAGAAUUGGGUUUCCUCCUCCUCCUAAGUGCAUCAAAAAAUUCCCAUGGUAGGAGUUCAGUGAUAUAGUUCCUCCCCAGCAAAUCAUGGAUUAUAUCCAAACACGAGCCAAAGUUCAAAUUAAUCAAACAUAAGACAGUAAUCAAUCGCAACAUGAGUGGCGGAUAAUACUUCCUCCAAUUUUUGUCAGACUUCUCAAUCCAUUCAAUCAUAUUCUUCAUGUUGUAAAUACAAUCGCGAACCACAUCAAUCACAAAUGGAAGAGUGCCUCCCAGGGAAGGACGUCCACCAGUCACUAUGCAACGUAAGCUGGUAUCAUCCUGACAUAUCAGCCAUUCGAUAAAGCAAGAACUUGUAGUGAUAACAAAACCUUGAAAGCAGCUUGCUGAGAGCAGAAGGCGCUCUACAAGAUACAAGAAGCAACCAGGUGAUAUGUAGUCGGAAACCUUCCUCCAGUUGACACUGUAAGUUUCAACCAAAGCCUCAUGUAACCAACGCAUGACAGACAACUUUAUUGGUUGCAGACUGGUAUUUCCAGGUUCAGUGCUCACACAGAGAUUCUCAAUGAAGGCCUUCCAUGGGGCAUGGCAUUCAAGUUUUUUCACAAGCUUAUCAGAGAGCUCAGCAUUCAGCUUACCUAACCCGAGAAUGAUCAUUGCGAUCCUUCCAAUCUGGCCAUAAGACAGCUCAUUCUUCGAGCUGGCAUAUUCAACUAUAACUUGAUUCAGCAUGUUCUUGGAAGCAUCAGUUCUUCUAAGAGAAAUCAUGUUUUGUCUCAACAAAUUCCUCCCAUCUAAAGGAAAGAUGUAAGCAACAUACUCCCCAGUUGAAAAUGUUACAUGCUUCUGCAGUGUCAACAUAUCUUGAUACCUUGGCUUCAGACACUUGGAAUCCAAAAGAUUCCUUGCAACAUCAUAAAUAAGGGUAAGAGCCCUGCACUGGAAGAAUGUUGAGUCAGAGUUCUUUGGUGGGAACUUGAAAAGUGCUUCAACCUUUUCCAAAACGUUGAUGCCAACAGAGAGCAGUUCUGAACUCCAAUAAUUCUGAGCGGCUGGAAUGAGCUGGUGAGCAUCAAUGGAAACCAACUUAUUAUAAGUUUUCAAAUGCCUUUUGUCCAGACCUCUGACCCAAUCAGCAUCAGGGACCAGUAAAACAUAGAUUGGAUUCAGAUUCUGACACAACCGCCAAACUCCUAAACAAGUAAAACAGAGCUCUGCAUAGCUAUUGAAUUCUGGAGUUUCCAAACAUCCUACAGAUUCAAUAAUGUGAAUAAUGUUCUCCUUCCAUAAAAUCCAGUAAUAGGCAAGCGAAUCAAUGGAUACCUGAUUUCUAGAUAUACAGUCUUUUGAAUGCUUCACAACAUCUCCAGUCAAUUCUUUCUCCCAAAAAUACUUGUCAGUUCUUGAAGAGAGAUGUGCAUCCAAAAUUUUUCGAGCUGACAACACUUCACCUAUAAUACUCCUAUCUCUUUGAGAAGCAUCCAUGUGAUGAUUCAAACCAGCCAAAUUAUCCUGCCCAUUCAGUAAAAUCUCCGACUCGGCGCAAACCAGCUUAUAAACAUUAUCUUCCCCAUUCUUGGCAAAUGACUUGGCCUUCAUCAACAGCUCCUCCUGUCUUGGAAACUUCUUCAUGGGCCAGCCUUUGCUACCAGAUGACCAAAGAGACUUGGANNNNNNNNNNNNNNNNNNNNAGUGAAAAGCACUCUGCAGCUCUCUGAAGUUCAGAUUCUCCACAUUUUUCGAAAUAUAUCCUAGCUGCACCAUUAAGAUUAACAACAUGAGAAACUACAUUUUAAUAAAUAGCAUUCAUAACAGAAGUUACCCAAAUCAUGCAACCAACAUAAAGUAAGUCCAACAGAUCAUAAAGGCAAGAGAAUCAUAUGAAUAUUAAAAGUACACUGGUGUUUGGUUAGACAUACCUGCUCUUUCAUAUUCCCCCAAAUCAGAAAAACAUCUGGCAGCAGAAUCCGCCUUUCCUAUAGCGUCAAAUAUUUCAGCAGCUUCUCUAAGAAUAGACUUAGCCUCUUCGGGAUUUGAUGUUCGCAUACGGUCAGCUAUAGCUUUAAGGCCGGAUGCUUUCGACCUCCUUUCCCAGUACAUAUCACCAGCUCUUUCAAAGCACAUUGUGGCCAUUUCAUAGUUAUGUUCAUGAUAUAGCUGCAAGGGCAAAUAGAAAAGAAAAAUAUUAUUUGAAAUAAUGGUGUCAACAACAGAUAUAGCUAUCUUUUAUAUGAAGGAUGAAGCAAACCUUAAUGCCUCUUGAUUUCCACUCCUCUGGACUGCUUGCCACUUGCAUAGCCUGGGCAAGUGAAUCAUCUAGCUGCCUUUGUUGCACAAGACAUUUUUUCUUCCAAUAGUCAAACAUAGGUUUCGAGAGGUCUUCCACAUUUUCACAAAUCCACAACCUCUGUCUUGUUCGAGUAACAGCAACAUAUAAUUGCUUAAGUUCAGAGCACAGUAUGUUAUGUUUUGAUUCACUGAANNNNNNNNNNNNNNNNNNNNNNNNNNNNNNNNNNNNNNNNNNNNNNNNNNNNNNNNNNNNNNNNNNNNNNNNNNNNNNNNNNNNNNNNNNNNNNNNNNNNNNNNNNNNNNNNNNNNNNNNNNNNNNNNNNNNNNNNNNNNNNNNNNNNNNNNNNNNNNNNNNNNNNNNNNNNNNNNNNNNNNNNNNNNNNNNNNNNNNNNNNNNNNNNNNNNNNNNNNNNNNNNNNNNNNNNNNNNNNNNNNNNNNNNNNNNNNNNNNNNNNNNNNNNNNNNNNNNNNNNNNNNNNNNNNNNNNNNNNNNNNNNNNNNNNNNNNNNNNNNNNNNNNNNNNNNNNNNNNNNNNNNNNNNNNNNNNNNNNNNNNNNNNNNNNNNNNNNNNNNNNNNNNNNNNNNNNNNNNNNNNNNNNNNNNNNNNNNNNNNNNNNNNNNNNNNNNNNNNNNNAACUGGAGCUUCCCCAUAAAUCAGACUGGUUUCAGGUUUCAGAACAUCUACAGAAAAUGGGAAAAACCGAUACAGUAGUUCAACAAUGCUUUGUGAUAACUUCAAUAUACCGGCAUGAGUACGGAAGUUCUGAGUCAACUGAAGUAAUUCAGAGAUGAGGCCUUUUUCUUUUCUUUCAUCAUUACUGUUGCUUCUUGACUCUAGUACAAACUUCUUGUAGAACAGAUGUCGUAUAUCCUGAAACCGAAAGUCAAUACCCCUUGCUAUCGUUUGUGCUGUAUCACCAGAAAAAACAAAUCCCUCUUCUACAUUGUUGCACAGAUGUUUAAACAAAGCAAUUUGACUCAUUGUGAGAUCUUGAACCUCAUCAAUAUAAACAAAUUCCAUCUGAUCACCCUCAUAUUUUUCUUGCUUGAGUCGACGGUGAAGAUCUAUUACAAAAUCAGCCAGAUCAAACUCACCCUUUUCCAUCUUCAACUUUUCAUAAGCCUGAAAAAUAUCGUAUAUUGCUUCUCUCUUUUGCUUGCUCAAGUUAGAACCCCGGCCCUCACACAGAUGAACGUAAUCCUGCCGGCUGAGUUUACCAUCACAUGCAUCUAUAGCUCCUAAGCCACCUUUUAUAUAAGAAAUAAUCUCUAUAAAGACUCUUGAAACGUCAAGCUUCUUCGUUACCUGAGCAUUAAAAUGGGGCCAAUACAAAGAGCUAAACCUCUCAUAAUUGACUUCUUUCGUCCUUAUGAAGUUCUGAAAUGCAACUGAUGACGAACUCCUAAACUGGCCAACAGUAGCUGUCACUUCAAGGAAUCUUUCAAAGUACGAGUUACUCAAAGUUCCAUCAAGCAUCAUCAAAAACUUAUGGAAUGUAAUGACGAGAGGAUAAGAGCUUGGAGGAAUAUUGUGAAAUGAACUUUGGAUAUCCUUGAAUUGGGUUUCCUCCUCAUCAAAAUCAACCAUAUCAAUCAAACCUCCCUCACUUGAGUCAGUUGAGUUACCUCCACCACAUACAAAACUGUGAACAUCAAAAUCAGCAGAUUAAACUUUUUGUAGAGAAAAUAUGUAGAGAAAAUCUAUAUUAAAAGUUAUGAGUAAGAAAGAGACUUCAACAUGAGUAACAGAGAUCAAUAUUUUUUCAUGUACAAUAAUUAUUUGAGACAUAUUUGAGAAAAGAAUAAUUAUUUGACAAGAAAAAAAUAAUAAUUAAACUAUUUAUAGUCUCUUCACUUUCUUGUGACACCAUAACUUCUAUUGCAUGAUAUCUCGAGGACGAUGUAGUAUACUGAUUCAUAUCAUAACCAUUAAAUUCACAAUAAAGCUAAAAGAGGCAGAAAAUGUCUUUUUCAAGAAUAGUCCCCUCACCUUUUCAAGUGUGAAACAUGUCGCUUGAUGGCAAAGCAUAGCUUUGGACUCACUGUCACAAAAAGCUGGCGCAGAACUUUCCCUUCAGUAGCUGCAGAACUCUCCUCAACCUGGCUAGUAUUUUGACUAUUAUAGCAUCCUUGAACUGCAAAUUGGUGCCACUGUUCUUUUUGAAACAAUUUCAUUGUUAAUACUGUGGUUUUCCCAGUUCCUGACCGUCCCACUAUAAAAGAACUUCUACGGUAAAGGAUAAUCUCCAUCUCUUCAUCUGUAACUUCAAAUGGAAGAUCCAACUCUCUACCCUCACGGUCUGACAACAAGUGGUUCACUACCCCAGACGACAAGGAAUAAAAUUUCAUCAGUAACAAACUCUCGCUAACCUGUGAGUUCUCAACAUNNNNNNNNNNNNNNNNNNNNNNNNNNNNNNNNNNNNNNNNNNNNNNNNNNNNNNNNNNNNNNNNNNNNNNNNNNNNNNNNNNNNNNNNNNNNNNNNNNNNNNNNNNNNNNNNNNNNNNNNNNNNNNNNNNNNNNNNNNNNNNNNNNNNNNNNNNNNNNNNNNNNNNNNNNNNNNNNNNNNNNNNNNNNNNNNNNNNNNNNNNNNNNNNNNNNNNNNNNNNNNNNNNNNNNNNNNNNNNNNNNNNNNNNNNNNNNNNNNNNNNNNNNNNNNNNNNNNNNNNNNNNNNNNNNNNNNNNNNNNNNNNNNNNNNNNNNNNNNNNNNNNNNNNNNNNNNNNNNNNNNNNNNNNNNNNNNNNNNNNNNNNNNNNNNNNNNNNNNNNNNNNNNNNNNNNNNNNNNNNNNNNNNNNNNNNNNNNNNNNNNNNNNNNNNNNNNNNNNNNNNNNNNNUCGCUAUCAGAGAGAGUCCUUUCAUUCCCCAAAAUCCACAAACAGUGCCUGAAGUCAUCAGAGAUUCAGCAGACAUUUCCACCAAAUAAACAAGAAGGAAAAGCAUAAAAAUUGAAGUAAAACAAUACCUAGCCCUUGUAAGUGAGACAUUAACUCUUUGCGGUUUUGAAAUGAACUGAAGUGAUUGAUGGCUGUUGGAUCGUACAGUGGAAAUUAUAACUAUGUCCUCUUCCCCACCUUGAAAUCCAUCAACUGUUUUUACCUUCACUACAAAGCCAUCAAGCUUAUCAUAUUUCUCACCCACUCUGUCCUUAAUUGCCACCACUUGAGCAGCAUAGGGAGAUACUAUACCAAUACUAAGUCUCUGUUUUGAUUCAACCCAUCCUGUAUACAAAGAGAGAGCCAAAAGAGAAUAUUAAACUAACACAAUACAUGCAUAAGACUUUGGCAAUGUUUGACAUCUUAAUGGUUUGAAAAUAUAACCCUACUAAAUGCAUACUUCUUGAGUUGAAACUCAUGCAAUGGAGACUUGCAUGAGAAGUGCUGAAGCAAAUUGCACACAGAUUUAAACAAAAAAAUAAUCAGCCAUACAAAGCCAGUUAUGUGGUACUACCACUUGUUCAGAAAGAUGAAACAAUACAUUUCUUGCAGUUCAAGUCAUUAUUCACUAGUGAACAAAGUGAUGUAAAUUUUUAAACUGAAGCAUAAACAGCAUCGAUUUGGAAAUCCCAACUAAUAUAUAUACCAAGAUGACAAACAUGAAGAAGAAUCUCUUGUUAGACAUACCUUUGUACAGAUUUCGCAGUAUUUUUGAAACAACAGCAACCUCCACCAUAUUCUUCCGACUUCGUCCAUCCUCAUCUUUCUCCUCUCUUCCACCAAUCACAUUUAUAAAAGAAUACGGACCAAACAUUGCUCCUGGAAGAUAGUGUUUCUCGUGGCUUCUUCGUUUUACAUUUGGAGCAUCCAGGAUCAAGUUAUAAUAGAAACUUGAAUUUGGGAAUAAACUUAUUGAUGGAUGCAUUCUGUAUUGCACAUUCAAUAGAUGUUUUGAAUGACCCAUUAAACUUAACCUCUCAAACAAGCUUCUUGCAAAACCAGCUACAUCAGAAACCUAUAGAAAAUAAAAAAGCAGAUUUUGUAACAAGUUAGAAGUACAAUAUGAAUCUAUGAGAAGAGAAGGAAAGAAUAUAGCGUCAACGUACAUUGCUUGUUACAGUAGCUGGUAACUGACAUUCAUCACCAACAAGAACAGCAUGCUUCACACCUGGAAGUUGCAGGGGUAUUGUUGACUCACACUCUUUUAGCUGUGCAGCCUCGUCAAUAACAACAAUGCUUAGUGGCUGCAUUGCCACUCUGUGCAGCUUAUAUGAACUAGAUGCAGUGCAAAAUAUUAGAGUUGCUCUUUGAAAACAGAACUCCUGUAUAGAAUCAUCGCUCCUAAUAUUUGGAAGUUUAAGCUCACUAAGAGAAUCCCGUAAAGUGCGUAAAGCUAUAAGGCAAUCCUUUCUAAUCAUCCAAAGAUCAAAGAAGUUGUCUACUAACGAAUUAGACACAUCUUCAACAUCUGAAUGGGAAAAGAGUUCUUCCAAGGCUUCAGAAACAACAUUGUCUUGAGACAACAACAUUGACAUAAAGGAAUCAACUUUCUGGAUAAGCGAAACCAAGUCUUGGAAAUUAUCUUCCGAAAUAUAACUUUUCCCUAUAUGAGUACAGAACACAGAAAUGCAAUAUCUUAACGGCACUGCAGUAGAGACAAAUCUAUCUCUCAAAAAUUCGACAAAGGUUUUGCACUUCAACUUUUUAACUUGAGCAACUCUUCUGCAUUCAUUAUCUUUCAUUUCACUAACAGUUGUUUGUUCUGUCUCUUUGGUGAAUUCAUUUUCCAAGAAAAUUUGGUAGUCAGAAACACAAUCCUCAAGUAAACCUAUCAUGGAAGCAAAGCAAUGCCUCCAACCAGUCGUUGGCCCUAAACAAUCUACAAGCCUUUUGAUACGGCAAUCCAUAUAAAUUUCUUCAAUGUCUGAACCAAUUUUGAGUCGCUCCUUAUUCCCAAAUAGAAGAAUCUCUCCUAGAGAACAAAACAAUUCUUUUGACUCUGCUUCAUGCACCAUCUUCACAAGACGAGAAGCAACUUCAGUUAUUGCAACAUUUGUUGGAGCACAGAUAAGAGUCCUAUAUUUCAUCUGCAGCAGGGUUGAAAGCAGAGUAACCGUGGUUUUUGUUUUGCCAGUACCAGGAGGUCCCCAGAUAAGUUCAACGGCAGACUUCUCACCAGAACGCAGCAUUUCAAGGCAGGCCAACACUGCCCCAGUUUGGGACUCAUUUAAUCCAGAUAAUAGACUCUCAGCUAUACUCUGAUUCCAGAUGUUAGUAUUCUUUUCAGAGCAGAAAUCUGUCUGAACCUAUUACCAAGCAUAGCAUAUUCAGUCAGUUGCAACAAUAAAUAUCAGCUUUUAAUCCAACUACAAAAGUUCUCUCGAUUCAAAAUCAACUGGUAUAAUUAGAUGGGAGGGAUACAAGGCUAAAGAAAGUCAAAACAUGUGAUUGCAUCAGUCAAUCAAUCCAGUAUAUAUAGUUUGAUUAAUAUAAAUCAAUUACUGUUCAAAUCAAAGAAAGUCAAAUCAUGUUUUGCAUCAGUCCCUAAAUCCUAGGAGGAAGACAUUGUGUCAGAAUUAUUAGGGAAUUAUCUUGAUAAUUAUGAAAACCUACUGAUUCAUCCCAUAUUUGUUCAUGUUGUUGUAGCUCUAUAACAAAACCUACAUUGUUGAUUAGUUCAACAAGAUGACAAAACAAAACCUCAUUACCAUUGAAUCAGUGCACAGAACUUCGUUGAUAAUCUUAAGAUUUCUGGACAUGUGCAAUGCUUUCCAAACUCUUGCUUCAGGGAUCAAAUUAACCAAGAAAACUAUAAAAAGUGAUGUCCUGCUAUUUUCGACUUCAAACUCUUUUGAUGCCUUGACUUUAAAAUAAAGAGUGGUACUGUCAUCUUCAUUCUCACUUUCUGAAACACUAGUGGCCGAUGCAAAAGCCCAUGACCUUCCCACCCGUUGUAAAUCAGAAACAGUUUCAGGUUUAGCAUCUGCUAAAACAAAAAGAUCACCAGGCAAAGUUUUAUAGGGCUCCUUGCCUCUAUCACUGAACCUGUUUCGCCAGUAAUCAACCUUGACAUCAUAUAGCUUUGUUCCAUAUGGCUUCAAUUCUUCAAAACCCACUACUUCAGCAAACGGUGCUCUAUUAAGAGUUUCCAUACUUGAAUGCACUUCUGCUCGGGUUUCUUCCAGUAAAGGAUAUAUAUAAGACCCAAAGUAAUGCUGAGCCGAUUGAAAUGAAUUAGGAAUCUCCUUCACCUAAAAAUGUCAAGGCACAGAAUAAGUACUCUUUCGGAUACAGCACAUAAUGAUAUCAUAGAAGUUAGACUAGUAUACUUUAACAGGAACACUACAAUGUGAUAGAAAAUUAAGUCAAAAACAGACAAUUCUUAUAGUAAUCCAAAUUCCUUUGUUCAAUGCUAUCAAUUCCUGGUUUAGCCUGAAUUCCUAAAGUAAAUUUAGAAGAUAUGCAAAACCAAUACCUCUCGAUUUGCGAUUUGGGCCAUUUUAUUCAUGGGUAACGCUUUUCCUUUAAUUUUAACAGCAUGAUCACAUUAAAACGUGAAAAAAAAAAAUGGGCUACAUUAGAAAGCAAGCUCCUUUCAUAGGCAUCAUGGGUCUUCCCUUACCAAGAAGAAAGCUGCAACACCAAUCUCAACAACGUUUGAAGAUACAGAGAAUCCAGAAUGAUGACAAGAGAACAUAAUAAAUUGAUAAUCACAUAAAGCAACAACCUUUCUUAACAAAAAACAAGAACACGCGAUUUAUACCAUUAAAAAGUGGAAGCAAAUACCUUGUCUUUGUAAAGAUCCUCAUUGCUAAUGUCCUCCAGGGACCAAGAAAACACAGUAUCAGUGAAAGGUUCAGGCUUGACCUUCUUCUCAAUUCCAGCGACGGUUGCAUUAGAUAGCUUACAACGAGAAUCCCUCUUUUUUCCGAUCCAGUUCCUCCACCACCACGAACCCCAGUUAGAUUCAAGCAUGAUACAGCUCUCAGAGAUCUUUUUUCCUUUUGGUAGAUACAGGAGCGAAACACACAAAGCCUAUGUUUCUGAACCGUUCCACAGAAAACCCACUUCUUAGAUUUUGAUAAAGAUGAGAGCUUUGAAGUUUGAACAAAGAAAAGAGACUGUCUAAGAAUCUAUAACAGGAUGAUCACUCCAUGCAUUGUUAUAGCACAAGUGAUCCCAGAACUAAAAUGCUUCUGGAUUAGAGCUUUGAUCGAAGCACAAGUGAUUCCAAAACUAAAAUGCUUCUGGAUUAGAGCUUUGAUCAAAGCACAAGUGAUUCCAAAACCUUAUGAAUGAAAGAAAGAAAGAAAGAUUUCUCAAAAAGAGAAAGAAGAAAGAAAGAGUGAACAGUGAUGAGUAAAGCCUCCGCUUUCUACUUCGAGGAGAAGCUCUUCUCAUCAAUUGGCUGGUACUUAAUAACUGUCUCUUAGUCUCUUUCAAUUGACCAUUUGACCUCAGAAAUGGUUUUCUUUCUUGAGAUUAAAAAACACAAAGUUCACUCGGACAAGUUUUCUUUUAAAUUUUUCUGCAAGAAAAUCAUUGGGAAACGGGACAGGUUUUCACCAAAGUAUCAAACUGGUCAUAUGAGGAAAUCAAAGUUAGGCCAUCUCCAACUGAGAGGGGUUAAAAUAACCGACGGGUUAAAUUUUAGCCUAAGAAAAUUAAAUGUGUAUAAAUAGUGAGAACUAAAAUUUUGAUCAUCUCUAAUCUGUAAGGCUAUAAGUUUACAACUCAUUGUAGCUCUCAUAAACAAAUAGCUCAAGAGCUAUAAGUUUACAUUUUAUGUUGUUUUGCUUACUGUGGUUCUCACAAAUAAAUAGCUCAAAGGCUAUACAAAAAACUAAAUGUAGCUUGGCCUUGGCCUUUGUACCCCCCAAUUUUUUUUUUUUUUUGUUUUAGCUUAGCCUUGGGUUAGAGAUAGAAUUUAUGACUUUUGGGGGCUAUAUCCACCCCUUAGCCCAGGGUUGGAGAUGGUCUUACUUUUUAACUACAAGACCUCCCCAUAACAAAGCUUAGCCAUGAAGGCAUGAAUGAUACAAACCUAUUGAAUGCACUCGACUAUAAAAAAUGAUGCUCUUAGAGCAUCUCCAAUAGCUUUCUCAUUUUCUUGAAUUUCUCAAUUUUAGGAAAUAUAAAGCUGUUUUUAGGUCCAACAGUUUUCUCAUCUCAUUCCCCAAAAUGGAGAUGGAGAAGAAAGAGAAGCCUUCAUUCCCUAAAUUUACAGCAAAGCCUUCCUUCCUCAAAAUUUAAUUCUUCACGUGCUCCAACGAAUUCAAAACAACAAUAGAAUAUUUGGUUGGGUAUUUUAUUGUUACAAUGAAAUAUAUAAUGGUCUUUUGUUAUAAUUAAUAAUGAUAUAGUAUAUUUUAUUGUUGUAUUAAAUGUCGAAAUAUCCAAAAUGGAGAAGCUGUUGGAUUUUGAGCAUAAUUUUUUUAGAGAUUUUAGCUUUUGCUUCCCCAUUUUAGAAAAUUUUUUAGGAAACUGUUGGAGAUGCUCUUAUAGAAAGGAAACAAAGAGUAAAAGUUGAUACCUGAAUCAACAACGGUGGACUUCACAGUUGCUUUUGUUUUACAUAUGUGUUGAAUGGGAGCGGAUUCUACGCACCAACGUGUAUUUGCACCAUUAAUGUAUAAGUGCUUAAAUCGUCGUAUGAGAAGAUCAAAUGAAGACUAUAGACUCUAAAUUCCUUACUUUCAUUUUCAUUUUUGAUCCGAUCAAAUUAAACGCCCAUAAUAAGAGUACGUCUUGUUCGAUCUAAUGUUCUCACUUCCUUAGUUGGAAACAGUUUGGACUAUUUUUUUUUGUUUCAAUUUGGUUAAUAGUAUUAGUAUAUAUGCAAAUAGUGCGACGUAGAUGACUGAGUCAAAAUACUGUAUAUUACUUGCUUGGUUCACUUGCACCUUGGUGCAUGGAAGAAUUUUCGGUGUUGAAUAUACCAGCUUGUUACUUUGUGUUGAUACUGAGCGAGAUUAUAACGUGGAGAAAUGUGAAAGAAGGGGUCUGAUAAGUUUCCCGAUAAAUACAUGGAAAUAUCAAAGGUUGGGCAAUUGGUGACUGGUGAGGCUACUAGGAAAUUGAAGGGAAAUUUUACGAAUGAAUUUAAUUUAUUUCGAAGUUACACACAGCAUUUGUAUUCAUAGUUGACGCCCGGCCUGCUUGAGUUACAUUGUUUGACCAAAUUAUACUAGUUUGUCGGGUUGAUACUUCAUAGCCUAAUGACGUAGAUGAAUAAUCGAUAAUGAAAAUGUAUCGAAAUAGCAAAGCUUAGCUCAAAACAUAUACAUAUAUACUAUUACAUCCGGUUUUGUAUUGGUACAUUGAUAUACGACUAUCAAAGACACCUACACGAAUUCAUAUGAAGGUAUGAAACUUUAUUUCAAAACAUAACAUUAAAUUAACAUUUAAAAGGUACAAAUGAUAAAAAAAAAAUCUUUAAUUGUUUCACAUGUCAUUUCUAAAAGUAAGGCAUAUAACACUAAAGUAACAUUUAAAAGUACAAAUGAUAAAAAAAUCUUCAAUUGUUCCAUGUGAUAAAAAUGUCACUUUUAAAGUAUCUUACAUGAUAAGAUGACCACCUCAGAAAAUAUCAAACGAUAAAGUGAUCACUCUAGAUGAUAAAACGGUUCAUUUAGCCAAUUUUCACAUAACCAGUCUACCUUGCCGUCAAUAAUACUUUUUUUUCUCUUUCACUUUCAAAAACGCAUCACCUCUCUCCUUAUUCACAGACGAUCUAUAUAUACACUAUAAGAAGCAGUAGAGUAUGAUUGCAUGUCAUGUUGACAGCUUAAUUUAGAGCAACUUGUGAAGAAAUGGCACAAUCUGGAAAUGAAUUAUAGCUAAAACUGAGUUAGGAAGAACCGAGACAUGCCACGGAAACUUGUUGAUUAAAAAAACAUUGAGUGUUGGAAUAUGCACAUUCCUGAGGAUGAUCUGCACAUGAAGCUUGGUAUUACCCUGUCGACAUGCAUAUGAAUAAAACUUGCAGUUUACGUGCAUCUUAGUCAAUAUCUUAUCAUUUACUCUUAAAAUAAGAUUCGGCUACAUGUAUAAUGUAGAUGAAGAGGUUUGUUCAAACAUAGUAAACACGCUACUCAUGAAAACAGACAAAGUAAAAGGUAGGAAACAUCUAAGAGAUAGCAUAACAGAAGUACAAUUUAUUUAGCUGAAUGCACACCAUCCAGACAGGAAACAGAAUCUUGGCAUGGAAAACUUGUGGUGGGCGGUGGCAUCUUGUUCUCAGGUGGUUUAGAAAUGAUUGUAGACUCUGAAAGAAUCUUGGAGGGGCAAGUUCUAGGCCAGUGGUCACAUACCUUGCCACAUAAAUAACAAAACAUGGGAACAGGUUGCUUGCUGCCUCCUUCACUCAUCUCACCAUUGGCACCCAUACUGUAGAAAUAAGAACCCAUAACCCACCCUGGUUUCAAACCAUCGGGGCCUGGUCGGCGUGCCUUCUCACCUGUUAAAUACAUUAUUAUUAUUAUGUAACUUGAAUAAAUCGGUGCUAGUGACAAAACCUAAAUCAAAGAAUUGAUUGAGCAUGAUUUGGAAUUCUUUCUGUUAUCGUAUACAUAUAGAUGAAUGCAUGCACAAAGCAAACUACAAAACCCCUAAAACAGUAAUCAAUUUUUCCAGGAGAUCGUGGGUAAACAUAUAUCUUAAGCCUCGUCAAUGUUCUAAUCAAGAAAAAUAUAAAUCGAGUUAAGAUCAUACCGUCUUCUUCUGCCCAUUUGCGACUGAGCUCGUCAAAAAGUUCGCAAGUAAACCUUCCCCUACUGUCCUGAGUUUCCUCCAUGCCUGCCAUGGCGGAGAGAGAUUGUAUUCGUUAAGAGAUCAGGAUUGAUUGAUUUUAGACUUAUAUUAUACGCUGAGGUUCUCAUAUUUAUACUCCUCUAGGUUUUGUAAAAAUUAAUUUCCGAUUUUAGCCCUUCUACAGAUUUUAUAAAAAAAAACCUAGUCCCCCACGAACAAGUUAUAUCAAGACCACCGAUUCUAAGUGUAUUAUUUCAAUCUUCUAUGUUCGUUCGUUCUAUAUGGGCCAUAGAGAUAAGUGUCAUAUAUAGGGCGUCAAUGAAUAGGGUAUGGGUUUUAUUUCGAAGAUCGCAAUGAGCCGGCUCACGGUUUGGGCCGGUUUGUCAUCUAAGUAUUUUGAAUUGUGGAUCCAUAUGAUUGCAAGCUUGAUGGUUUUCCCAGAAUUUGCAAACUUCACAUUUUGUUAGAUUAUCAGUUUGGAGUUGGGUAGGCAAAUUUGUAACUUACAGUUUCCAUAUAAAUUAUUGACAUUAAACUGGCACUGCAUAUUUCCACCCAACAUGACACAAUGCAAGUCGAUCACUUCUUGUUUAUGCAGUAAAUUCACAUAACAAAUUCUAUAUAACAGUAUGAUUCAUGGCUCAAUAUCAAAUGGAAAGAAAAGAAGGGGGCUAAAACAAAAGACGAAGGAGAAGCACCCUACUUAAGUAAUCAAAAUCUAAGGUGCCACCUUUUUAUCUAGAUGACGGAUUUAGCUCCAAACAAGUUCGUAUGAUGGAAAUACAAAACUUUUGGCACGCUCGACGCAAGUGAUUAUUUCAUACAACUACUUAUGCAUUGAAUCUAACAGUUUGAGAGCCAAAGCUUGCUGAUGCUCUAUAUAACUUGAGUCAGCAACAAACCCAGCUUUAUCCUUCUUCUCUUCUCUCUCACCAUCAUCAUCACUAUCAAAGUAUAUCUUUGACCUUUUGUGCGAUCGCUUAUCAGAUGGCUCUUCUUCUGACUCAGAUUCAUCGUCGUCCUCUUCUUCUGCAUUUGCUCUCUUCAGCUUCAUCUUCUCCUUCAUUCUUUUUUCACGACGACGCUGGCGGUCUUUUUCCUUGUCUUGCUUGUCUGUCUUCUUCACCUCUUCCCUAAGCCUCUUAUGAAAUUCUUCUUUCUUGUCUGCAGCAAAAAUAAUGUAUAUAUCAGGACACUAAUCCAAGCAGCUGCAAACACAUUCCAGUUCAUGCACAACAUGUGGGAUCAAGUCAUCAUAUUCAAGCGAUUAAAACUUGUUCUAUAUUUAUUCUACCUGAGCCAAUGAUAGAGGGAAGCCUCACAGUUAUAUAGAAGCUCAGACACUCAAUUGUAGUGGAGUCAACCAAUUAUUUCAGCUCACAUUCGGAUUUCAUUUUUUUCAAAAUUCAGGAAUCGAUACAUACCUUGAAGUCCAUCAAGAAUGCUGGGAUCACUGGGAGCAGCCAACCUUGCAAGUGGGUCCACCAAAUUGCCGUUCUCAUCAAAGACCCCCCUAGUUCCCGUAGGUUUAUCCAAGUUGAUCUUCAACUUCUUUUUCUUCGAAACCCGAGUUGCCGGCCUACAGGGAAAAAUGAGCACAGAAUAAAAGAGUGAAUUAAACGAGUGACCGAAGCAUUCAUUGAUAAUGCAUCCAUAACUACAACUUCUGGAUAUGCACAAAAAAAAAUAUAAUAAAUAAAUAAAUAAAACUUCUGGAUGAAACUAUUUGCGUGGGUAAUAAUCAGCAUUUGCGUCUGUUACUAAACUUGUCCUAACUACAUCUGGAUGAAAAUAUUUGCGCUGGUAAGAAUCAGUAAUUGCAUCUAUUACCAAAAGUCUAAACUUGUCCAACCUAUAUGUGAAUAUGUGGUUCUUGAUGACUAAAAUUAAUAAAUAAAAAAAGAAAUAAGAGAAGUACAUUAGACAAGCAACUUACAUAAUAUCUGCAAUCUGUCUUCUUUCCCCCUCUCUCUCAGUUGGUAUAUCAUUUAUUCGAAGAAGACCUUCCUCCACUUCCUCUUCGUCCCCAUCACCAAUAUCAAGCUCCUCUCUAGGAGUCUCUAAUGCAUUCUCCAUCUCAGAACUUUCUGGUUCAACAAUGGGAGACAGUUCCAAAGGUUUCUUGGAUUUCAUUUUAUGGUUUGAAAAACGGAUCUUGGGGGUCAUUGGUAAACCCAUUGAUGCGGAAAACUCAUCAACUGGCAGUUGCAUCACGUCAAAAACUUCUUUGUCCUUGUGGUUUUGAAUAGACUUUAAAUACGUGAUAAAAGCCCUUUUGGCCAGACCUGGAAGUGUGUCAGGGUACUUGACUAGCAAAGCUGACAGCAACCCACUUACAGGUUGCAGUCUCUUGUUGUUAGCCUGGGAGAGCAGCAUAACAGCAAUUUUAGCAUGGUGAAAUAUAUAAUAAACAAAGUUCUUGCAAACCACUUCCUCUGCCAGAAGAAGAAGAAAAUAAAGUUUACCUUGAUGCAAUCUAUGGGUAUUUUUGCGGCAUCUAACUUCUCAAGCAUUUUUGUUUCUGAGGGCAUCACAAAUAAAAGUGAUCGCCCUUCGGAUUGAUAGCGUGCAGUUCGGCCAACUCUGUGUAUAUAGGAUGCAACAUCUUCUGGACAAUCCACCUGCAAAUGGGGAGAUGAAAAUAUAAAGAACUGAUUAUAAAACAAAAACAAGGAACCAAGUUUUUUCAUCACAUUCUACACCAUUGUAACAAAAAUCUUGGAGCAAACAACUCACCUGAACAACCCAAUCAACUGCCUGGUUGAAAUCAAGGCCUCUCGAAGCUACAUCAGUCGAGAAAAGAACUGUAGCUUUUUCAUGAAACUGCGAGUAUGUGCCCAUUCUUCCCUCUUGCUUCAUCUUACCAUGAAGACACUUCAGGGGUAUUCCAGGUCGGAGCUUCUUAAAUGCUUCAUAGACAAAUUUUACCUAUUAAAGUAGCAAUUUAACCUAAUCAGCAAAGAUAAAAUUUAUAUCAUAUAAAAGAAGACUUAUUUAUAUCAACAACCAGAGGAAUGAUAAAUGAUAUAAAUGAAGGUUAAAUCUAAAGUCCACUGGAACUAGACUGCUGUUCCACAUAAAGGAAAAGGGUAAGCCUCUAAAAACAAGAUCAACUCUUGCAUAUGAUAAGAUGACAUUUUCUGGCAUGACAUAAUUGUGUGUCAGUAGAAUUAGAAACACAACGGCACCUGUUUACGUGUCGAUAAGAACACUAGAAUCCUAGAAUUCAGAUGUGCCUUUAUGAAGCUCCACAGCAUAUCUAAUUUUUUAUCAAGAGGAACAAUCAUUGCAGUUUGCUUCAAACGAUUUGGAGUGGCUCUUGUAGCCUUCUCGUGCACACUAAGGUAUUCUGGGUCCUUCAAACUAAGUCUUGCGAGAUCUUGAACUGACUUUGUUUGAGUUGCAGAGAAGAGAAAGGUUUGUCUUCUCUUAGGUAGCUGUGAAAUGAUGGCGUUCAAUGCCUUCUUAAAUCCCACGUCAAGAAUACGAUCUGCCUCAUCAAGAACCAAAACCUGUUCCCUGACCAGGAAAGUCCACCCAAGUCAGCAGAAAAUAUAUAUGUAUACAGGACUGACUAUGGGUAUAUAAGUAAAAUGAACUAUGGACCACAAAAAGUAAUAGAAUCUGAUGCAAUCAGAAGACUAAUAGAAUCAGAACUAAAUCUGAUAACUACGUCAUCAAACUGAUGCAAAAGAAGCAGCAACAGUAGAUUUGAAAUCAUAUUUCCAACUAUAUUAAGACAACACUAAUGUUUAAACAGAUAUCGGCAACUUUUUUCAUCUACUGCUGCCACAUAAAUACCAUUCCCCCCACCACCACCCCUUCUCAAAAGCAAACAAGAAAGAAAAAGUAGACCUGUAGCUGUGAACACUCAAAAUUUGGCGUCUCGUCCAUGUGUUGUAGAAGUCGUCCAGGAGUGCAAACCAGUAUGUUCAAUUCAUUUACGCGCUCCUUCUCCGCUUCAACAUCUUUCCGACCACCAAUUAGGAGGCCAGCACUAAAAUUAUGGUGCUUUCCAACUGCUCUUAACACAUCAAACGUCUGACUAGCUAGUUCUCUUGUCGGAGAUAUAAUAAUGCUGCCUACCCCAUCCUCAGGAUUCCAUCUCUCUUUAUACAAUUUUUCCAAGAGCUGAAAUCAACAAUGUACAAGAGGUGAAUAAAAAUGUCUUUUCUAAAUCUAUCCAAAUCAACACCAAAUGAAAGUAAAGCAUAUAGUUGAAAGAAAAUGCACAGACCGAUAUGCAAUAUAUCAAAUAUCAAUACUUUAGAAAUCUUAAGCCAGAACUUGGCACAAAGCAAAUGUUCCAAAACUCAAUUAACUGAACCAAAUACUAGCCAUUGACACUAUUCUUCACCUCUCACAAAACGAAGCAUCACACAACUCAUAGCAACUAUCCAAAAUCUAAGCAAAUAAUUUGACUCUGAGCAACAAUCACACAACUCAAUCAACUAGAACAAACACAAGCUCUACCUAAGACCCUCCAAACUUAACAGUAACUCAUCCACUUCCUCACAUUUCUCAUCAACCAAUGCCACCCAAAUCCAUCAUCUCUCACAAAAACCAAUCAUAAAUAUAAAAACCCAAUCUUUCACAGCUCAAAUUCUAAACCAAAAGCAAACUCAAAAUUCCAACAACCACCCAGAUACAAACUCCAUCUCAUAAACCAAACCCACAUACCGGAAUCACAAAAGCCAGAGUCUUGCCGGAGCCGGUCUUGGCGGCGCCCAGAAUGUCCCUUCCGCAGAGCGCGUGUGGCAAACACGCGCGCUGGAUAUCGGUCAUGUCGGUGUACCUGGACUGCCGCAAGGCGUCCUUGGUCUUCUUGGAGACGGGGAGCUCGGCGAACCUGGUGGCGCCGGCGUAGCGGGAGAAGGACGUGGGGUCCACGCACCCGAUGGGGGCGUUGGAGGGGAGAGGCGGGAGGGACAUUGGGUUGGAGCCGCAGUCGGGUUUCUGGGAUUCGAUCCAUGAAUUGAGGAGCUUGAUUUCUUCGACCUCUGAUAGCAGCUUUUGCUUCCGCGUUGUUUUCGAUAUGGGUUUUCUCAUUGCUGCUCUCUCUGCGACGACGACGUUAGGUUUUUGGGGUUUUAAACUGAUGAGGGUUUAAGCCUUUACGGCUUUACGUGAAAAUGUAAAAGUUAACUUAAACAAAACAAAAAGGGUAAAUUUUCUCUUGUUUUUACUUUUUAUUUUUUUAUCAGUUAAAUAACCCCGGAUACUAAAACGAGAGUCUGGUGUGAGUAAUCAUAUUGCACUCAUUCGUCUAUUUUAUUAUGAUCAUGGCUUCAUCUAUAAUCAUUCUCAAAAAAUACUACCAAGUCGUAACGCAUACCAUAUUUUAACCAGUAACUAGUUAGUCUCAUUUAUGAUUAUUUUUUAAAAAAUAUGUGUGAAUGACAAAAUAGAGUGUGUAAAUUACAUCACAUUUUUUUAUUAUUCUCAACCUCGUCAGAUGAAUCAUUGCACUCAUUCAUCUAUUUGUUAUGAUCAUUUUUCUUUAACUCAUGGUAAUUGUAUAAAAAACUUACGAUUUGCAAGUUAACUAAUUUAGCCAUCGAUCAAUUCUCAUUGAUUUUACAAUUCUAUUCAUUGAUUUGCAAGCAACUUGCGAUUUGAGACUCCAAUAAUGUAGUUGUCUAUGUAGAAAUAUUGUCGUUCUCAUUUAACACAAAUAACAUAAAAAGGGGAACGGUGAGGCCAUGAGGGAGCCUUUACCUUCCCGCUUAUCAUCAACAAGGACCAAACUUUACACCAAAAAUACUACGUAAGAGGGAUAGGAUAACACAAAAUGGCAGAAAAUGAGAAAGUUGCUCGGUAUCAUAACAAUGAUUAAACACAUUCAACUAGCAAAUUCAGCUUAGGAAGUUCUGGACAUGUACAUUUCCCUCCGUUUUGUCACACUUUUCUGCUGUAAAAUGGUUGCCGGACCCAGACAAUGGUCUCGAGUUCCUUUCCAGCAAGUUUGACAUUGUUCUCCAAAAACAGCUGCGAAAAUUCAGGUUCUAUCUUUUCAGGCCAAUAAAUCCUCUCCCGCCUCCUGAGCAACCUCCUGCUAAGUUGUGCAACUGUAGAUAUUUUGUUGCGGAGUUCUUGUUCACUAAGAACAAUACAGAAAAAUGAACAACCAUUGAGGCACCAAGCAAAGAAGGUUAAUCAAAAGGUUGCAGUAUCGGAAAUCAAACUGACCUCCCAUCUAAUGCCGCAUAAAGUUGCAUUAAAUCAUCAAGCAUUGUCAUCACUUCUCCAGAUAAUAUUUGUUCAAAUGCGUUCGGACAGCGUGCAGACCACACAGAAGUUAAAAGGAAAACAAAUUUUUCCAACUCCAACUGAAAUGCCAUCAAGUAAUGAGGAAUAUAAUCUACUACAACUGCUGCUCAUAAUGUGAACCAAAAUAACAAAAAAUCAAUGAUGAAUACUUACCUUUUUUGUUGAGGCAUCUGAAAAUAAACUCCUCUGAUAAACUCUUUUUUCACCAAGCCUUCCAAUAUAUCCCACAAGUGAUCAAAAUUCUUAGGGAGGUUCCCGCUGUAUUUCACCUCAUCUGCUUCCAGACCUGAGUUGGGUUGAAGAAGCUUAGAACUUUUGAUCUCAGCCUCAUCCGAAUCAAAAGCAGAAGGCCCAGCACAAUCAUUAGCAUUAGCUUCUACCAAAAACGGCUACAUAUUGAGAGGAUGAACAUGGAACAUGAAUAUGNNNNNNNNNNNNNNNNNNNNNNNNNNNNNNNNNNNNNNNNNNNNNNNNNNNNNNNNNNNNNNNNNNNNNNNNNNNNNNNNNNNNNNNNNNNNNNNNNNNNNNNNNNNNNNNNNNNNNNNNNNNNNNNNNNNNNNNNNNNNNNNNNNNNNNNNNNNNNNNNNNNNNNNNNNNNNNNNNNNNNNNNNNNNNNNNNNNNNNNNNNNNNNNNNNNNNNNNNNNNNNNNNNNNNNNNNNNNNNNNNNNNNNNNNNNNNNNNNNNNNNNNNNNNNNNNNNNNNNNNNNNNNNNNNNNNNNNNNNNNNNNNNNNNNNNNNNNNNNNNNNNNNNNNNNNNNNNNNNNNNNNNNNNNNNNNNNNNNNNNNNNNNNNNNNNNNNNNNNNNNNNNNNNNNNNNNNNNNNNNNNNNNNNNNNNNNNNNNNNNNNNNNNNNNNNNNNNNNNNNNNNNNNNNNNNNNNNNNNNNNNNNNNNNNNNNNNNNNNNNNNNNNNNNNNNNNNNNNNNNNNNNNNNNNNNNNNNNNNNNNNNNNGGAAGCAAGAUACCAACAUCAAAAGGCGUUCCGUAAGAUACAAGAAACCAUUAGGCGAAAUAUAGUCAAAAACAGUCCUCCAGUUUGUAUGAUAGGUUUCAACCAAAGCUUGAUGCAACUGCCUGACAAGGUUACACCUUGUUUCUCGAGUAUUAAUCACAUGUACAGACCCCUUCUUUACUCCAAUGAUACUCCCACACAUAUUCAGAAUGAACAACUCCCAUGGGCGACUACAUUUCAAAUCUUUCACGAGCUUCUCAUGUAGUUCAGAAUCAACACUACCGGACCCCAGAAUAAUCAUUGCUAGCCUUCCAACUUGCCCAUAGGAAAGCUCAAUAGUUGAGCUGGUAUAAUCAACAACGAGUUGUUUGAGAAGUUUUUUAAAAGCAUCACUUUGUCUAAGAAGAAUCAUAUUCCCUCUCAGAGUUUUUCUCCAAUCAAAAGGAAAUAUGCAAGCAACAAUACUUUCAGCUGACAGAUCAACAAAUUUCCUUAGAUUAGACGAGUAGUAUUAUCCUCGCUCUGAUCUAUUGGGAAUACUUCAGUGGCUAUCUUGGGCCAACGACCCAAUAAUAGAUGGAAAUAACAGCCCAGCCCAAACCGGACCGACUGCGAUCUCCGAAAUAAAAGGGGAAUAAGAAACUUAAUCUACCAUUCCCUUUCGUUAUCUAUCUUUCACGCUCUCAUAGAAAUCUCGGACCCUAAGAAGAAAAAAUUAUGGCUACCGCAACCGAAACGAGCUCCCAGCAAGAUGUGAAAAAACUGACCUUCUCCUUUGAGCAUCUCGGCGCCUCUUCUCCCGGUAUGAAUUUCUUCGUUCAAUUUUUCUCGUAUGUUUUGGGAUGCGAAUUGUCUCUUAUCUGUUACUUUCGAAUUUAGAUCUGAAAGUUGUUGUCUCUUAUCUCUACUAUGUGCUCUAUUGCUUUUAUUACAAUCUGGUGUUUGUGUAAUUGGCUUUUACAAACCCCUAUGCUCGGAGUUGUUGCCGGAAUUUAUGUAAUUUUUGGUAAAGCUAGAGUCAAACGUGAUAUCCCAGGACUUGUUUAAUGGGUAUAAUGUUGCAUAAAGUUAUACAAUCAUUUAAGAUUCUGAUUUUCUUAUCUUUUAUGGGUAUCUAACAAUGGAACUUAAACAAACAGGUUCCUAUACCCCCGUCCCAUUAAGGUCGGAGGUGGUGCCUUACAAUGAGGAUUCUAAGGUGGACCGCAAACAAACUGCCGCCUAUGUUCCAAUGGGGGGUGAAGAUGAUUUUUACAUAGACAUGUCCCAGUUCGCAUUGUCUCGCAUUAAUGAGGGUUCUAAGGUGAACUGCAAACGAACAGCCACCGAUAUACCUGAUGUCUUGGGGUCUGCGAUCAGACGAUCAGUCUUGGGGCCUGUGAUCAGAGGACCAGUGUCGGGCGAAGGUGCUUAUAAACACAAAAGACCGUGUGUGCCUUGUAAUGAGUGUUCUAAGGAGCACCCCUCUUUUCCUUCUUGCCCUUAUGUGCUUUGUGAUCUUUGUCAUGACCGUCACUACCCUAUUUAUUGCCCUAGCGUGCCUUGUCAAGUUUGUUAUCAGGAUCUUCACCUUACUCCUUAUUGCCCUUACUUUCACCUUAUCCCACAGGGUGCAGCUUUUGACCGUGACAACUAUGAAGUAGUUUGUUGCUGUGGUAAUGAAUUUAAUGAGGAAAAGUGGGUUUGUACCUAUUGUACUGGGAGAAAUGCACUGCUGAAGCGUAAGUAUUGUUCCAUUUGUGAUAGUAGCUGGAAACAGCACAGCACCCAUGAAUGCCCCAAGGACAAGGUCCUUGCUACCGAGUCUAAGUCGAUUAGGGACCCAUUAUCUUUGUCAGGGCGAACAUGAUUCCAUAUGAUGUGGUCUGUUCUCUAAGAGCCCCAUGAGGAACUGUUUCAACACCUUCUGUGUUUGUGGACACAUGCAUGAAAGAUGGCAAGUUUACUGUGUUUAUGAAAUAAGCUAACGAUUAGUUUUUGUUUUUUCUGGAAAAUAGACCGGUUGCACCAGAGAGGAUUUGGUUAAUGUAAGGUUAAUGCUACUGUAAUUAAAGGCACCUCUAACAGUAUCUGAAAUUUGCUAUUUACUAUGUUCUGUAGGAUUUGUUUGUUUUUUUUUCUUUUCUCUUUUUGAUCCUUUGAAUUUUGGUUUUCUUGUCGCGCAGAAACUCUAGGAUUUGUUAAUACCUCUAUUCUGCAUCAAACAUUCAAUGAAACAAGAUUUGGUAGUGGCAACAUAACCUUGGAAGCAAGGUACAAACAUUAGAAGGUGUUUAAUAAGCUAUAAGAAACAGGCCUCCGGUCUGCAUGAUAGUUUUCAACCAAAGCUUGAUGCAACUGCCUGGCAUGAAACGCCUCCCUUGUUUCUCGAGCAUGUACAUACCCCCUUCUGUUCUCCGAUGAUACUCCCACACAUAUUCAGGAUGCACAGCUACAUUUCAAUUUUUUCUCGAGCUUCCAACUUGCCCAUUGGACAGCUUGAUUGUUGAGCUGGUAUAUUGAACGACGAGAAGCAACAUUUUGUCUAAGAAGAAUCAUGUUCAUACAUGAUACAUCUUUGCUGCGACACAAAUCUGGUUAAGAGUCCAGGUCUGGAAGGAAACUGAAUCGGAAUUCUUGAUAAUGAACUGGUAGAGUUCUUCAAGCUUGUUCAAAACAUUAUUGCUAAUAGGGAUUAGUUUGCAACUCCAAAAACUCCGAACAGCCAAAAGAAUUUGGAAAUAGUGUGGUGACCAAUUCUCCAUUCUUCAGAAUAUAUCUCUUAUCUAGGUCUAUACCUCUAACCCAAGAAGCAUCAAACACGAGUGAAAUAUAGACCGGUUUCAGAUGAAAAUCCCUCCAUUCUCCCAGGUAAUGCAGAAAGAGAUCUCCAUAGCUUCCUUUUUUGUUAACAUCUUGGGCUUCCUGAUGUUCAAAAUAUUUGACCUCUAUCUAUGGAGCCAGACUCUCCCGUCCGACAGCGUCUAUAGACACGCCGCCGUCAGAUGGAGGCUACAUGUUUUUGAAACCCCUAGCACAGCGGCAGAGAGUAACAGAAAAAUUAACUAUGCGAUGUACUUGAUCGAAUAAUUUUGAUAUUGAAUGUUUAGAACUUUGCAAAACAACGAAUUGUUUCUAAUUUUGUUAUAUUUUUUUUUAAUCAAUUUACCACUACGCCAAGUAGAGAAGAAAUUCAAAUUCCACCCCACCACUGAAUUUGAAAUCCAAACCCAGCUAUCAAAACUAAAAUAAACAACACUACUAUAAUUUUGGGUCUCAAGUUAGAAAUAUCCAAAAGCUGACAAUUCAAACUACUUGGAACCUGUAAACUGGGCUUAAAUGGUACAAAAACAUCAUCAAAUAGCACAAAAAUCCACAGGAUGUCCCAAUAUCUUCAGUCUUCCUUAACCAAGUCCGUAAACGAUGUCAUCCUAGCAGCUCUAUCAAAUACCUCCCUGCUAGCAUACGCUAGAUAAUAAUCACAAAUUUCACCGUCUGUGUUGGUAUAAGUUUGCUGCCGAAUAUGGUUUCCAAAAACAUUACACGAACCGAACCAAUUCUUGCAACAAUCUGGUGAGGACAGUUUGACAAGGUAAACCAGAAAGCCUGUUGGAGAACAUAACCAAAGUAUACUUUUCCUACGUAGACCUGUGUCAAAGCUAUAAAACCAAAACAAAAAAGACAUGUUAUGUGACUUAUGUCUAACAGUUUAACAGAAUACAUAAUACAGAAUACAUAUACACAUACACAUACACAGUUUUACAGAAUACACACAACAAUUUUACAGAAUACAGAAUACACACAGACAUACACAUAACAGUUUUACAGAACACACAUAACAGUUUUACAGAAUACAGAAUACACAUACACAUAAUAGUUUUACAGAAUACACAUAUACAUACACAUACACAUAACAGUUUUACAUAAUACAUACACAUACACAUAUUUUACAGAAUACAUACACAUACAAAUACACAGUUCUACAGAAUACACAUACACAUAACAGUUUUACAGAAUACAAAAUACACAUACACAUAACAGUUUUACAGAAUACAUACACAUACACAUACCUUCGUAGAUGUAAUUCCAAAUCCAAUGGACUCAAGAUGCGUUCAUCUGUGUUUUGAAUGAUGAAAAUCAUGGUUUUUCCAUCAUAAAACUUGUUUUCAUACUCAAUUUUAUGACGAUACAACUCAUCGAACACAGAUCCUUCAAACAAAAGCUUCGAUUCCCCGCGUUUUAUAGAAUAAACUGUCAAAAAUAUAUAAAAUGGGAGAAACUCAAUAAUUUUUAGCUCUAAUAUUUAAAAUGGAAAAAAAUAUGACAAUAUACCUUGAAUAACUCCACCAGUGUAAGGAUCAUUCUUUGCCGCUUCCAUUAAUUCUUUGACUAAGGCAUCCAUGUCCCUUGCUGAUUCUGGCCUGGUAGAAUUGUAAAAAUAAUUGAAAUAUAAGAAUAAUUAUUAUUAGUUACAGGGGAAACAUAAAAAAGCAUUCACAUAUUCUAAAGAAACUAAUAAGAAUUAUUUUUUUUUUUUUACAUACUUUCUUAACUGACAUAAUCCGAGCAAGCUUCCACUUCCAGAUCCAAAAACAUUAUCUUUUACGUUGAUCGCCUGAUCAAGCCCAUCCCCCACAAGCCUAACAUCAUGUGCCUACAAGAAAAAACAAUAGUUAAAUGUUAGAUCUUUUAUUUAUAAAAAAAAAAUAAUGUUUGAGCUUUGAUUUAUAUCAAAAAGGAGAAAUUCGAUAUAAUUUAAGACAUUUUGAGUCAAUUUAGCUUAUUUACUAUGUCCUAAUUGGUACAUUGUGGGUGUUAAAACUUGGGUGAAUAUAUGUCUAUGAGGUAUUUCAAAAAUUGGGUAUAGAUUAAAAUUCACAAACAAAAAUCUAUAUCAAAACACAUACCUAUUUAUCAGGAAUCCAAGAACAUAAGUGAACAAAAGAACGGUGAUCCUUUACAGGGUCCAAUGGAGACUCAUGAAAGUACUCAAUGGCAGCCCUGCCAACUUGAGCAAGAGUAAAUGGCAUUUGACUUCUUUUUUUUAUGCUCAUUCAUUUGUUCAUUGACACGCUGUUUCAUCUUCUGGCACCUGAUGGCAUCUCCACAUAGAGUGGCAUAAACAUUUGGAACGAUCUCUAUGAACUUCUGAUCAUUAAAGCUCAGCAGAAGCUCAUAACCAGUUCUCUUAUGUUUUGGAUCGACCGCUGGAAAUCAAACAUAAAUACGUGAACAUUAUUAAGUCUCACUUAAACAUAUACAUACACACACAAAGCAAUUUGAAUGUACCUUUAUAUGUUUGACUCUUUAGUGAAUCAACACCAACUAGUAGCUCUGUUGGCGAACAGCGUAUCCAAAAAACUGUGGUCCCGUGACAUGAUCCCAUGAAAUACUGAGUAAGCUCAGCCUCAGUGUUGCUCUCAUGCAGACUAAGGUACUCCGGGUCCUUCAAACUUGGCCAGCUCUUUGGAACUUCCAGAUCACUGAUCACAAAAUGUAAAACACAAGGAGACCAAUAAUUAGAUAAAAGUUCAGAAAAGAAGAAAAAUAUGUAUAUUAUAUCACUGCUAAGAGUAGAGUCAUUAUUUAUAAAAUCAUGGACGAAAAGAAAACGCUGAUUAUCUGGAAUAUAUUCUGGAAGGUAAAAUGACAUACCCCUCGAGACAUUUCUCCUUACACAGAUUAAUAUACUCAUCUGUAUAUUUGUUUAACAUAUUGUCCAUGCGAUUUACCAACUCUGGGAUAUCCUCUAUAGGCAUUAUGUCCCAAAUCUUCAAUACUUGUAUAUAUCUCAAAUCCUUUGCUAUGUCUGUUGUGCAAACAAUAUAUAGGUCUUCAACCUUAAAUUUCUUCAGGAUCAGUGAAGAGUUACCACAAAGUAUAUCUGAACUUUGCAUCUUCGGUCUCCAGCCACUGGCAAGCUUUAGUAGAACAUUUAUCACUGACCUCUUCAAACUGACUGACUUCAGUUUCUUGAAUGAAUUCAAAAAAUCAUCGCUAAAAAGUACCUGAAGAUUUAUUAUAGAGCAGAACAUCCAAUUUCAGAAACUUUUGAUAAGUUCACAUUAGGUUCUUAGAAAUUUAGGGGCGAUCAAGAAGUAAUAACAAAAAUCAAUAUCUUCAAUUACCUUCCAUCUAGCUCUUCUGAAAAGUACACUGUCAGAAUUAAGCAAAUCAUCUAGUUGGUCGAACUGUUUCUUCACUUGUAGUAUGGCCUUGGCUAAAUCCUCGUCUUCAUCAGCAUUAAAAAAGCAUUGGCGAUUUUUGGCAUCAAGGACCAAGGCCUCCCAAACAGACUCACUUUCACAUAGCGUUCUUUCAUUCCCCAAAAUCCACAGGCAGUGCCUGCAAACAUCAGAGAACCAGAAGUUAUAUCCAUCAAGCUAAUUAAAAAAGAUGCAAAAGCAUACAGGUUUAUGUAGGACAUACCUUGCCCUUGUAAGAGCAACAUUAAUUAUCUGCGGUUUUGAAAUAAACUCAAGUGACUGUUGACAAUUGGAUCGUACAGUGGAAAAUAUAAUGAUGUCCUCUUCCCCACCCUGGAACCCGUCAACUGUCUUCACUUUCACUAUAAAUCCAUCAAGAUUAUUAUAUUUCUUUCCAAGUUUGUCCUCGAUUGCAACUACUUGAGCAGCAUAUGAAGAAACUACACCAAUACUGAGAUUCUGUUUUGAAUCAAUCCAUUCUGUUACAAAAAGAAAACCGAAAGCCAUCAAUUGUCAGUAUGAAAAGAUAAAGAUGAUAGAAUUUCUACAGUUACGUGCUUGUUUGAGAAAAUGAUUCAAGGAAUUAUACUACCAAUGCUUAAAACCUUCAUUUCUACUACAGGAUUUAUAAUAGAUAAAUAAAUAAACCAUAUACAAUGAUCAUGCAUCAGAAGAAGAAAAGAAAAAAAAAAAAAAACCUAUUCAGUCUUGUAAACUAUAUAUAUUCACCACCUAAAUGGAACCAGUCCCACCAGAAGCUAUGAAGCACAGGGCAGAUAUAAGAAGUCUUGCAUGCAGUACAAAAACUCUUAGAUGAGCUUUAGCUUUUCUAAAUGGAAUAAAUAUUUAUCCUUACUAACAAAAUAUUAAACUUUCAAGUCAAUGCUAUGCAUACACCAAAGACAAUUUGAAAUUUAUUAACAAAUAUGACCAGAUCAGAAGCUGAAGUGCACCGUCACAUAAAAUAAAAUGAAGCAAGUUAAAAAUUGAAAAAAUAAAAUGAGAUGAGAACACAAGGAAGAAUGCAACGAUAUACCUAUGUACAAAUUCUGCAGUAUUUGUGAAACAACAGCAACCUCAACCAUAUUCUUCCGACUACAUCCAUCCUCGUCUUUCUCUUCUUGUCCACCAAUUACAUUGAUAAAAGAGUAAGGACCAAACAUUGACCCUUUAAGAUAACUUUCCUCCUGGCCUCUCCUUUUGAUAUAUGGAGCAUCCAGGAUCAUGUUAUUGUAGAAACUAGAAUUUGGGAAGGAACUGAUUGAUGGAUGCAUCCUGUACUGCAUAUUCAGGAGGUGUUUUGAGUGACCAACUAAGCUUAACCUCUCAAACAAGCUUCUUGCAAAACCAGCUUCAUCAGAAACCUACAGAAGUAAGGAAUUUAGCAUAAAGUAUACAUAAAUAAGAAGUGGAACAAAAACUGAUAGGACGAGUAAAGACAUGACAUCUACUUACAGUGCUCUUUACUAUAGCAGGUAACUGACAUUCGUCACCAACAAGAACAGCAUGCCUCACACCUGGUAGUUGAAGGGGGAUUGUUGAUUCACACUCUUUCAAUUGUGCAGCUUCGUCAAUAACCACAAUGCUUAAUGGCUCCAUUGCCAGUUUAUGCAACUUAUAUGAGCUGGAUGCAGUGCAAAAUAUCAAGGAAGCACUUUUGAAAACAAAAUGCCAUUAGAGACUCUUGCUUCAUAAAGUCCGGAAGAUCAAGUUUUCUAAGAGAGUCAAAUAGUUUAUGCAAAACUUUAAGGCAUUCUCUUCUAUUUGUGAAUAGAAGAAAAGAGUUAUCAACACAUGUCUCUGAUAUGUCUUCUACAUCAGAACGAGAGAAAAUGUCUUCAAGUGCUUCAGGAGCAACAUUACCUUGAAACAACAAUGAUUCAAAGGAAUCUACCAGGUUGACAAGCGAAACCAUGCUUUGGAAAAUAUCUGCGGAAAUGUGAUUUUUCGCCAUGUGGGUACAGAAGAUAGAAAUGCAAUAUCUUAGAGGUGAUGCAAUAGAAACAAAUCUAUCUCUUAUAAACUCCAGAAAUGUUUUGCACUUGUCCUUGCCAACUUUAGUGACAAUUCUACUUUCUUUCACUUGCAUUUGGCCUGUAGUCUUCAGUUCCUUCUCAAUAGUUAACCCGUUUCCCAGAAAAGUACGGUAGUGAGAAACACCAUCUUCAAGACAUUCUAUCAUGGAAGUAAAGCAAUGCCUCCAACCAGUCUGUGGCCCUAGGCACUCAACAAGCCUUUUGAGACGGAAAUCUAAAUAUAUCUCUUCAAUGUCUGAGCCAAUUUUGAGUCGCUCCUUAUUCCCAAAUAGAAGAACUUUUCCCAAAGAACAAUACGGAGCAUUGGACUCUACUUCAGUCACCAUCUUUACAAGGCGAGAAGCAAUUUCAGUUAUUGCAACAUUUGUUGGGGCACAAACAAGAGUCCUGCAAUUCAUCUGUAGCAGGCUUAAGAGUAGAGUGACAAUGGUUUUCGUCUUUCCAGUACCAGGAGGACCCCAAAUCAGUUCCACAGCAGACUUGUCACGAGAAUGCAGCAUUUCAAGACAGGCUAAAACAGUCCCAGUUUGGGAUUCACUCAAGCCAGAUGAUAAACUCUGUACCAAUCCCAUAUUCACAAUGUCACUGUUCUUUUCAGAGCAGACACUUUUCUGAGCCUGUAAUCAAGCAUAAGGUCUUCAGUCAGUUCCAGCAAUAUAUGACAGUUUAAAGAAAGAAAGAGUUACAGAUACAUAUAUGAUUACAUCUAAAAAAACCAUUACUUAAUUUCAGUGGUACACAAGUAUUAGAGUUAAAAGCAAGGGGGAAACAUUUGUCAUAUUUCUUCAUGAAAUUUAAACCAGAAGAUAUGGUCUCAAUAUUAAUAAAUUAUAACUGAUAUAGUAAAGGUUAUUUAGCUGUGUAAAAAAGCUGAAUUCACCGAGUAGGUGAGUACUAUCUAUGGUGUGACCAGUAUUACAUUACAUCUUACAUCAUCUAUAGCUUAUGUAACGCAACUAUUUCCCAUGUUAGUGAAUGUACUAACUCAACUAAUCAAAAUCUACUAUCACAAUUUACAAAGCUCUCACCACAUUAUCAGUGCACAGAACCUCCUUGACAAUCUUCAAGUUUUUGGACAUGUGCAAAGCUUUCCAUAUUCUUCCAUUUGGUAUUAAGUUCACUAGGAAAACCAUAAACAAUGGUGUUGUGCUCUUUAAGACUUUAAGCUCUUUGGAAGCCUUGACUUUAAAAUAAAGAGAAGUAGUGUCAUCCUUGUUCUCAUUUUCUGACACUUUAGUGACUGAUCCAAAAGCCCACGACCUCCCUAACCUUUGUAAAUCAGAAACAGUUUCAAGUUUAGCAUUUGCUAAAACAAAGAGAUCACCAGGCAAAGUUUUGUAUGGCUCCUUGCCACGGUCAUUGAACCUGUUUCGCCAGUAAUCAACCUUGACAUUGUAGAGCUUUCUUCCAUAUGGCUUGGCAUUUUCAAAAGAAACUACUUUAGCAUAUGGUGCCCUGUGAAUAGUCUCCAUACUUGAAUGGACUUGUGCUCGUGUUUCUUCUAAUAAAGGAUACACAUAACACCCGAAGUAAUGCUCAACAGACUGAAAUGACUCAGGAAUCUUUUCCACCUACAAUAACAAACACAAACAGUAAGUACUUACAAAGAUAGAAAAACAAUCAGUACUUACUCCUCAUUUCAUUGGAAAAACUUGAAUUCUCUAGAGCCGUUUUUCGCAAAAGCAUGAACUAUUUACAUGAAUCUUAAACAUAUAAGUUAAUCCGAAACGCAUUUACUCAUAGUUUCAGAAUUCAAACACAGCACACAAUCAAAACAGAGCCUUUUUCUUUUGCACAUCUCUGCUCAGCAGUACAAAAUGAAAAACAAAACCCACAAAAUCAAUUACAUUUUCACAUUGCAGUAAAAUCAAAGCAUGAUGAAAAAUUAGAAAACUGAAACAGUUGGGGUUAAAGAUUAGGUCUUUCUGAGUCAUCAAGAUUUGGUGGGCUUUGAGCUACUAAAAAGGAACCUCCUUUCACAACCGUCAUCAAGAUUCAAGCCAUAAAACCUUUCCCAUUUCACUCAUCUAUGCUAAGUAAACAUAAAGACGCUACCUUUCCUCAGUAAAAACACGAAAGAUGUGAUUUUUAUGCAGCAAAAGUGAAAACCAAUUACCUUGUUCUUGAAGAGACGUUCGUUGAGAACGUCAUCAAUGGACCAAGAGAAGACUGUAUCGGCCAAAAGGUUGGGUCUUUUACCUUUCUUCUUGUGUGAAGCUUCCAUCUUCACCUUUUCCAACUCAAAGGCGCUUGCUUUCCUUGUCUGCAUUCAAAACAAAGCAUGUGAUUUUGAUUUUGGAACCCACAAAGUUGUGUAGAGAAAGAAAAAGAACUGAUUUUGAAGAACAGAAAUGAAAGAAGUACAUUACAUUUUCAACUCUCUGGGAUUGAAGCUAGCAUGGAGUGUGAAAAGAGAGAGGUGAAGCUUCUGUGUGGAGUAAUCGCAAGGGUUUAGAAAGUGAGAGCAAAUUGUGAAGGCUUGGAGGAGAAGUAGUUCAUCUCUUGACCAUUUGACCCUUGUCUUCUUUUUUCUUUUUCUUUUUAUGCUUUGUAUUGUAAAAUGCACAUUUAUUUAGACGUUGGUUAUGUGAAGAGAGUCGUUGGGAGUCCGGACAAGUUCUUCCCACAAAGGUCUUUAUAUACAAGUGCACUAAAUAUACAAGUUCAUAUUUUGUCAAAGUUUAGAUUAUCAAUUUGGACAUUUGGGUAGAUCAAAUCCGAAACAAACGUUGUGUUACAAACUGAAGGUAAAUGGUCACUAAAAGGCAAACUGAAGCCCAGUUGUGUACAGUACACCAAGAGAGAAAAGAAUAUAGAGAAAAAUAAAUUACACACGGUGUACCUAUGCAUUGUGUCUCCGUAGCUAGUUUCUCAACUGUAGCCAUAUUAUCAUGAUGUGGCAUCAAAAUGUACUAAGAGAUACGAAAGCUACCAAGACAAUCGAAAUGUUUAUAACUGACCUUCCAUCUAAUGUGGCGUAGAAUUGCACCAAUUCAUCCAGCAUUUUCAGCACUUGUCUAGAUAACUUAUGUUCUUCUUUGCCAACACCAGACCAUGCAGCAGCGAAAAGCCAAAUAAUCUUCUCCAAAGCCAACUGAAAAGAACAGUAAGGAAAAAUUUAACACUAUGAAUCGCUGGCUUAUCUGAACCAUGUAAUAACUACUAGAAUUACCUUGAUUGUUGAGGCAUCUGAAAAUCUAUUGCACUGUUCUCUUCCCUUAGCUUUGUUGGUUUGAAACCCUUUAACUAUUUCCCACAAAGGGAUAAAAAUGGAUUGGGAAGUUAUUUCUAUUCCAAUGCUGAAGGGUUUCAGUGGUGUGCCUUUGCCCUUGUGAAGAACGAGCCACAGGAUGUUUUGAUUUCAGAAUUUCACCAGUGCAUAGGUUAGCCUUCAUGUAGAUGCAAAUGACAUCUGAACAGCAGAACCUUGAACAUUCAACCCCGAAACUUGUAACCACCAGAGAAUCACGUAAAGAUGCAAUUCCCUUAAGGACAUAACAAAACUCCUUUGGUAGCUGUUCAGAAAUGUACUUCCUCCUCAGCAUAUCCAAAAGAAUAUCAAAACCCAUACCAAAUUCAGAUAAAGCAAACAAAACACAAAACCCCAUCUCUGCAUCAGUAGCAAGUAAUACAUCUUCCAGCAUCUUCCAACUCUUGGUACACUUUUUAAUCAAUUUAAUCAUAUUUAUCUUAUCAAAAAGAAGUUCCCGAACCACAUCAAUCAGAAACUGAAGGAUGCAUCCAAAAGAAAUUAAAACAUCAGCCACUAUUACUCGGUAAUAUUCCUCUUUAUAUAUUAGCUGUUCAAUAAAACAAGAUCUUGUAGUGAUUGCAUAACCUUAGAAGCAACAGAUCCAAAUCAGAAGGCAAUCUACAAGAUAUAAGGAGCAAUCAGGUGAUAUAUGUAGCAGUGUAAACUCCAAUUCUUACUAUAAGUUUCGAACAAUGCAUCAUGAAACCUCCGCAAAAGAGAACCUCUGGACUGAUAUUUCCAAUUAAAGAGCCUUCAGAAAAGUCUGACUCUCUUUGUUCUACAACAGUGUCAGACACCACAGCACAUUCUAGAACUGUUGUAUUUUUAGGCUGCUCACUGUUAUAACCUUCUGGAAGCUCAGACAGAAUAUUGUCACAUGACACAUAGAUCCUCAAUGAACUUUUUCCAAGGAGAGUUGCAGUCUAUAUUUUUUACAAGCUUCCCACAAAGUUCAUUAUCCAGCUUACCAGACCCGAGAAUGAAACUUGAUUUGGUAGUGACAACAUUACCUUGGAAGUAGGAUACCAACAUCAGAAGGUGUUCAAUAAGAUACAAGAAACAAUUAGGUCAAAUGUAGUCAAAAACUUCCUCCAGUUUGCAUGAUAUAUAGGUUUCAACCAAAGCUUGAUGCAACUGCCUGACAAGAAACACCUCCCUUCUUUUCUCCAAUGGCAUUCCCACACAUAAGGCACUCCCUACAUAAUCAGAAAUAACAACUCCCAUGGCCGACUACAUUUCAAAUGUUCUCGAGCUUGUAUAGUUCAGAAUCAACAAUCCCAGACCCCGGAAUAACCUACAUGUCAAUCUACCGCGUUCACUUCUAUUGUUAUGCAUAGCUAGCUGGCUGAAUAUCAGAUGCUCAGGUGUUCUUCCCUAGGAAAAGCUCUGAACAGUAUCUGACCAUUUCCCCGGAGAAUGAUCACUGCUGCUGUUCAAAGACAGUAUAGCAUCUGCCCUCGAAUCCCUUAUCAUGCUCAAAACCUUUCUCAUUGUAGGUCUGUUCUCUGGUGUAAUCGAAACACAAGCCAUUGCAAUAUUAAGAAGCGCCUGAAGUUUCUCCUCUGAUGCCUCAUUGCCAGAGCUGACAGGUUCUGUCUCCUCGCGAACGGAACGAACCCAUCGAGGAAUGUUUUGAGUCAUGUUCAAAUAGAGGCAAUACAUGCAUGGGAAAACAAAUUCUCAUGUACCCAGUCCCUUUCUUUUCCACACCAAGUUCAGUUUCUCCUUACUGCAAUCCUCCUCCAUCAACCAUUUCAGCCCCUAACAUAUACAUUAAGAUUAAUAAUCCAACUCUCAACCAAUUUAGUACCCCAAGUAGGAUCAAAGCAUGCUACCUUAAUCCAAAUUCCAACUCUCCACAAAGUACUUCGGUUGUUCCUUCAUUGAAUUUGAAAGCUCGGAGUUCCUUAAUCAAAUAAAAUUCAUCGCAAAUCAGAAACGAAGUCUCAAUUUGGCCUUAACAAAACGAAUUAGAUGGUCCACACGCCGCGGCGUUUGCCGGAGUUGAAAGUCUGAAUCAUGGUGUUUCGGGUAAACCAGAGCCGCUGACUUCACCAUGGAAGUUUAGAUGUGGCCGGAGAAGGUGAAUCGAUCCUUCCUUGCUGCGAAGGGGCGUACGUGAUCGUCCGGCAUCGGGGGUGGCUGAAGGCUUUGAGGAUCGCAUAUGGCUACAUGCCUGCAUGUGAGGUUCAGAUUGGGUUUUGGUCGGUUUGGAAGUCUGUUUCAAUGCAUAAAAAAUAGCUUGGGUUGGGCUUGAUAAUGGGUUGGGCUUGUUUUUUGGUAGGCCUAGUUAUUUAGGGUUUUAAUAUAUUUUUUUAGGUUUUCAAUCUGUUAACGUGGAACUUGGGGUAACCCCCUCUGCGUAGGGUGGUCUAGGUUGCGCCUGGCUCUGUUCUUUUGAGUUUCAUCACAUGAUGAUUGCAUUAAGUUAUUUUAGGGUAUCUCUGCAUGGCUUAAUUCUUACGUGGCCCCUCUGAGGCAAAUCAUGUAUAUGUAAUCUCAUUUUUUAUUGAAUACAAAGCCGUACGUCUUUCCUCUCAAAAAAGAGUUUUGGCUAUCUUGGGCCAACGAUCCAUUAAGCUUAUAAUAGAUGGAUCCACAAUUGAAAUAACAAACCCAACCGACUGCGAUCUCCGAUAUAAAAAGGGAAUAAGAAACCUAAUCUAUCUACCAUUCCCUUUCGUUAUCUAUCUUUCACGCUCGAACCCUAAGAAGAAAAAAUUAUGGCUACUGCAACCGAAACGAGCUCCCAGCAAGAUGUGAAAAAACUAAUUAACCUUCUCCUUUGAGAAUCUCGCCGCCUCUUCUCCCGGUAUGAAUUUCUUCGUUCAAUUUUUCUCAUAUGUUUUGGGAUUUUUCAACAGUUUGUUGCGAAUGUUUUUGAUAAAAAUAUGAUUAUUGAUUGUGAAAAAUAUAUAUGUUACUUUAUAAUCUCAGAUCUGAAGUUGUUGUUGUUGCUCUUGUCAGGUAAAAAGAAACAGUUGGGUUCCAGAUCUGGAAGCAGCGAUGGAAAAGGCUACACGGCAUCCGAUGAUUCAGGUUUUCUGCUUAAUUCGUUCCCCUUUCGUUUAUUAAACUAAAGAUGAUGCUCCCAAUCAUGCCGGGAAAACCACGUUGUUGUCCUUUAUGUAUAAGUCUUUACAGAUCUACGGCAUUAGGAGCUCGAAGAUACCAACCCCCGUACAAAUACUCCACUUAUGCACAAAAUUUCUUGAGGCAUUUCAAAGCAGUUGAUGCUCCCAUCCUGGUGACUUCAUCAUAUUGAUCAACCCCUGCAUCAUAUGCAAGCAUUCGUAACGCACCUAUCAUUUUUUGUUCUGGGAGCAAUCCCAGCUUUCUUGUGACAUUUGGCUUCUGUUUCCAAAAAUCGUCGAAAUUGCAAAGGUCCGCCAUGAUGCGAUUGAAUACUGGUUUUUGCAUUUGAUAACGCUGACAAAAAAUUGUGUUGCUAUACACUAGACGCUCGACAAAGUAAUCCUUCAUCAUGUUAGCCCCUCUUGAUUGCCUGUGUCUUUCGACGUUAUAGGCACAACCAAGUCGUGAACCACGACCUUAAGGAGUCUGCAUCUGCAUAUGGUGAUAUUGGGCAACCAAUGCAGCGGCUUGAGCAUUGUUGGACCGAAUCUGCAUAAUAUGCUCUUCAUCUUCUUCAUCUCUCGCUCUCAAAUAAUUUCUAGUACAAUCCAUGAAAAUGGUGAGAAGUGAAAUAGAUGAUGAUAUCUGAGUUUAGAAGGAGGAGAUGAAUGUGUGAAUGUAGAAUGAGUUUAAAGCUUAUUUAUUGACGUUUUUAGGAGACAAACUGUUAUCGUCUACACACGUGGCAUGUCAUGAUUUGCUUGAAAUCCUAUCCAAAAUCAUCUCAAUUAUUUUUGACGAUAACGAUAUAUGAAAAAGACAUGUGUCGUCUGUUUAAAUUCCAACAACCACCCAGAUACAAACUCCAUCUCAUAAACCAAACCCACAUACCGGAAUCACAAAAGCCAGAGUCUUGCCGGAGCCGGUCUUGGCGGCGCCCAGAAUGUCCCUUCCGCAGAGCGCGUGUGGCAAACACGCGCGCUGGAUAUCGGUCAUGUCGGUGUACCUGGACUGCCGCAAGGCGUCCUUGGUCUUCUUGGAGACGGGGAGCUCGGCGAACCUGGUGGCGCCGGCGUAGCGGGAGAAGGACGUGGGGUCCACGCGCCCGAUGGGGGCGUUGGAGGGGAGAGGCGGGAGGGACAUUGGGUUGGAGCCGCAGUCGGGUUUCUGGGAUUCGAUCCAUGAAUUGAGGAGCUUGAUUUCUUCGACCUCUGAUAGCAGCUUUUGCUUCCGCGUUGUUUUCGAUAUGGGUUUUCUCAUUGCUGCUCUCUCUGCGACGACGACGUUAGGUUUUUGGGGUUUUAAACUGAUGAGGGUUUAAGCCUUUACGGCUUUACGUGAAAAUGUAAAAGUUAACUUAAACAAAACAAAAAGGGUAAAUUUUCUCUUGUUUUUACUUUUUAUUUUUUUAUCAGUUAAAUAACCCCGGAUACUAAAACGAGAGUCUGGUGUGAGUAAUCAUAUUGCACUCAUUCGUCUAUUUUAUUAUGAUCAUGGCUUCAUCUAUAAUCAUUCUCAAAAAAUACCACCAAGUCGUGACGCGUACCAUAUUUUAACCAGUAAUUAGUUAGUCUCAUUUAUAAUUAUUUUUUAAAAAAUAUGUGUCAAUGACAAAAUAAAAUGUGUUAAUAGCAUCACAUUUUUCUUAUUAUUCUCAACCUUGUCAGAUGAAUCAUAUUGCACUCACUCGUCUAUUUGUUAUGAUCAUUUUUCUUUAAAGUACUACUCAUGGUAAUUGUAUAAAAAACUUACGAUUUGCAAGUUAACUAAUUUAGCCAUCGAUCAAUUCUCAUUGAUUUUACAAUUCUAUUCAUUGAUUUGCAAGCAACUUGCGAUUUGAGACUCCAAUAAUGUAGUUGUCUAUGUAGAAAUAUUGUCGUUCUCAUUUAACACAAAUAACAUAAAAAGGGGAACGGUGAGGCCGUGAGGGAGCCUUUUCCUUCCCGCUUAUCAUCAACAAGGACCAAACUUUACACCAAAAAUACUACGUAAGAGGGAUAGGAUAACACAAAAUGGCAGAAAAUGAGAAAGUUGCUCGGUAUCAUAACAAUGAUUAAACACAUUCAACUAGCAAAUUCAGCUUAGGAAGUUCUGGACACGUACAUUUCCCUCCGUUUUGUCACACUUUUCUGCUGUAAAAUGGUUGCCGGACCCAGACAAUGGUCUCGAGUUCCUUUCCAGCAAGUUUGACAUUGUGCUCCAAAAACAGCUGCGAAAAUUCAGGUUCUAUCUUUUCAGGCCAAUAAAUCCUCUCCCCCCUCGUGAGCAACCUCCUGCUAAGUUGUGCAACUGUAGAUAUUUUGUUCCGGAGUUCUUGUUCACUAAGAACAAUAGAGAAAAAUGAACAACCAAUGAGGCACCAAGCAAAGAAGGUUAAUCAAAAGGUUGCAGUAUCGGAAAUCGAACUGACCUCCCAUCUAAUGCCGCAUAAAGUUGCAUUAAAUCAUCAAGCAUUGUCAUCACUUCUCCAGAUAAUAUUUGUUCAAAUGCGUUCGGACAGCGUGCAGACCACACAGAAGUUAAAAGGAAAACAAAUUUUUCCAACUCCAACUGAAAUGCCAUCAAGUAAUGAGGAAUAUUAUCUACUACAACUGCUGCUCAUAAUGUGAACCAAAUAACAAAAAGUAAUGAUCCACUUACCUUUUUGUUGAGGCAUCUGAAAUAAACUCCUCUGAUGAACUCUUUUUCACCUCCUGCAAGCCUUCCAAUAUAUCCCACAAGUGAUCAAAAUCCUUAGGGAGGUUCCCGCUGUUUUUCACCUCAUCUGCUUCCAGACCUGAGUCGGGUUGAAGAAGCUUAGAACUUUUGAUCUCAGCCUCAUCCGAAUCAAAGCAGAAGGCCCAGCACAAUCAUUAGCAUUAGCUUCUCCAAAANNNNNNNNNNNNNNNNNNNNCAGACCCCUUCUUUACUCCAAUGAUACUCCCACACAUAUUCAGAAUGAACAACUCCCAUGGGCGACUACAUUUCAAAUCUUUCACGAGCUUCUCAUGUAGUUCAGAAUCAACACUACCGGACCCCAGAAUAAUCAUUGCUAGCCUUCCAACUUGCCCAUAGGAAAGCUCAAUAGUUGAGCUGGUAUAAUCAACAACGAGUUGUUUGAGAAGUUUUUUAAAAGCAUCACUUUGUCUAAGAAGAAUCAUAUUCCCUCUCAGAGUUUUUCUCCAAUCAAAAGGAAAUAUGCAAGCAACAAUACUUUCAGCUGACAGAUCAACAAAUUUCCUUAGUGUGUUUAGAUCUUCAUCAUUCAAAAACUUGGAUCCCAAAACACACUUCGCUACCGCAUACAUCUUUGCAGCUACAUAAACCUGGUUAAGAGUCCAGCUCUGGAAAGAAACUGAAUCGGACUUCUUGAUAAUGAACUUGUAGAGCUCUUCAAGCUUGUUCAAGACCUUAAUACUACAAGAGAUUAGUUUGGAACUCCAGAAAUUCCGAGAAUCCAAAAGAAUUUGGAAAUAGUCUAUGGUGACCAAUUCCCCCUUCAUCAGAAUAUAUCUUUUAUUUUUACCUGUGACCCAAUCAUCAUCAGACAUGAGUGAAACAUAGACUGGUUUCAGAUCAUCAUGAAAAUCCCUCCAUACUCCCAAAUAAUUCAGAAACAAGUCUCCAUAGCAUCUCUUUUUGUUAACAUCUUGGUCUUCAAGAUUAUCGAAAUAUUUGAUCAAGUAAACAAUCUUGUCCUUCACAAGAUUCCAGAAAUACACCAGUGAAUCAACAGAAAACUGCUUUUUUGAUUCCUUCACUUCUAAACACUUUAUCAUAUCAUCAGGCGAUUUUUCUUCCCACAAAUACUUUGAGCUUGAGGACAGAUGAGAAUUAAGUAUUUUUUGGCUGGAAAACAGUUCAGCUCUCACCAAUUUCAUCUCUGGUCUGAUAUUAUCAACCUCAUCAUAAUAGUGAACUGCACAUCUCUCAAGAAACUUAAGUUCAGUUUUAUCAGUCCCUUUUUCUCUUAUAGCCAGACCAUACUCUUCUCUUGCAUGUUGCUUCCAAUCCUUAAUAUACUGCAAACCUAUGUCAAAUAGAUCUCCCACCAAACAUGCAGUAAGACACUCUGAGAAAAGUUUCCCCCUAGCAUAUACAUCAGCCGCCAAAUCAUAGCGUUCUGCUAGUGAGAAGCAUUCGCCGGCCUUUUGAAGUCCGGGUUCACCACAUUUUUCCAUAUAUAUAGUAGCUGCAAAAUUGAAAUUUAAUACUUGAGACAUUAAUUAUACUUAAAACUCAAAAGGCCAAUGACUGAAACCACAAAAGCUGGAUAAUCACAACAGAUGAUGCUAUCAUACCUGCCCUUACAUACAUCCCCAAAUUACAAAAGCAUCUAGCAGCAUAUUCUGGCCUUUCUAUGGAUUCAAAAAUGUUUGCCGCAUCCUCAUAGCUGCCUGCUAGAUAAAAGCAUUCUGCAGCUCUUUCCAGUCCUUGUUCACCACAUUUGUCCAAAUAAAUCCUACCUGCAUCACCAAAUAUACUUACUCAAUGCAAGCAAGAGUUUGGAUAUAGCAAUAACAGACAUAUGAAAAAUAAUUAUUUACUGUUGCAGGAAAUUGUAUCCUCAUACCAGCCCUUUCGUAAUCCCCUAAAUCAAAAAAGCAAUUGGCAGCAGAAUUUGCCAUUCCUAUAUCUUCAAAAGUUAUUGCAGCUUCCCUAAGAAAGGAUCUGGCCUUUUCAGGAUUUGAUGAUUGCGUACAAUCAGCCAAAACUUUAAGGCCAGAUGCUCUUGACUUUCUUUCCCAAUUAAUAUCAUGUGCUUUUUCAAAGCACAUAGUGGCCAGUUCAUAGUUAUGCUGGUGAUAUAGCUGCACAAAACAUGAAUAUUAGUAAUUCAGACAGAUAAGAAGGAAAAAAAAAAUAAUGAAAGGAUCCUAUGAAAAAAAUAAUUAUAAUCAUCUUAGCAUCACAAUGACAAUCACUGUGAUGCUUAAAACAUGCAUAAAGGUGAUAUUAAUAUAACAUCUGAUACAACAGCAGCAACAACAGCAGCAAAAAUGCUUAUAUCUAUUCCAGAAACUAAACUAACCUUCAUGCCACGCAUUCUCCACUCCUCUGGGGUACUUUCAACUUUCAUUUUCUCUACAAGAGAAUCAUCAAUUUGCCUCACUUGUAUCAGACACUUCUUCUUCCAAAAGUCAAACAUGGGACUGCAGAUAUCAGCCAUUUUCUCAUAAAUCCAAAGUCUCUGUUUUGUGCGUGUAACAGCAACAUACAAUUGCUUCAAUUCAGAGCACAGCAAAUGGUGUUUGCCUCCAUUGAAACUUGGAAAUUUCUCAGGUGUUCUCGGAUCAAGCAAUUCAUUUUCCUUCAUAUAUUCAUAUAUCAGCCUCCAUUGCUGUUUGAGGGAUGAAGAUCCAAAAAAGUCAUACAAAAUCACAUCCUACAAAACAGAGAUAUGAAUGUUAUGACUUACAAAUGAACAAAGGAUGGAUUUGAGCCAAAUAUAAAAAGCCAAUUGGCCCGAUUGUAUCUCUAUAUAUAUUAUAAAUUGCAGCAAGUUCUUAUCAAUUUCAAAUCUGAACCAGCAUCAUACCCUAAAGACAUUUAAAAACUGCAGCCAAAUGAUAUUGAAAGAGAAAGAAACAAAAGAACCGAUCUUGUCACUGGCAGAUUGAUUACAACUUAAAUCUCUUAAGAUGAUCAACGUUACGACUUCCAUGUGAUACGACUAUUUAAUGACCACUAUGGUAAUCACCUGAAACUCGAGCCCCUUGCUCUCCAAUAUGGUAAGAACAAGAGCCUGCUUGCCAACAAAGUUGGAAAUUUCCUUUCGAGCACAAGAGUCACGCACCAAAAUAACCUGCUCUGCUCCGAAGCCAACAAUGCUUCCUGAUGUACUAUUACUCCCAAAUAACUUUCCAAUCAUAUUUUCAUUUUCAUCUUCUCCGGAUUCAAGUAAAACCGGAGCUUCCCCAUGUACUGGACUAGUUUCAGGAUUCAAAGGAUCAAUAUAUUGGGGGAAAAAAUGAUACAGUAGAUCAAUUAUGCUCUGUGAUAACUUCAAUAUACCAUUAUGUGUGCGGAAGUUCUGAGUCAAAUGAAACUUGUUCGAGAUUUUUGCUUUGCCAAACCCUUUUUCAUGCUUGUUGCUUCCCGAUUCCAACAUAAACUUCUUGUAGAACAGAUGCCGUAUAUCUUCAAAUCUGAAGUCAAUACCCUUUGAAAUGGUCUGCGCCGUAUCACCCGAAAAGACAAAACCCUCGUCGACAUUACUACAGAUAUGCUUGAAUAGGGCAACUUGACUCAUUGUAAGAUCCUGUACUUCAUCAAUGUACACAUAAUCCAUCUCAUCACCCCUAUAAUUUUCAUGUUUCAGCCGACGGUGAAUAUCAUUUACGAAAUCAGCAAUAUCGAACUCCCCAUUCCUCAGCUUCAUUUUUUCAUAAACCUGAAAUAUAUCAUAUAUGAUCUCUUUAUUCUCCUCACUAAGGUUGGAAGCACGACCUGACAUUUUCACAUAACAGUCCCUACUACAUAUCCCAUCACUUGCUUCCAAAGCUUCCAGACCACCUUUUAUAUGAGAAAUAAUCUCUGUAAAGACUCUUGAAGCAUCAAGCUUCUUUGUUAUCUGGAUAUUAAAAUGAGGCCAGUAUGAUGAAUAGAACUUAUCAUAAUUGACCUCCUUUGUCCUCAUGACGGUUUGCAGCAGAACAGAUCUAGAACACUCUAGUGAACCAUGAGGAAGAUUUAGCUUUUCAAGGAAUCUUUCAAAGUAAGAAUUACCCAAACUUCCAUCCAGCAUCAUUAAGAACUUACUAAAUGUUAUGAAAAGAGGAUAGAUCUUCAGCGGAAGAUCAAGAAAAGAGUUUGGAAUAUCCCCAAACUGUGCUUCCUCAGCAUCAAAAUCAUCCAUGUCAAACAAACUGAACUCAGAUGAAUGGCUUCCACCAGAAGAAAAACUGUAGGGACACAAAAUUAAUAUUAUUAAAACGAUUCAUCAAUUGAAGUUGAUGUAUACAGUUGAAGAGAAUAUCUGGCAUGGUUUGCCAAGAUGACAAUGUAUCAUAUUAAGCUAAAAUAUCUACAGAUGGAUGAGCAGGAAGAAUGGUAUCACAAAUGAGGUGCUAAAUAUCAUGCAUGCUUGCAUAUUUAGCUAACUUAAUUGAUAAAAGUUCAUGUACCUAAGGUGAAUUAUUUGUUCGCAGAAACUGAAUAUGAAUAUGCAAUGACAGAAAUUAAGUUUUCUGUACGUACAUUCAGGUUCGUUUCAUUUGCAUACUUACAAGAUAUUACCAAGUUUCAUCUAAGAUCAACAUAAAGAAUAUAAAAUGAUUCUUGGGUAUCUAGUGCUACAAGAGAAUGGUGAACAGAAUUAAAGAGUUCAGUAUAAAAUGUAUAUAUAGUGAAUACAAACAAAUAGGUUCAAUUAUAUAUACUAAACCAUCCACGAUUCAUUUGUGAAAGAAUCCCCUUACCUUUUCAAAUGUAAAACAUGUUGCUUCACAGCAAAACAAAGUUUCGGACUCACUGUUACAAAAAUCUGUCGUAGAACAGAACUCUCCUCUGCUCCAUUCAAUGCUUCUUCUGCCAUAUUGUGACCCUCUUCGUUCUGAUACAACUUCAUUGACAAAACAGUAGUCUUACCGGUUCCUGAUCGUCCAACUAUAAAGGUACUCCAACCGUAAAGGAUUGCGUCCAUUUCCUCGUCUGUGACUUCAAAAGGGAGAUCCAUUUUUGUACCCUCACGGUCAGAGAGUAAGUGAUUCACCACCCCAGAUGAUAAGGAGUAGAACUUCAUCAGUAACAAACUCUGAUUGAACUUUGAACCUUCAACAGAACUAUCAUCCUGGGACAUGCUAAGAUCCUUAUAUCGAACAAUAUCCAAAGAGGGCGGCCAGGUCAUUGGAACUUCCAAGUCACUGGUUGCAAUUGACAAACCACAAAAGUAUUACUAUUUUCUAAAAAUAAAACAAAUUUGUACCUAUAUAUAUACAUGUUGUAUAAUUCCAUAUAAAGGGGAACAGGAACAAAUGUACAACUUCAAUCAAAAUACUAAAAGGUAAAACAUACCCCUCGAAAUAUUUCUCACAGCAGAGUUUGAUGAAACCGGCAGUAUAUCUCACGAAAAACAGAUCCAAGUGAUUUACCAGUGUUUGGAUAGCACAAAGAUCCGGCAAUAUGUCCCAUACUUUUAAAACUUGCAUGUAUCUCAAAUGUUUUAUGAUGUCAGUUGAGCAAAGAAUAUAUAACCCUUGAACUUUGAACUUCUUCACAACCAUCGAAGAGGUAACACAAACUAUUUCAGCAUUACGUUUCGUACCUCUCCAGCCAGUUGAUAGCUUAAGUAGCAAACUGACUACAGACAACUUUGUUCGGAUUGACGUCAGUCGAUUGAACGACUUCAGAAAGUUAUCACUGAAAGUCACCUAGAAAAAUUGAGCUUUUCUUAAAUACUUACAAAAACAAGUACUUUGAAAAUUAAAGACGAAUUAAAGCUGGGAAAAUAGAAGCAGAGUACUGAAGCUUGUACCUUCCAUCUAGCAUGAGUAGCAUCUGUGCACAUGUGCAUAGCUUUCCAUAUUCUCAUGUUUGGUGCUAUAUUCUCCAAGUAAAUGAUAAACAGUGGUGUCUGAAUGCCACUGUUGAUAUCAAACUCUUUCGAUGCUUUGACUCUAAAACGAAGACAAGUAGUAUUAUCCUCGCUCUGAUCUAUUGGGAAUAAUUCAGUGGCUAUUAGAAACACCCAUGAUCUCCCUUCCUUUAGUAGAUCAGAAACAGUUUCAGGUUUAGCAUCAGCUAAAAUGAAAAGAUCACCGGGCCUAGUUUCGUAUGGCUCUUUACUGACAUUGUUUCUCCAACAAUCAACUUUGACAUCACAUAGCUUAUUUCUUGCGCAUGCUUCAAUAGAUAUUACCUUACCAAACGGUGCUCCAUGGAUAGUUUCCACCUUGGAUUGCAACUCAGAUCGAGUUUCAUCUAACAAUGGAUAUAUGUAAGAACCAAAAUAUUGUAGUAGGUCCGACCCAAAUGAUUGAGGACUCUUUCCCAAUCCGGCAACCUACAAAUAUUGUUCGAAUCGAAGGCAGAUCAUAUCAGUAAAACAUGUGUAUCAGUAACGAGUGAUGCAUGUUUCAUCUCUUAGAACAAAUCAAGUACGCUCUGUACUAAACUAGAGAUCGACAUGCACAAUUAUAUUAUACCUUAACAGAAGAAAUAAAACGAUCAAGGAGUUAGGUUGACAUGCAAACUCAUUUCCAGACUAGGCAUAUUCCACAAAAUCUCAUCAAAUUUUUAAGGGGGAGUAACAGAGACGAGGAUGAGCAAGAGAGGUAACUGAAUGUGUGUGUGUAAAACAUUUUACCUGGUGCUGGUAAAAAUUUUCAUUGAGAAUAUCCUCCAGAGACCAAGAAAACACAACAUCAACGAAGCUAUCAGAAGACGACUCAAAACCCUCCAUCAUGAUCCCCAGACUCUCUUAAUGCCUCAAUUACUGCAUCUAACUAUGAGUAUGAAAGAGAGAAAUGAGACGACUCUGCAUGUAAUAUUUCUUCCCUGUUGUACUUGCUUCUUCACUUUUUCUCCUUUUUAUCCUCUCUACUGUUCUUCUUUUCUUUUUCUCCUUUCUUUUUUUUUACAAAAAAAUUUAAUUGAGAGCUAAAUUACGCUACACCAUCAUCAUCAAGGCAAACUUAUAACCUCAACCUUAAAAACCUAACAGUGGACAAGUACAUAUUACACCAGCCUUUAGAUAUGAAUUUCCACAAAACCAAUAAGAUCUAUUAGUAAUAAAGAUCGAAUUUAAAUAAUAAGAUCUUCGUCAGAAACCGUCUUUACCAACUGAGCCAAUUUACUGAGCCAAGUUGGCUUCUUUUUCUCCUUUCUACUUUCUUCUUUUCUUUUUCUCCUUUCCACUUUCUUCUUUUCUUUUUUCUCCUUAAUGGCCUUUUUUAUGUUCAUCUUAACUGAGGCUUAAUUGUUAUAACUUGUGAGUGACUGAGUACUGGAGAAAUGGAAAAGGCGCGUGCGGUUGGAUCACCAUCCCGACCAACACGUGGAGAGCUAGAACCUCAAGGGCUAGCUAGGGUUCUGGUUUAGACAAGUGACGUCACCAGACCAUACUGCAAAAGUAGAGCGCUAUAAUUAGUGGCAGUAGAAGUGAAAGGUGGAGAGUAAAGCGUUUCGUGUUCGCGGAGUGAAUUUUCAAAUUCCGAGAAUCCUUUUUCUCGAAAGGCACAUAGAGUAGGAGAAGAACUGAAGCUUUAAGCAAUCUCAACAUAUUGGGCUCUAUUUGGGAAAGCCAAAAGGGCCUGAGACAACCUCUAAAUGGGCCCAAUGAAGUCAAGAGAAGCCCAAGCUGGGCAGCCUUGUAGAUUCUAUUAGGCACAAGCAAAACAAUACAAAAGAAACUCAUUAGAUGAAAGUCGUGAGAAAGUUGUGAGAUUGCACAUUUGCAUGAAAGUUGUCUGACAAAUUCAAUGUGUCUUGCUAGUUUUUUUUAAUGAAAAAGGUCAUACUCUAUUAACUAGGGCUGGCAAUUUAGGUCAUAUCGAAACCAACCAACCGUACCAACCUAGUUAAUAUACUAAAAACUUGGUAACCGACUUACUUGAUACGGUAUACCGUACCAAUUUUGGUAACAUGGUUGUUACUUGGUAUUGAGAUUUUCAUACAGUCGGUAUACCGUACCAACCAUGUAUGUAUAAUUAUGUAAAAAUACACUUAUAUCUAUGUAGGAAACGAGAAUUGAACCUCUAACCUUUUACAAACAAUCUAUAAAAUGUAUAAUAUAUGUAAAGAAAAUUAAAAUAUAUGUAUAAUAUAUAAUAUAUGUUUUGUUUUAUAGCUAUAACAUGCUAUAGAUAUAAAUACAAUUAAAUUAUAAAGUGUUUAAAUUUUAGCAAGAGGUAUGUUUCGAAAUCAUGACUGCUCUGAUGAAAAAUAUGACCACAUACCAUCAGACCAAAGCUAUCAUUGAAUUAUAUUUGUGAAAAAAUUAUGUUUAUCACUUCAUUUUUUGGGCCACAAUCUAAACUUGGUAGAGACUUAUUACCAACCGUACCAACCGUACCAAUUAAGUCGGUAUACCAACUUCGGUGGUUGGUUUUGGUAGAGGAUUUUGUCUACCAAUCAUAAGUUAGUUGGUACAUGGUAUUAAUAAAUAAAGUCGGUAUACCUACCAAUGAGUAAGCAGUAAAAAAACGAUCUCCCAAUGGGGUUCACAGAAAGAACCAUUAUGUAUAAACUAUUACAAAUUCAUCCAAAAAGAGUAAACUAAACUAGUAAUUUCUAAUACACCCACCUUCUUGUAUGAAACCCAUAACAAAAUGAAUGAAAACCCCGACUAAUAAAAGUUUCCCCAAAUGAGGUCACCGAGGUCUUUCUUCCUUAUGCGAUCUCUCCCACUCAAAUCGAGAUAAUAAAAAACUCAUUAUCCAUUGGUAAAAAGAGAUGUGAGCUGAAAACAAAAAUAAAAAUAAAAACAAAACAAUAACUACCCAAGAAGAAAACCCUAAGAGUCAUCCCUGACCAAGCUUUGCCACCGUCAAUCCCUACCCAAGCUGAAGCCGCCGCCGCCGCCGCUACCGUGCUCACACUGUGAAACCCGACACCAGCAACCAACCCAAGCUCACGAUUUUGCCCUCUAAGUUUAUCAAUAAUGCGCCAUCAUACUUUAAUUAGUUUAGGAGAGUUUGAGAUAUCUUUGUCAUCCUGGGCCAACGACCCAUUAACAAACCAGCCCAAACCCGACCGAAGAAACCUAAUCCAUCUAUCAUUUCGUUAUCUAUCUUUCACGCUCUCAUAGAAAUCUUGAACCCUAAGAAGAAAAAAAUAUGGCUUCUGCAACCGAAACGAGCUCCCAGCAAGAUGUGAAAAAACUGACCUUCUCCUUUGAGAAUCUCGGCACCUCUUCUCCCGGUAUGAAUUUUUUCGUUCAAUUUUUCUCGUAUGUUUUGGGAUUUUUCAACAGUUUGUUGCGAAUGUUUUUGAUAAAAAUAUGAUUAAUGAUUGUGAAAAAUAUCUGUUACUUUAUAACCUCAGAUCUGAAAGUUGUUGUUGUUGCUCUUGUCAGGUACAAAGAAACCGUUGAGUUCCAGCAGCGAUGGUUUUUUUCUCAUCUUAUGUUUUGAGAUUUUCUGCUUAAUUCGUUCCCGUUUAGUUUAUUAAUUUGUUUCCUAUGUUAGAAUUAUAUUAGUGAUAUCGUUGUUAUAUUGUACUUGUUAUAUUCGUUCCCAUUCAAGAUUCUUAUUUAUUUUAUCUUUUAUGGGUAUCUAACAAUGGAACUGAAACAAACAGGCUCCUAUCCUCCCAUCCCGUUCAGGUCGGAGUUCAUAGUGCCGGAUCCUGAGGUGAACUACAAACAAACAGCCGCCUAUAUUCGAGUGGGGGGUGAAAAUUCUUACUUAGACAUGUCCCAGUUCAUAGUGACUGGNNNNNNNNNNNNNNNNNNNNUACAUACCCACCUAUUCUCCUUUUGGCUUAAGGUCCGUGGCGGGUGAAGGUGCUUAUAGUGAAGAAAGUCGACCAAGUGUGCCUUGCGAUGAGUGUUCUAAGGAGCACCCCACUUAUUCUCGUUGCCCUUACUUGCCUUGUGACCUUUGUCAUCAGCGUCACCACCCUUCUUAUUGCCCUGCCGUGCCUUGUAAAAUUUGUUAUCAGCAUCUUCACCCCACUUCUAGUUGCCCUUACCCCUCCUCCAUUUCCCACAGGGUGCAACUUUUGACCAUCUCAACUAUGAAAUAAUUUGUGCAUGUGGUAAUCACUUCAAUGUGGAUAAGUGGGUUUGUACCUUUUGUACUAGGAGUAUACCUGUGCUUAAGAAGAAGUAUUGUUCCAUUUGUAAUAGUAGCUACGUACAGCACAGCACACAUGAAUGCCCAAAGGACGAGGUUCUUGCUGCUGAGUAUAAAUCGGUUAGAGACCAUCGUCUUUCAGUCGGGGCCAAAGUGAUUCCCUAUGACGAGGGUUCUCUGUGAGCAUCAUCAGGAACUGUGUCAAUUCCUCCUUCCGGGUUUGUGGACACAUGCAUGAAAGAUGGCAAGUUUAUUGUGUUCACCAAAUAAGCUUCAAUUACUUGUUUGCUUUUCUUGAAAAUAGACUGGUUGAACCAGAGGGGAUUUGGUUAAUGUAAGGUUAAUGCGACUUUAAUUAAAGACACCUUGAGAACUUGUUAAUAUCUGAAAUGUUUUUCUAUUUACUAUGUCCUGUAGGAUUUGCGUUUUUUGUUUGUUAUUGUCUUUCUAUGAUUAUGAUUGAACUCAGCCACUCAGGUGCUAUGAAGGUUAUGGAUUAUUAUUAUUAUUUUUUUUUCCCGCAGUUGGGAAAUAAUUUGUUGGUAGCUGUUCUCUGAUAUGUUCCCUCCUUUAUACAUCUAAGAGCACAUCAAAACACAUCCCAUAAUUCAUAUGAAGCAAAGUCAUCCACUCUGAUAAACCUUUUCAUCCAUUGAAUUUUGGUUUUUCUUAUUUUGGUUUUUGUUAUCGCUCAUAAACUCUUGGAUUUGUUUAAAAGAUAUCAGCACGUCUGCCUGUGUUUGGUACCUCUAUUCUGCAUCAACCAUUCAAUGAAACUUGAUUUGGUAGUGACAACAUUACCUUAGAAGUAGGAUACCAGCAUCAGAAGGUGUUCAAUAAGAUACGAGAAACAAUUAGGUCCAAUGUAGUCAAAAACUUCCUCCAGUUUGCAUGAUAGGUUUCAACCAAAGCUUGAUGCAACUGCCUGACAAGAAACACCUCCCUUCUUUUCUCCGAUGGCAUUCCCACACAUAAGGCACUCCCACACAUAAUCAGAAAUAACAACUCCCAUGCCCGACUACAUUUCAAAUGUUCUCGAGACAAUCCCGGACCCUGGAAUAACCUACAUGUUAGUCUACCGCGUUCACUUCUAUUGUUAUGCAUAGCUAGCUGGCUGAAUCAAAUGCUCAGGUGUUCUUCCCUAGGAAAAGCUCGGGAGAAUGAUCACUGCUGCUCUUCGAAGACACUAUAGCAUCUGCCCUCGAAUCCCUUAUCAUGCUCAAAACCUUUCUCAUUGUAGGUCUAGUUCUCUGGUGUAAUCGAAACACAAGCCAUUGCAAUAUUAAGAAGCGCCUGAAGUUUCUCCUCUGAUGCCUCAUCGCCAGAGCUGACAGGUUCUGUCUCCUCGCGAACUGAACGAACCCAUCUAGGAAUGUCUUGAGUCAUGUUCAAGUAGAGGCAAUAUUCAUGUACCCUUUCUUUUCCACACCAAGUUCAGUUUCUCGCUCCUUACUGCAUGCAAAUGAUGCAAUCCUCCUCCAUCAACCAUUUCAGCCCCUAACAUAUACAUUAAGAUUAAUAAUCCAACUCUCAACCAAUUUAGUGCCCCAAGUAGGAUCAAAGCAUGCUACCUUAAUCCAAAUUCCAAGUAAACCCUCCACAAAGUACUUCGGCUGUUCCUUCAUUGAAUUUGAAAGCUCUGAGUUCCUUAAUCAAAUAAAAUUCAUCGCAAAUCAGAAACGAGGUCUCAAUUUGGCCUUAACAAAAAGAAUUAGAUGGUCCACACGCCGCGGCGUUUGCCGGAGUUGAAAGUCUGAAUCAUGGUGUUUCGAGUAAACCAGAGCCGCUGACUUCACCAUGGUAGUUUAGAUGUGGCCGGAGAAGGUGAAUCGAUCCUUCCUUGCGGCGAAGGGGCGUACGUGGUCAUCCGGCAUCGGGGGUGGCUGAAGGCUUUGAGGAUCGCAUAUGGCUGCAUGUGAGGUUCAGAUUAGGUUUUGGUCGGUUUGGAAGUCUGUUUCAAUGCGAGGUGGCGGUGACAAGAGGUGGAGGCGGGGAGCUGCAGAACUUUAAAAACGCAUAAAAAAUAGCUUGGGUUGGGCUUGUUUUUUGGUAGGCCUAGCUAUUUAGGAUUUAAUUUUUUUUUUUUUUAGGUUUUCAAUCUGUUAGCGUGAAACUUGUGUAACCCCUCUGCGUAGAGUGGUUCAGGUUGCGCUUGGUUUUGUUCUUUUAAGUUUCAUCACAUGGUGAUUACAUUAAGUUAUUUUAAGGUAUCUCUACAUGGCUUAAUUCUCAUGUGACCUUUCUAGGGCAAGUUAUGUAUAUGUAAUCCCAUUAUUUACUGAAUACAAAGCCGUACGUUAUUUUUAGCUAUCUUGGGCCAACGACCCAUUAAGCUUAUAAUAGAUGGAUCCACAAUUGAAAUAACAAAGCAGCCCAAACCCGACUGCGAUCUGCGAUCUCCGUAUCUCAGUUUCUCACUAUCAGACUGAGAUAGUAUCAGUCUCUGCCAAAUGCGAGGUCUCCGCCGUCGCCCGUCGAUUGUCGUUGACCGUCGUCAUCGUCUCCCGUCCCUGCCGCUCGCCGAGAUGGAUGGGUGUCUGCUUGAGAUCGAGGUUGGCUUCGAAGGAGGAGAAGUUCUCAUACAGCGGCGAGGUCGGCUUCAAGGGAGGCAUGACAUAUCUUGCAGAGGAGAUCGCCGAUGUGUUGAGAUUGAGAUUUAAAAGUUGAAUUGAGAUUUUUAUUUUGAGAGGAACUACCGCAACCAAAACGAGCUCCCAGCAAGAUGAGAAAAAACUUACCUUCUCCUUUGAGAAUCUCGCUGCCUCUUCUCCCGGUAUGAAUUUUUUCGUUCAAUUUUUCUCGUAUGCUUUGGGAUUUUUCAACAGUUUGUUGCGAAUGUUUUUGAUAAAAAUAUGAUUAAGGAUUGUGAAAAAUAUCUGUUACUUUAUAAUCUCAGAUGUGAAAGUUGUUGUUGUUGCUCUUGUCAGGUACAAAGAAACUGUUGGGUUCCAGAUCUGGAAGAAGCGAUGGAAAAGGCUACACGGCAUCCGAUGGUUCUAGGUUUUUUUUUUUCCUCAUCUUAUGUUUUGAGAUUUUCUGCUUAAUUCGUUCCCGUUUAGUUUAUUAAGUUGUUCCCUAUGUUAGAAUAAUAUUAGUAAUAUCAUUGUUAUAUUGUAUCUGAUAGAGAUCUGAAAUUUGUUUCUCCCUGCCGUGUGGAUCAUAGUUGAAAACUCUGCUAUUGAAUCUAACUUUUGUUUUGGUUAGUAAAUUUGAGAUUGCUUUCUCUACUAUGUGCUUUAUUGCUUUUAUUACAAUCUGGUGUUUGUGUAAUUGGCUUUUACAAACCCCUAUGCGUGGAUUUGUUGCUGGAAUUUAUGUAAAUUUUGGUAAAGCUAGAUUCAAAAGUGAUAUCCCAGGACUUAUUUAAUUGGUAUAAUGUUGCAUAAAGUCAUACAAUCAUUUAAGAUUCUGAUUUUCUUAUCUUUUAUGGGUAUCUAACAACGGAACAUAAACAAACAGGCUCCUAUCCUCCCACCCCGUUCAGAUCGGGGUUCAUAGUGCCGAAUCCUGAGGUGCACUAUAAACAAACAGCUGCCUAUAUUCGAGUGGGGGAUGAAAGUUCCAAAGAGCUAGCCAAGUUUGAAGGACCCGGAGUACCUUAGUGUGCAUGAGAGCAACACUGAGGCUGAGCUUACUAAGUAUUUCAUGGGAUCAUGUCACGGGACCACAGUUUUUUGGAUACGCCGUUCGCCAACAGAGCUACUAGUUGGUGUUGAUUCACUAGAGAGUCAAACAUAUACAGGUACAUUCAAAUUGCUUUAUGUAUAUGUAUAUGUUUAAGUGAGACUUAAUAAUGUUCACGUAUUUAUGUUUGAUUUCUAGUGGUUAAUCCAAAACAUAAGAGAAAAAAUUAUGAGCUUUCAUGAUCAAAAGUUUAUAGAGAUUGUUCCAAAUGUUUAUGUCACUCUAUGUGGAGAUGCUAGAAGAUGAAGGACUAUGUCAAUGAACAAAUGAAAGAGCAUAACAAAAAAAGUCAAAUGUCAUUUACUGUUGCUCAAGUUGGCAGGGUUUCCAUUGAGUAUUUUUAUGAGUCUCCAUUGGAUCCUGUAAAGGAGCACAUUUCUUUAGUUCACUUAUGUUUUUGGAUUCCUGAUAAACAUGUAUGUGUUUUGAUAUAGAUUUUUGUUUGUGAAUUUAAUCUAUAACCAAUUUUUGAAAUAUCUCAUAGACAUAUAUUGAGUGUUAAACCUUGGGUGAAUAUAUGUCUAUGAGGUAUUUCAAAAUUGGUUAUAGAUUAAAAUUCACAAACAAAAAUCUAUAUCAAAACACAUACAUGUUUAUCAGGAAUCCAAAAACAUAAGUGAACUAAAGAAAUGUGCUCCUUUACAGGAUCCAAUAGAGACUCAUGAAAGUACUCAAUGGCAACCCUGCCAACUUGAGCAACAGUAAAUGGCAUUUGACUUUUUUUGUUAUGCUCUUUCAUUUGUUCAUUGACAUAGUCUUUUAUUUUCUAGCAUCUCCAUAGAGUGGCAUAAACAUUUGGAACGAUCUCUAUAAACUUCUGAUUAUGAAAGCUCAUAAUUUUUUCUCUUAUAUUUUGGAUCGACCAUUGGAAAUCAAACAUAAAUACGUGAAUAUUAUUAAGUCUCACCUAAACAUAUACAUAUACACAAAGCAAUUUGAAUGUACCUGUAUAUGUUUAACUCUUUAGUGAAUCAACACAAACUAGUAGCUUUGUUGGUGAACGGCGCAUCUAAAACACGGGUGGUCCCGUGACAUGAUCCCAUGAAAUACUUAGUAAGCUCAGCCUCAGUGUUGCUCUCAUGCACAAAGGUACUCCCGGGUCCUUCAAACUUGGCCAGCUCUUUGGAACUUCUAGAUCGCUGAUCACAAAACACAGGGAGACCAAUAAUUAGAUAAAAAAUAUGUAUAUUAUAUCACUGCUAAGAGUAGAGUCAUUAUUUCAUGGACGAAAAGACGCUGAUUUUCUGGAAGGUAAAAUGACAUACCCCUUGAGACAUUUCUCCUUACACAGAUUAAUAUACUCAUCUGUAUAUUUGUUUAAUAUAUUGUCCAUGCGAUCCAACACUGGGAUGUCCUCUAUAGGCAUUAUGUCCCAAAUCUUCAAUACUUGAAUGUAUCUUAAAUUCUUUGCUAUGUCUGUUGUGCAAACAAUAUAUAGGUCUUCAACCUUAAAUUUCUUCAGGUUCAGUGAAGAGUUACCACAAAGUAUAUCUGAACUUUGCAUCACUGGCAAGCUUUAGUAGAACAUUUAGCACUGACUGACUUCAGUUUCUUGAAUGACUUCAAAAAGUCAUCGCUAAAAAGUACCUGAAGAUUUAUUAUAGAGCAGAACAUCCAAUUUCAGAAACUUUUGAUAUAUGCAAUCAGGUUCUUAGAAAAUUAGGGUCGAUCAAGAAGUAACAAAAAUCAAUAUCUUCAAUUACCUUCCAUCUAGCUCUUCUUGAAAGUACACUGUCAGAAUUUAGCAAAUCAUCUAGUUGGUCGAACUGUUUCUUCAGUUGUAGUAUGGCCUUUUGGCUAAAUCCUCGUCUUCAUCAGCAUUAAAAAAGCAUUGGCGAUUUUUGGCAUCAAGAACCAAGGCCUCCCAAACAGACUCGCUGUCACAGAGUUUUUUCACUCCUCAAAAUCCACAGGCAGUGCCUGAAAACCUCAGAGAAUCAGUAGUUAUUUCCAUCAAGCUAUUACACCGGCUUAUGUAAAACAUACCUUGCCCUUUGUAAGAGCAACAUUAAUUAUCCGCGGUUUUGAAAUAUACUCAAGUGACUGUUGACAAUUGGAUCGUACAGUGGAAAAUAUAAUGAUGUCCUCUUCCCAACCCUGGAACCCGUCAACUGUCUUCACUUUCACUAUGAAUCCAUGAUCCAUCAAGAUUAUUAUAUUUCCGUCCAAGUUUGUCCUCGAUUGCCUCUACUUGAGCAGCAUAUGGAGAAAUUACACCAUUACUCUGAUUCUGUUUUGAAUCAACCCGUUCUGUUUACAAAGAGAAAACGGAAAGCGAUCAAUUGUCAUUAUGAGAAGAUAAAGGUGAUAGAAUUUCUACAGUUAUGUGCUCGUUUGAGAAAAUGAUUAGAGGAAUUAUACUGCCACAUGCUUAAUGGGUCAAAAUCUGCAUUUCUACUAAAGGAUUAUGAUAGAUAAAUAAAUAAACCAUAUACCAUGAUCAUGCAUCAGAAGAAGAAAAAGGAAAAAAAAAAAAAAACUAAUUCAGUCUUGUAAACUAUAUAUAUUGACCACCUAAAAUGGUACCAGUCCCACCAUAAACCAUCUGCAUUUCUAUUGCAAUGGCUUGUGUUUCGAUUACGAUUACACCAGAGAACAGACCUACAAUGAGAAAGGUUUUGAGCAUGAUAAGGGAUUCGAGGGCAGAUGCCAUAGUGUCUUCGAACAGCAGCAGUGAUCAUUCUCCGGGGAAAUGGUCAGAUACUGUUCAGAGCUUUUCCUAGGGAAGAACACCUGAGCAUUUGAUUCAGCCAGCUAGCUGUGCAUAACAAUAGAAGUGAACGCGGUAGACUAACAUGUAGGUUAUUCCAGGGUCCGGUAUUGUCUCGAGAACAUUUGAAAUGUAGUCGGGCAUGGGAGUGGUUAUUUCUGAUUAUGUGUGGGAGUGCCUUAUGUGUGGGAAUGCCAUCGGAGAAAAGAGGGAGGUGUUUCUUGUCAGGCAGUUGCAUCAAGCUUUGGUUGAAACCUAUCAUGCAAACUGGAGGAAGUUUUUGACUACAUUGGACCUAAUUGUUUCUCGUAUCUUAUUGAACACCUUCGGAUGUUGGUAUACUACUUCCAAGGUAAUGUUGUCACUACCAAAUCAAGUUUCAUUGAAUGGUUGAUGCAGAACAGAGGUAUUAACAAAUCCUUGAAUUUUGGGAUGUGAUUUGAUGUGCGAGGGAACAUAUAUAUCACCGAACAACUACCAACAGAUUAUAGUCCCAACUGAGGCUAAAAAAAAUAAAAAAAAACAAAACAAAACAAAUCCACAACAUCGAGCGGGGUUAGCAACUUAUAGCACCAAAGCAAUUCCAUAGAAAAACAAACAAACAAAUCCUACAGAAGAUAGUAAAUAGCAAAUUUCAGAUACUGUUAGAGGUGCCUUUAAUUACAGUGGCAUUAACCUUACAUUAACCAAAUCCUCUCUGGUGCAACCGGUCUAUUUUCCAGAAAAGCAAACAAAAACUAAUCGGAAGCUUAUUCCGUAAACACAGUAAACUUGCCAUCUUUCAUGCAUGUGUCCACAAACACAGGAGUUGAAACAGUUCCUCAUGGUGCUCUUAGAGAACAGACCACAUCAUAUGGAAUCAUGUUUGCCCUGACAAAGAUAAUGGGUCUCUAAUUGAUUUAGACUCGGCAGCAAGAACCUUGUCCUUGGGGCAUUCAUGGGUGCUGUGCUGUUUCCAGCUACUAUCACAAAUGGAACAAUACUUACGCUUCAGCAGUGCUCUUCUCCCAGUACAAUAGGUACAAACCCACUUUUCCUCAUUAAAUUCAUUACCACAGCAACAAAAUAUUUCAUAGUUGUCACGGUCAAAAGCUGCACCCUGUGGGAUAAGGCGAAAGUAAGGGCAAUAAAAGGUAUGGUGAAGAUACUGAUAACAAACUUCACAAGGCACGCUAGGGCAAUAAUUAGGGUAGUGACGGUCGUGACAAAUAUUACAAAGCACGUAAGGGCAAGAAGGACAAGGAGGGUGCUCCUUAGAACACUCAUUGCAAGGCACACAUGGUCUUUUGUGUUUAUAAGCACCUUCGCCCGACACUGGUCCUCUGAUCACAGACCCCAAGACAUCAGGAAUAUCGGUUGCUGUUUGUUUGCAGUUCAUCACCUUAGAACCCUCAUCCUCAUUAAUGCGAGACAAUGCGAACUGGGACAUGUCUCUGUAAAAAUCAUCUUCACCCCCCAUUGGAACAUAGGCGGCUUUUUGUUCGCGGUUCACCUUAGAAUCCUCAUUGUAAGGCCCCAUGAACUCUGACCUGAAUGGGACGGGGGUAUAGGAACCUGUUUGUUUCAGUUCCAUUGUUAGAUACCCAUAAAAGAUAAGAAAAUAAGAAUCUUAAAUGGUUGUAUAACUUUAUGCAACAAUAUAAGUACUGGUAUGUGUGUGUGUCCCUAUUAUAUAUCUGUCUUAUCAGUCAUGACUCAUGAGUACGUCUAGCUUUGCUAAACGUACAUUACAUAAAUUCCCGGAACAAAGUCGAGCAUAGGGGUUUGUAAAAGCCAAUUACACACGUACGUACACCAGGUUGUAAUAGGAGCCAGAAAGAACAUAGUAGAGAAAGCAAUCUCAACAUUAUAACUACUAUGAUCCACAUAUGCAGCAGGGAGAAACAAAUUAACAAGACAAAUUUCAGAUCUCUCUCAAAUACAAUAUAGCGGGAUAAAAUCACAGUUACUAAUAGUAUUCUAACACAAGGAACAACUUAACAAACUAAACGGGAACGACUUAAGCAGAAAAAACCUCAAAAGAUAAGAUAAGAAAAAAACCUGAACCAUCGGAUGCUGUGUAGCCUUUUCCAUCGCUGCAUUCAGAACUGGAACUGAACGGUUUCUUUGUAUCUGACAAGAUCUAAAUUCCGGAUUAGCAACAACAAUUUUCAGAUUGAAUUCGAAAGUAACACAUACUUUCACAAUCAUUAAUCAUAUUUUCAUCAAAAACCACGAAAUAGGGUUCCCUUGAGCAGAGACAGUUUUUAACAAACUGUUAUUUGAAAACAAACGGGUAAGAAGCAAACGAACCCUAAAAAAAGAAGAAGAUAGAGUAUAACUUGUUUCAGAUCACAGCAAAAUUAUACGAAAAGAGUUCAUACCAGGAGAAGAGGCGUCGAGAGUCUCAAAGGAGAGGGCUAACUUUUUUACAUCUCCCUGAGAGCUCGCGUCGGAUGCAGCCAUACUUUCUAGGGUUUCGAUUCAAUUAGAGCGCCAAAGAACAAUGCUAAUGCCUAAAGGGUUUCUUACGCCUUUUGUUUCCAAGAUCGCAGUGGGCCGGGUCAAGUCGCACGGUUUGGGCCGGGUUCUUCAAUUUCCGAAUACCAAUAUGUUCCCCCGCCCUGAAAUGUCCAAGUGUCUAACUGUUAUUGGCUCACAAGAUUUACACGCAUGGCAGAAAUCCACUGGGAUAAGGUAUAUAUAGACACACAUGACUUUGAGUUCUUCCUCUGUUCAUUCAAACCUUAUCUCUCCAAUGGCCAUCUCCAGUUCUUCUCCAAGUUCUGGAGACUGGUCAUCUUUGCCUUCUUUCAUAUCUUGCAGAAAAUCCCACAAAACACACAACCUCCAUUCCUUCUUUUCCAUUCCCAGAUGGACCAAUCUUCGAGCUAAUUUCCAAGUCAUCAACUCCUCUAGCUGCCCUUCUCCAAUUCUCGAAGAUCAAUCAUCGACCAACUUGUCACUCAUAGACCUGAAACUUCAACAACAUCAGACCCCGGAUGCCGGAAAGUUGAAUGAAUUCCUAUGUGAGCUGUUUCAAGAUCCAGAGAAGGAAGCAAUGGGGUAUGAACAGUAUGAGAAGGCCAAGAAGGUCGCAGAAUUCAGACCAAACAAGUCAACAUUGGAGCAUGUAACGAGGUAUUUGGUACGAUCCAAGAAAUGGGAUUCAAUUCUUUCGGUUUGUACUGAUUUCAAGACUUAUGAUUUGCUGCCUGAUAGAUAUACAUGUUCUAGAUUGGUUACUAGCUGCAUUAGAGCUAGGAAGUUCAAGGUUGUUAGGACUUUGCUUCAAGUGUUUAAGUCUGACGGCGAUGUUGCUCUGCCGGCCUUGGAUUCCGCAAUGAGAGGCUACAAUGAGCUUCAUAUGUAUAGAAGUACAAUGUCUGUGUUUGAAGAAAUGAUAUCUGCUGGAAUUGGACCGGAUUCCGGGUGUUAUUGUAGGAUAAUGGAAGCUUAUUUCAGAAAAGGUGACCAUAAAAAAGUUGUUGAGUUAUUUCAGGAUUUGAAAAGUAGGCAAUUAGAUUUGACACCAUUGUCAAUUCAGAUUCUAUGCCAAUCUUUAGCCAAAUUGGGGAAGCCUCUAGAAGCUCUAGAGAUUUUUCGAAGUGUGACAAAGGAAGGCGUUUCUUUAGACUCUUCAAAGAUAUAUUCUGUUUUGAUUAGUUCAUUUGCGAGCAUUCGAGAUGUGAAGGUGGCUGAAGAGCUAUUCAAAGAAGCAGAAACCAAGAAAAUGUUGAGGGAUCCGACGGUGUUUUUGAGACUGAUCACAAUGUAUGUUGAAGAAGGGUUGCUGGAUAUGACUCUUGAAGUAGUUAAGGCAAUGAAGGGUGCAAAUAUCAGAGUUUCGGAUAACAUAUGUUGCGCAGUUGUGAGUGGCUUCUCCCGGAAAAGCACGCUUCUGAAUGCAGUUAAAGUGUUUGAAGAUUUGAUCUUAAUGGGAUGUGAACCCGGGCAGGUAACAUACGCUUCAGUAAUCAAUGUGUAUUGUCGUCUUGGGCUUUAUUCUAAGGCUGAGAUGGUAUUUAGGGAGAUGGAAGAAAAAGGAUUUGAUAAAUGUGUGGUGGCGUAUUCAAGCAUGGUUGUUAUGUAUGGGAAGACAGGAAGGCCAAGAGAGGCAAUGAGGCUUGUCGCCAAGAUGAAAGAAAGAGGGUGUAAGCCAAAUGUGUGGAUCUACAAUUCUUUGAUGGAUAUGUAUGGAAGGGAUAAUAAUACGAGGCACGUUGCAAAGCUAUGGAGCGAAAUGAAGAGAAGGAAGGUUGCACCAGAUAAGGUGAGUUACACUACUGUUAUAGGUGCUUAUAACAAGGCAGGGGACUUUGAAAUGUGCCUGAGGUUUUACAAUGAGUAUAGGAUUCAUGGUGGUGUUUUGGAUAAGACCAUGGCUGCAAUGAUGGUUGGGGUUUUCUCCAAGAGUGGUCGAGUUGACGAGUUAGUGAAGCUUCUGCGAGAUAUGAAAGCAGAAGGAACAGGACUAGACGUGAGGCUUUAUCGGUCUGCCUUGAAUGCUUUGGCAGAUUCUGGUCUGGAAAUGCAGGUGAAAUGGUUGCAAAGUAGCUUUGAGGUGACAUAGAAAUAGAGGGCUUGAUUGUAUAGUGUACAAAAUCCCAGUGCUUGGCGAAGGCACUCGUUCAAGUAUGUUCUCUACUAUUAGAACCUCGGGAGUUCUUUGUAUUGGAAAUUGAAAUUGCAUAUAGAAAAAUUUGUUAUACUCCCAUCAUUUUCAUGUAGGUAACUGAUAUUUGAAUGUGGAAUAUACACUUAAAAGUACAAUUUUAUCGUCUUCAAUAACUUUAAAUUUCUUUAGAAGAUCCGGGAAGAACUUAUUUUCAUAUCCAUGGAAUUUAUUUUAUAAACUACAAACAUAUAAAGCACCGUAUAAGUUUUACAAUUGAAUGAAUCAAUGGAACAAGACAUUGCUCUUUUUCGUUGCUUUGCUGCUGACACUCUGGCGUAUGAAGGCUCAGAUUUCAGUUGAGAGCACUACAAAUCCUUCUUAUCUGCCCAUUUGAGCCAGUGAGAGGGUUAAUGUCUCCCAUCUUGAUCAUGGCAGCCGCAAAAUCAGCCUUGAAGUUUGCAGGUUUGGAGCUAUACUCCGAGACAAUGCUGUCUGUGGAUCCUCCACUAAAGAGAACUUGAUCGGAUGCAAGAAGACCCUUCUUCUGGAUCAAGUUCUUGAAGUAGUUGUUGUCCAGUUGAUUUGGUGUCACCAAAUCAAGUGCUGCCAAAUUUGCAUCACCAUCAUUAGCUGCUGCGGGACAAGUACGUCCGCGAGUACGAGCAAAGUUAGCAUCAAUGUCACUGGUGUUGCUGUAGAUUCUUCCGCGGAAUGUGAAGCACUGAGCUUGUCCGAUGGAAUGUGCACCUGAGAGCGCAACCAAGUCUCUGGCAUUGAGGCCUAAACCAGCAAACCUGUUAGUAAGGCUUUCAAGGCUGUCUAAGAAACUGGGAAGCGAGCUUCCAGCUAGGCUUUUGCUUGCUGUGGUCGAAUCCCUUCUUCCAAGCUUCACCGACCAGUCUGGACCUCCAACCUAUAUGUAUACAUAUUAUCAGUUCCAACAAGUAGAACAAGGGAAGCUAGAAGUUGGUGAACAAAAAAAUGAAUGAAUCAAGUACUCACAGCAACUGAAGCAUCCCUAGCAGCCACAGCGACGAUAUCUGCACAAGAAACUACACCAGGACAUAGUUUCUCCACUUCAGAUUUGGCAUUAUCUAUGACUCCAUAUCCUCUCACAGAGUUCAGAUUAGGCGGUGCGGUCUUUUCGCCUGUGAUGGAAGAAGUAUCGUCAAGUAAGAUUGACGCAUCACAACCCUGAAAACACAUGAGUACUGCACCGUAAGUUAUAGCUCAAAACGAAAGGCAUCAUUUAGUUGGUUAUAUUUAUAGGUUAAUUAGUACCUGAACAAAGCAGUCAUGGAAAUGCAGGCGGAUUAGGGAGGCUGCCAUCCGACGUUCAGCUGAGACUGCUGAUCGUAUGGAUUUUCUGAUCGUAGCGAGAGCGUUUGGACAUGCGUUGUCAUAAAAUGUUGAGGAGGAGAGCUGAGCUGAGCUUGUUGUGCUCAUCAGGGCAAGCAACAGCAGCAGUGCAAUAGAGGCAACAUUUACAUUUGAACUAAAAGACUUCAUCAUUGAACUUGAAAGUAAAAACUCCCCUACUCAAUACCAAAACCAAUUUACGUUUUGGAUGUGUAAAAACUUGUACUCGAAGCAACUAAUUUAAAACCCUAUGAAUUGCGAAUGAAGUUGAGGAAAUGAGAAGGAUUGAAGGUGAUGAAGAUUAAGGUUAUAUCUCGCAUGUAUUUAUAGGGCAAUUUUGAGUAAAGUAGACCUUAAGGUUUGCCCUGGUCACUAUUUACUGCUAACGCGUGCCCCUUUCAACAAUACCACUGUUCAAUUCUGAAAAUGACCCAUUCUGAUUUGGUAGGCAAAAAAGUCACCGUUUUUUACAUGCGUUAUCCUUUGACAAAUCUUAUCUGGAUCAAGUAAUAUGCUCUCAAACUGAUUAUGAAAGGUAAUCAUAUGCAAAUAAUAGAACUAGACCUCGCUAGUCAUUGUCUUACUGUAAUCAAAGUCUCUAAUUGUGAUUAAAGGUCAUAUAAACAGCUAAUCUGUUAUGCAUGCAUUUCUUUUCUUUUUUUUGGUCGUGUUAUGCAUGCAUUUGGGUAUCAUAUAUGUAAAGUCAGAAUAAAGAUUCUUGGCCUAUAUGGGUUGAACAUAGCAGGCCAUGCUUUGUUCUUGUUCAUAGUAUUUUUCACCAGUAUAAUAAUCCGAAAACGAAGAAUUAAACCACAAAAGGCCAGAGCUAGCGCAUAAUUCAACUCAUACAUAUUUGAAUCCCUCAACUCAUUUGACUAAUGCUCAAGCAUCCACCAAACUCAGCUUUAGCUGUAACUCAUAAUCUUGCUUAGAAGCUCUGAAGAUGUCAACAUGUUCUGCAAUCAUAUUUUACUAGUUCUUCUUAUUAUGUAUAUUAGCUGACUUUCUGAAAGUUACACAAAUGAUGACUUGGUACUUGCAUAGAAUUGUCUCUUCAAUACUCGUUCGCAUCACCAAAGCUAUAGUAAUCGGAGAAAUAAAUGCGGAACAGAAAUAGUCGUAGAGCAAUUACAACUCGAAUCGAAACAUAGCCAAUACUGAAGGUGAGCAAUUUCAUUCUUUCUUCACAUCAACACCAUCCACCGGCGGCAAUGACUGUACACACAAAGCAAACACAGAACCCAUCAUUUUUUUUAUACGAACCAAUUUCAUCAAACAUUUUUGUAAAGUCGAGUGAGGCAUUUCGUCGAACAGGUUACGUGCACUAAUUCAUAAUGAAAUUUUUUUGGAAGUAGAGGUAGUGAGAAAGAGAAGAGAGAUAGUAAGUGAGAUUACGAGAUCGGGUUUGUAGAGAUUGUGGACGACGGAGGCUCCGGCGAGAAGCGAAGCGACGACGACGACGCUGGACCAAGCCAGCGAGGGAGUGCCGGUCGGCAGUUUCCCUCCCCCGAACUUCUUAUUCAUAGGUGAAAUUUGAAAAGAGCUCAGUGACGUGCAACUAGAUAGUUUUCUUCGCCGGAACUUUGGUCGGAAAGAGUUGGUAUUCGCCGGACUGUUUUCUUUUCUGGUUAGACGAAGUGGUUAUUACAGUAUUACUUAUUGGGGAAGGCGACUUCAACGACGUCCUUUCGGGUCGAAUGUUGUUAAUGGGUUUCAAAGGGGAUCCGCCCGCCAGGGCAAAGUUAUCUUUGUUCUUGGGCUUGAUCUAAAAAUUAGUUUCAAGAAUCCUAUUAUGAUGCGAAAAUUUUACGACUUGAAAUGCAAGAAACAUAAGCGUUUAAGCUAACAAUGUAUUGCCUCGUAGUUUAAUAUAUUUGAUGUGAUUUAUAUGCUAAUUUUGUUGUAUACGGGACUCUUACUAUGAUUUGAAACACGUUUAGUAUCCAUAUUCGUGAUUAUUUGUUUAGAUGAAAUUGUUUUGGCCACGAUCCUCAGCGGGGAUACAGAGAUAACUUAGUAGUACCAAAAGUAAACAACGGGCGCAGGGUGUGCCACCGCGCGGACGCGGAAUGAGAACAGCGUGUGCUUGGCUUCUAAUCAAGCGAAAAUAGGGCUCCGGUGCCACCUCGCAGACGAGAGAUUACGAGUAAGCCUUUAUUCACCUGUGAAUCGAUACUCACUGUUAGAGCGAGCAGAGCAACUAAUCAAGAAGAAAAUGCGAGUCUGAACGGGCUCUGUAAACCAGAGCUAGAGAUGCUUUAGCACUUAGGGUUUUGAGGAGGCUCGAAGAUUUGUUUGUAGUUUAUAUGAUUUGAUUGUGUGUGUUGAAUAACCCUCGAGCCCCCUUUAUAUAGUGACUCGCGACUAGCUGAUAGAGAUGCAAUCACAAACCAAUUUAGACUCAACAAUUAGAAUGCCACAAGAACACGCCUUACUCGCGAAUUGCCUUAUCCAGACGACACGUGUCCAGUCGCACAACAGACUCCGCCUAGAUCACAAGCACUGCCUUCACGCUAUCCAACUGUAGUCCCCCAUGCGAACUCAAAUAAUGAGCAACCUUAUCUCGCGAGGUGCCACAAUCCUUGUCAAAAUCUAUCUCGCGCGCCUCCGAAGCUCGCGACUCUUAACGGCCUUUAUAUUAAAAAAAUAUCCCAGGUAUUGGCUCAAAUACUAUCCAAAAACUAUUACGUGGUCUUGGACCAAAAUAUCCACUCGGCUCAAACAGAAAUUUCUAAAUCAAAUGGUAUCUAAGAUGAGAAAGCUGCAAUAUAAAUGUACGGCAUUAUAAUCAUAUACAAAUCCAAGUUACAUAUAUCCAGAUGAUCUCCAAAUUGGAUGAAACUUUACAGGAAUGAUCUACACACUAUAUUCUAGACACAGAACAGUGGAGAUAUGAAAAUGUGACUUAAAAAUGAGCGAAAUGAGAAACACCACACUUUAAUUUUAAAAUUGUGUCCCUCUCGGGAAGAAAACUGUAUAGAUCAAUAAAUCAUCAUACUUAAAACACGACAUCACCUUCAUAUAUAUUCGAACAUUUGCCAAGUUUGAUUAAUCCGAUCCCUUGUAUAGAGGUGUACGUACGUGCUUAAAGCUAGCUGGGUAUAGUCAUGACAGGUCACAAGUACAUACUGUGGUGAGUCACUUUCCCGAGUUUGCUCAACCAUGGAAUGAGCAGCAGCAUGGGUUUCUCAGUCUCACACACAUGGGAUAUCUGCAUUUUACAGGUACUCUCUACUCACAUUUAUGAAGGAUCGAUAGAAUUCGAGAUGACAAUACUUUAAUAUCCAAGAAAGUGACAAGACUUGUACCUUGCCGAGAACAUGAUUAUAAACAACUAAUGAGAACAUGAUGAUGAACUUAAAGCAUUACAGAAUCGUGUGGGAAAGAGUUGGAAUUGUCGGCCGGAUUGUUUUCUCUGGUCUCCGGCAAAGACGAAGUGUUAUUGGGGAAGUUGAUUUGUGUUCUUAAUGGGUUUCAUAUUUGGAAUCAAGCCCGCCUAGGGAAAUCUAUCUUCCUUUGUUAUGGUGCUUGAUCAGGAUUUCUUUACAGUGCAUCUGGUUAUGAUUUGAAAGCACAUAGAGCAUCAUUACUGGUAAUUAUUUCUUCAGAUUGCUAAAGGAAGGAUGCAUACUCAAAACGCCUGCUAAAAAGAAAGAACCGAAGUGCGGCAUUACAAUCCUACACAAAUCCAAGCUACAUAGAUCACCCAACCUUAAAACACAGCAAGUAGACACAAACAUCAUUUAUUCUAAACACGUAGGUACGCUACAAUUAUAUGCAUCCUUCUUGCAUUGCUAAUUACUCAUUAACAGUGUUUGGUGCAGAAGCAUCUGCGGCGAAGACCGCGGCAGUCGCCUCCACUGAAGCCCUCAGUUUUGCAAACAGAUGCACAGUUGGUCUCACUCAAGCAAGUUCCCUUGAACUUGUGGCUCAGACUCUCACAAGUUCUUGCUUCUGCGACCAUUGUAUUUGGCCCCAUUCCUACAUACAGUUUAAACACACACAUUAGUAUUCAUACAUAAAGUUCAUUUACAUCUAGAGAUCAAAACAGUCAGUAAAUAUCAGAAGAAUGUAGAUAUUGAUUAUACCAGUAGCCACCAGAAGCAGAAGAGCGACGAAGACAGCCGAAAACAUACGCAUGAAACUCUCCAUUAUCUUCUUGUUCUUAAUAGCUCUUAACUGUGUAUAGGUGUGUUGAGGAUGAGAUGAGAUUACAAUGCAAGCUUACUAGCCUUUAUAUAGAAGCUGUCCACUAAUUAAGCUAGCUGAGUCAUCCGAAAGAUCGAGAAAGCCAUAAUGGUAAAAAGGAGGGAGGAGCUGGGGACGAGUCAUGAAUGGCGAGUAGGGUAUGGUCUGCACUAACAUCACUGCUUUUUCUGCUUUUUUUGAUUCUAGCGAACCACACGUUUGUGAAUUGUGUCAAUUCAAGCUCCAUUGAGUUGGCAAACCUGCAAUGAAUUACUGAAUACUGACUCAUUCUGCAAAGUUAGCUCAAUCAUGCAUGAAUGGGUAACAUGGUCUUCUCAAACUAGCUAGGGAUAUCACCGUCAACCAAUGUUGUACAUAUGUGAAGGAUAGAAUUCCAGAUAACAAUAGUUUAUGGUAAAGAAAGUCAUGAACUCAUGAUACACGUAGCUAAUGAUAAUGAAAUAUGUUUAGAAACCUAAAGGUGUACUCAACUACAUAAUAAGAACAGGGUAGAGGCUGCUUAUAGCAUUACAGAAUCAUAGGUGGUGCAGAAAAUGGAAAAGGAAUUUAGCCCAACAAUGGAAAUCUACCUUUUAGAAAAGAAAGAUAACACAGAUAUUGAAAGUGAGGAUCAUGAAUUUGACUUGUGUCUACCGACAUUGAAGAUUUUAACCUUACACGUACAGUAGCCAUAGUCACCCUAUUUCUUUCUGAAAGCAAAGCAUCUUAGCCAAAUACAACUUUCCUAUUUUUCUCUUUUCUUUGUUACAAAAUUUCUACCAUUCUAAUGGAUAUAAUAUACUGUUUAUUAUCAGCAAAGAACUGAUGGAAAACUGAGAAGUAAGAACCAACCCAAAAUUAAUCUUGACAACAAGACUACAAGAGAAGAAAUAGAACAAUUAAAUUUCUGAUAUAUAAUAGCUAGUAUGCUUCUACAUCAGAGAAAACCAAACAUAUGAAGAGAAAUAUAAUUUUCUUGAUUGAAGUAGAUGAUUGAUGACAAAGGAGAAUACAUGUUUAAACUACUACAGUACUACAAUCAGAGAUGCUAGCUAGCUAGACUAGGAUUUUGUCUUCAUCUAUUUGCUCUAGGUUUGUCUUGGCUUGUAGCAUAAGGAUGGACCUUGUGAGCAGAGCACGGUGGCAUUUGCAUGCAUACUAUUGUGUUUCAGAUAUGGACUGCUAUUUUUUUUUUUUUUUCCGAUUAAUGGUAUGCUGCUGGUGUAUUGCAAUCCUAUAUGCUUAUCAGUAAUAUAUAUAGUCGAAAAAGAUUCUAUAUAAAACAUGCAUACAAGGUAAACUAAAGGCUUAUUUGGUACAUUUUUCCCUAUCAGCUUGGGUUCCCCCAAACUUCUUCCUUAGAGAUUCUACUUCUUCAUCUUUCAACGUCGUAAAUAAUGUUUUGGGUUCCCCAAUCUUGUGACCAUCAGCUACAAUCUCCCAAGGCCGUUUUGAUUUAUUGACAUCACAAAGGGAUUUGAUUGACUCAUGAGGCAAGUUCAGCUGCUCAAGUACCCUAGCAGAAAUGGAAGGCAUGUACGGUUCCAAUAAGAAAUCAAGAAGAUGCACUAACCCUACUGAAGUUUUGAUGACAAUAGAGCACCGAGGCCGGUCCUCCUUGUAGAGCUUCCAGAACUGGGAUCCUUGGAGAUAUGCAUUCCCCUCGCUAGAAAUACUCAUUGCUAAUUUAAGCCCUUGCUUUAGUUUGAGCUUCUCCAUUGCUUCCAUGUAUUGCUCUACAUGUCUGCCGACUUUUUCUGCUAACUCAACUGUCAAAGCAUCAGAGUCUGCACCUGCAGCCUCAGGAAUUAUGCCACCAUAUCCUCCUGAAGGUUUAGCAAUGAAACUCAAAACUCUGUUGAUGAAGUCGCCUAAAUUACCAACCAACUCACUUUUGAGUUUUGUUUGUAAAUCGGACCAAGCAAACUCAGUGUCGGAUCCCUCAGGCCUAUUAGUCAGCAAGUAAUAGAGCCACACUUCAACUGGAAUGCCUGUGAGUUUUGCAUCGUUUCCGAAAACUCCAAUGCCUCUACUCUUAGAAAACUUGCCUUUUUCAUAGUUUAAGUACUCAGUUACACUGAUAUUGUUCAUGAGUGUCCAAUUUUCUCCGGUUCCAAGAAGCGCUGAGGGGAACAUGAUUGUGUGAAAUGGCACAUUGUCCUUCCCCAUGAACUGACACAAUUCGACAUUCUCGGGAUUCUUCCACCACUUCUCAUACUGAUCAGGAGUGUAGCACUUAGUAAUGGAGAUGUAUCCAAUAGGUGCAUCGAACCACACGUAAAAUACCUUGUCUCUGAAGCCAUCGUGUGGAACUGGAACACCCCACUUGAGAUCCCUUGUAAUGCAACGUUGUUUAAGCCCCUCGUUGAGCCAUGCUUUUGUGAUAUGAACCGCAUUCUGGCUCCAACACCCUUUCUCUGAUGCUACAUUGAUGUACUCUUUCAACCUAUCCUUGAGCAAAGGGAGGUCCAGAAACAAGUGACUUGUUUCGCAAAUCCGCGGAGCUUCCUUGCAAACCUUGCAUUUAGGAUCUUCUAAUUCGAUCGGAUUCAAGAGCUAUCCACACUUGUCACACUGGUCUCCUGGGGCAGAAUCAUAGUGACAUCUAGGACAUGUCCCCUCCACGAACCGGUCCGCUAAGAACCUGUUACACUUGUCACAAUGGAGCUGCUGGAUUGAGUUUUCGGCAAGGCAGUCAUUGUGCAACAGUUUCUUGAAAAUGUCUUGGCAGACCUCAGUUUGCUGUGGCGUGGAAGUUCGUCCGAAAUGGUCAAAGCUUAUGUUAAACCACUCAUACACCUCCCUAUGGAUUUUGUGGUACUUGUCACAUAUCUGUUGGGGGCUGCACUUCUCUUCCAAGGCUUUGGUCUCCGUAGCCGUGCCGUACUCGUCGGUACCGGAGAUAUAGAGGGUAUUGUAUCCCCGGAGACGGCAGUACCGAGCAAAGACAUCGGCGCGCUCAAGAUGCAGCCGAUGAUGUUGCCGAGGUGGGGGACGUUGUUAACAUAUGGCAAGGCACUGGUGAUGAGGACGUUUCGCUCUCCUGGUAUUGGGAGCUUGGGGACUUUCUGGUCCUGCUUGGUUAGAUUUUCCAUUGUCAACUUUUAUAGCCAUUAAGUUGACCAAUUUACCCUUAAUUUCUCUUUUUUUUUUAGUUUUUUUAUAUUUGUUUUCAUAUUCCAAAAAUAUUAGAAGAGGUUUUAGAAUUUGAUAAUUCGGGUUGAUCUUUGUAAACUUGAAGAAGAUUGAAGAGAAACAUCCAGAAGUUUAAUCUUUGUUGUUUAUGCUGACACUCAAUCUUUGUUGAUCUUUAUAAACUUGAAGAGAAACAUACAAAAGUUCAAUAUUUGUUGUUUAUGCUGACACUCAAGGAUCUUGUUGUUGCCGUUGACAAUGAAGGAUAAUUGAGAUGAAAAAUUGAUUAUUAACAAGGAGAAAGUGACGAUGAAUUUUUUUUCUACGUUCCUAAAAAUAUAAAAAAACCAAAAAAGAAAAUUGGAAUAUGAAAACAAAGAAAAGAAUUUAAGGGUAUAUUGGUCAUCUUUUUUUGGUUUGAGGGUAAAUUAGUCAUCUUAAUAGCUAUAUAUACUAAUCUUAGGUCGGGAUGGAAACAUGAAAUACCAAUCUAAUAUUUUUAAAACUUGGUAUACCAAAGUUUAUAAGGAGCAAAAGUUUGUAUAUCAUUCAGACGAAUUUCUCUUACAGAAAUGAUCUAUACACUAUAUUCUAGAUACAGAACGGUGGAGAUGUGAAAAUGUUAUCUAAAAGUGAGCGAAAUGAGAAGCACUACAUUUUAAUUUGAAAGUGGUAUCUCUCUCUGGAAGAAAACUGUAUAGAUCAAUAAAUCAUCAUACUAAAAACACAACAUCACCUUCAUAUUCGAAUAUUUGCCAAGUUUGGUUAAUCCGAUCCCUCGUAUAUAGGUGUAUGUACGUGCUUAAAGCUAGCUGGGUAUAGUCAUAACAGGUCACAAGUACAUACUGUGGUGAGUCACUUUCCCGAGUUUGCUCAAUCAUGGAAUGAGCAGCAGCAUGGGCUCCUCAGUCUCACACACAUGGGAUAUCUACAUUUUACAGGUACCUCUCUACUCACAUUUAUGAAGGAUCCAUAGAAUUCGAGAUGACAAUACUUUAAUAUCCAAGAAAGUGACAAGACUUGUACCUAGCCGAGAACAUGGUUAUAAACCUAAAUGUACUCAAACACCUAAUGAGAACAUGAUUAUGAACUUAAAGCAUUACAGAAUCGUAUGGGAAAGAGUUGGAAUUGUCGGCCGGAUUGUUUUCUCUGGUCUCCGGCAAAGACGAAGUGUUAUUGGGGAAGUUGAUUUGUGUUCUUAAUGGGUUUCAUAUUUGGAAUCAAGCCCGCGUAGGGAAAUCUAUCCUCCUUUGUUAUGGUGCUUGAUCAGGAUUUCUCUUACAAUUUUUUUACAGUGCAUCUGGUUAUGAUCUGAAAGCACAUAGAGCAUCAUUGCUGGUAAUUACUUCUUCAGAUUGCUAAAGGAAGGAUGCAUACUCAAAACGUCUGCUAAAAAGAAAGAACCAAAGUGCGGCAUUACAAUCCUACACAAAUCCAAGCUACAUAGAUCACCCAAACUUAAAACACAGCAAGUAGACACAAAAAUCAUUUAUUCUAAACACGUAGGUACGCUACAAUUAUAUGCAUCCUUCUUGCACUGCUAAUUACUCAUUAACAGUGUUUGGUGCAGAAGCAUCUGCGGCGAAGACCGCGGCAGUCGCCUCCGGUGAAGCCCUCAGUUUGGCAAACAGAUGCACAGUUGCUUUCUCUCAAGCAAGUUCCCUUGAACUUGUGGCUCAAAGUCUCACAAGUUCUUGCUUCUGCAACCAUUGCAUUUGGCCCCAUUCCUACAUACAUUUUAAACACACACAUUAGUAUUCAUACAUAAAGUUCAUUUACAUCUAGAGAUCAAAACAUACAGUGAGUAAAUAUCAGAAGAAUGUAGAUAUUGAUUAUACCAGUAGCCACCAGAAGCAGAAGAGCGACGAAGACAGCCGAAAACAUACGCAUGAAACUCUCCAUUAUCUUCUCUUCCUGUUCUUAAUAUCUCUUAUCCUCUUAUCUAGCUGUGGGUGUGUAUAGGUGUGUUGAGGAUGAGAUGAGAUUACAAUGCAAGCUUACCAGCCUUUAUAUAGAAGCUGUGCACUAAGCUAGCUGAGUCAUCCGAAAGAUCGAGAAAGCUAUAAUAUGGUAAAAAGGACGGAGGAGCUGGGGACGAGUCAUGGCGAGUAGGGUAUGGUCUGCACUAACAUCACUGCUUUCUGCUCUUUUUGAUUCUAGCCAACCACACGUUUGUGAAUAAUUGUGACAAUUCAAGCUCCAUUGAGUUGGCAAACAUGCAAUGAAUUACUGAAUACCGACUCAUUCUGCAAAGUUAGCUCAAUCAUGAAUGGGUAACAUGUGAUAAAGUAAUUUGAGGUUCACAUCCAAAACCAAUUAAUAAUGGGUGAAGUGACCCAAACCCUUAUAAACUCACAAGCAAGGUCUUAUAUUCCCGAAGUGGGAUUGAUAUCUCAACACGCCCCCGCACGUGUUGCGAAUAAUGGGUGAAGUGACCCAAACCCUUAUAAACUCACAAGCAAGGUCUUAUAUUCCCGAAGUGGGAUUGAUAUCUCAACACGCCCCCGCACGUGUUGCGAAUUUUCAAGCCUAACACAUGGACAACUUUUUGGGUGAUGUGAAGUUCGUGUGGCCAUUUGGGCUUCACACAUGGACAUGGGUAACCCGCUCUGAUAUCAUAAUAAAGUAGUUUGGAGUUCACAUCUAAAACCAAUUGGUAAUAGGUGGAGUGGCCAAAACCCUUAUAAACUCAUAAAUAAGGUCUCAUGUUCCCGAUAUGGGAUUGAUUUCUCAACAACAUGGUCUUCUCAAACUAGCAAGGGAUAUCACCAUCAACCAAUGUUGUACAUAUGUGAAGGAUAGAAUUCCAGAUAACAAUAGUUUAUGGUAAAGAAAGUAAUGAUACACGUAGCUAAUGAUAAUGAAAUAUGUAUAGAAAUCUAAAAGGUGUACUCAACUACAUAAUAAGAACAGGAUAUCUAAACUAGAGGCUUAUACGUGGUGCAGAAAAUGGAAAAGGAAUUUAGCCCAACAAUGGAAAUCUACCUUUUAGAAAAGAAAGAUAACACAGAUAUUAAAAGUGAAGAUCAUGAAUUUGACUUGUGUCUACCGACACUGAAGACUUUAACCUUACACGUACAGUAGCCAUAGUCACCCUAUUUCUUCUUCUGAAAGCAAAGCAUCUUAGCCAAAUACAACUUUCCUAUUUUUCUCUUUUCUUUGUUACAAAUUUUCUACCAUUCUAAUGGAUACAGCCUCAAGGUAUUAUUAUCUUAUAAUAUACUGUUUAUUGUCAGCAAAGAACUGAUGGAAAACUAAGAACCAACCCAAAAUUAAUCUUGACAACAAGACUACAAGAGAAGAAAUAGAACAAUUAAAUUUCUGAUAAAUAACAGCUAGUAUGCUUCUACAUCAGAGAAAAACCAAACAUAUGAAGAGAAAUAUAAUUUUCUUGAUGGAAGUAGAUGAUUGAUGACAAAGGAGAAUACAUGUUUAAACUACUACAGUAUUACAAUCAGAGAUGCUAGCUAGACAUUCCAAACAAGUCGUGGUAUUUCUCGCCAAAAAAAAAAAAAACAAGUCGUGGUAUACUAGGUUUUUGUCUUCAUGUAUUUGCUCUGGGUUUGUCUUGGCUUGUAGCAUAAGGAUGGACCUUGUGAGCAGAGCAAGGUGGCAUUGGCAUGCUAGGACUGCAUUUUUUUUUUUUUGAUUAAUGGUAUGCUGCUGGUGUGUUGCAAUCCUAUAUGCUUAUCAGUAAUAUAGUCGAAAAAGAUUCUAUAUAAAACAUGCAUACAAGGUAAACUAAAGGCUUAUUUGGUACAUUUUCCCCUAUCAGCUUGGGUUCCCCCAAACUUCUUCCUUAGAUAUUCUACUUCUUCAUCUUUUAACGUCGUAAAUAAUGUUUUGGGUUCCCCAAUCUUGUGACCAUCAGCUACAAUCUCCCAAGGCCGUUUUGCUUUAUUGACAUCACAAAGGGAUUUGAUCGACUCAUGAGGCAAGUUCAGCUGCUCAAGUACCCUAGCAGAAAAUGAAGGCAUGUACGGUUCCAAUAAGCAAGCAAGAAGAUGCACUAACCCUACCGAAGUUUUGAUGACAAUAGAGCACCGAGGCCGGUCCUCCUUGUAGAGCUUCCAGAACUGGGAUCCUUGGAGAUAUGCAUUCCCCUCGCUAGAAAUACUCAUUGCUAAUUUAAGCCCUUGCUUUAGUUUGAGCUUCUCCAUUGCUUCUAUGUAUUGCUCUACAUGUCUGCCGACAUUUUCUGCUAAUUCAAGUGUCAAAGCAUCAGAGUCUGCACCUGCAACCUCAGGAAUGAUGGCACCAUAUCCUCCCGGAGGUUUAGCAAUGAAACUCAAAACUCUGUUGAUGAAGUUGCCUAAAUUACCAACCAACUCACUUUUGAGUUUUGUCUGUAAAUCGGACCAAGUAAACUCAGUGUCGGAUCCCUCAGGCCUAUUAGUCAGCAAGUAAUAGCGCCACACUUCAACUGGAAUGCCUGUGAGUUUUGCAUCGUUUCCGAAAACUCCAAUGCCUCUACUCUUAGAAAACUUGCCUUUGUGAAGGUCCUAGGAGGGGGGGGGGGGGGGGNNNNNNNNNNNNNNNNNNNNCACAAUGAUAUGAGUUGAAAAGGUUUUUGGUGCUCAGCUCUAAGAUUGACAAUCACAGGGAAGACUUAGAGAUAUAUGAGCAGUUUAGCAAAUGCUAGACUCAAUGGAAGAAAACAAGCAAGACUAUUUUCAACAACCAAAGAGCAAGAGAGGUCUUGCUCUCUAUUUAUAGGCAAAGUGCACAGCUAUGAGGAAGCAAGCACGUUUGCCGCAUCAACAAGAUUCUUUUGGACUCUAGCUGCUUGUCUGGAAUACUAGGACGGAUAGGACCUUAGGGAUCCCUCCACUCACAAGACAAAAGCUGAGAAUAGACUUUCCUAGGAAAGACUAAAGCCAAAAGAAUAAGACAAAAGGUUUUGGGAAAACUAGAUCAGAUUUAGUCAAGCAUAAAGACUCUACAAAACCACUUUACCUAAGAGGACACUUAGGACAGCUGAUAGCUUGGGCGGUGCAUCACAUGGGCAGCUGCCAACUUGGUUUUUGAAUCACAAAACCCAGCUGGUUCCCAAAGGCUCAAGUUAUGUGGUCACGGGUUGGUUUGCCACACCACCUAGACUAACUUGGAGCUUAAGUACGAAUAGACUAAUGUUUUGCUAAAAGGUAUUUGAAUUUCAAACACUUAAAAACUGAAGCAAACACAUUUGAAUAUGCAUAUGGUCAGACCCAGUAGAUAGAACAGAUACAACAGGGGUAUCCGUUUAAUCGGGAUGACAAGCACGGCUGCCAUCCUUAGUGAAUGAAUGUGAUGCACAUGCAUGAACUACCUGAUGCACAUGAGAACAGUCAGGUCUUCAAUCUUCACUUGAGCUAUCUUAUGUCUUUAGGACAUGAAGUGCAGCUUGUGCCUUGUGUGUUUUGACCAUAAGUAAUUGCCAAUAAAUCUUAUACCAACAAUCUCCCCCUUUGGCAUUCCUUGUCAAAACACAACUUCAGAGAUUGUGCUGGUUUCAAAAAGAGACUGAAAAACCUGCACAAACAACCUUAAGAACAAGUGAAGAAUUGGAGGGCCAAAAACUCAUCUGUACCAACUAUGGGAUAGCAACAAUAUUAUGCAUCAUAAACUUCAUGACAUCAAUAACAACUAAGCACAGAAGUAAUGAAACAUACCAUAGCAAUACCAUAGAUGAAACAACAUAGAUUUUAACAACACGCCCCUACAACUAGUUCUCCCCCUUUUUGACAUGGAAUGACAAAGGGAGACCAGUGUAGCCGAGAAUGAUAAAUUAACCAGAAUAAGAUCAGAGCGAUUCAUCAUAAUCACAAGAACAUAUCAUCCUCAGCAUUAGCAACUCUAUUUCCAGCAAACUCAUAACUAUCAAGGGUGGCAAUAAUGACUUUUUCAACAGGGGAAAAGUCAAAGGCAAAAACCUCUUGAUUCCACAACCAAACAAGAGCUAUAAAGCAUAGCUUGGUGUGAAGACCCGGAAAAACCAAGAGAGAACUCUCGUAGGUUAUAUGAGGGAUACGAGCAGUCUAGAUAUCCUAGAGACGUAUGGUUAAGCAUAAGAUAGGAUCCUAAGAUCUAAGCUCAACAUCUACACCAAUGUCCCAAGGGAAAGUUUGCUCAAAUGUCAUUUACCCAAGUAUGGUUAACCCUAGGAAAGGAUACUAAGGAAUUAUCUCAUCCCAACCCAUCAACAAACUACUUCACAACAUGGGGAAGAGUUUCAGGGUCAAUAGACUUCUCAUAAACAAUCAACCUUGAGAGAGUAAUAUGUACUCAUCAAAGACAAGAUGAGAAGGAGGGAAAGCUAGGGAAACAUAAGGGCUUUUGGGAGACAAAAUGGGUUUGGCAUCCUUAUAGCAGCUGGAGCUUUUCCUUCAAAGACAUCGUCUCCAUCUCUAAGUUUAGGCACUUUCCGAACACUAGCAUCAACAAUAGCUGAACAACCCGGUCUAUGUCUCAGUAAGAACUGAAGAGAAUGAUGGUGGAAAUGUGAUCUUGAUCUUGGGAGAGAUAAGGUCAAAAGGAUCAAGAAAGAGAGAGUGGAGCAGUUAGGAUGGCAUAUAGGCAGCGGAGGAAGCGUCGUGGUUUGACGUUAGAGUAUGCCUCUAAAACUACAACUCACUCAAACUCAAAACAACUAGCUAGAUUUUAUUCCCGUCAAAUCUCAAAGCUAGAGUUUAAUCCCCUCGCCUAUCCUAGAACUUGGGAAACAAGCCAAUCAUCAAAGCAAAACCCAAGAUCCUUCUCAGAAUAGAAGAGAUGCUUCAUAUCACCUGUAAUAGGGCAUAACCAAAAACAAGCAAUCUCACAUUUAACUCACGAGAAUGUUUUGACUAAGAUGCAAAUAUGUGUAUAGCCCACAACAUCAAUAUACUCCCCCUAAAAGGGUGCAAUGCUCCCCCUAUGAGUGUGCAUAAUAUAAAAGAAGGACCAACUAGAUGCAAGAUCUAUAAUCUGAUCCAAAUCAUAUAAUUGUAAGCACAAGCUCACAAAGUCCUCAAACAACAUGCAAAGAGUGACACACAAGAGUUUCCAAAAACUUUUGACAACCUUAAUUUAGAAAAAUAUAAGGUGCAUGUGUGUACCACAAGUUACCAAUUACUCCCCCUAAGAAAGUGAAUACAUUACAAAGAUAAUUAGACACCUUGGGUAGAGUAAAACACAAUAUGAGCACGUAACCACAAAUCCCACCUUUUAGGAUGGUUGGAGCAUAGACUAACAAAGCAUAGACACUAAGACUUCCACAACCCUUCAUUGCUCAAACACUUCAUAUGAAUAUAUGACUGAAACAAGAUAACAUGGUCCAUGUAUCAUGACAUAUAUCAGAAGGUGUGUGUGAAAAUAGCAGUCUUAAUGGGGCGUAUAAGGUGGCAUCAACUGAGAUAAGAGAUGAGGUAUCACAAGAGUCUUGAGACCAUAGGUCUUUUCCAUCCUUAUAUCUCCUAAGAACAUCUUCAGCAUUCUUAUUUUCAACAUUUUGCAGCCUUAUUUAUUUAUUUUAGGCGCCUAGCUGAAAGAUCGUCCUUAUAGGUUUAUGAAUCAGGAAAACAUUGUCAUUGACUCCCAAACCAGUUGGUUUUAGGGCAACAUGUGUAACAAGGACACGCCUAGGACAGUUUUCCCAAACCCAUUGAAGGAUAGAUCAUGACUCAGCUAUCCCCACUGAUCAACAUAUCCAGUGUGAGACUAACUAGUUAAACAUUUUAGAUCAUUAUCUCAUCCUUCAAAUAACAUCCUCAAAACUAGUCUCUUUUCUGCCCACCCUCAUAUCGUUCAUCACGAUCGAGGAAUGUAUACUUUGAGACUAGCCUUGGUAUCCCAUCAUCAAACCAAUCUCGUUUCUGCCCACCCUCAUAUCGUUCACCACGACUGAGGAAUGUAUACUUUGAGAUUAGCUUGGAAUAAUUCUUGCACCAACUCAUCUCAAGUUUAUAGCACUUGCAUUUUGCACACCACUUAGACACACUAUGUGAGGCAUAUAAGUUUUUUUUUUAUAUAUGUCAUGACUUUCAGACCACAGAAGAGUAAGUGCAGAUGCAUAUAAUCAUAGGAGAUGUAGAGCAGGUAAGAUUUGUGACAAUCCUAGACGCAUACUUAGGUCAAGAUCAACCAAAACAUCCAGGGAUAUCAUACAGCUCAUGCAUCCUAAUCUUACGGAGACCACAUAUGAGAUAUACUGAUGAAUCAGAUGCAAACAUAUAUGUGUACAAGAAAACAACUAAGAUAAGUGAAACUGAUACACUUACUUAGGUCACAUUCAGAAACUGCCUAAGGAUAUCACAUGGCAAAGGUAUUCUGAAAACACAUGUAUAUUUUGAAUUUUCUCUUUAAGAAAGAACUUCUAAGAGUAAACACUUAUGUGCACAUAUACAAGAGUCUCAAGGGAAGUAAUCAAUCUCUUUGGCACACACCAAUGGCCUUUCAAAGACAUAUAAAAUGAAGGUUGUCAAGAGAUUUUGUAAACAAACAUGUAUAUUGAUUUUCAGUAGGUAAAAACACAAUUCAAGCAAGAUAUGUUCAACCAAAUUUCUGAUGAACUGAUACUUACUCUCAAUAUGCUUGGUCCUAGCAUGCAGCACAAGAUUCUUGAAAACAUUCAAAAACAAGAGUACUAUCACAAAGACAAUGAUACAAUACCUUGUUGAAAUCCAUAAUUAGCAUACAUGUGCUACAUCCACAAUAGUUGCAUGCAACAACUUUCUGCAGUGAGGUACUCGGCUUGUGCAGUGGAGUUGGACACACAAUUUGGCUCCUAAUUGACCAAGAGACCAAAUUGGUUCACCUAAAGAAGCAACUCCUAAUGUGCUCUUUCUAUUCGUGGCAUCGUCAUCCCAAAUCCAAGUUGGAGAAUCCUGCAAUAUCAGUAUUAGUAUCAUAUGAAUAACUAAGACCAAAAUCACAAGUACCAAAAAUGGAAUCUAUAGAUACGGUUUACCGCCUUCACAUGGGAUCCCUUGGGGUUGGCUUGACAAUGACAAGCCCUAUGGUUGUGAGGUACAAGAGAACAUCAAUUAAGCUCUUGUAAUGGGUUUGAUCAACAUCCAAACCUUCCAGAUCGGCAUUGAUCUUACAGCUCGUGCCUAUCGGAUUCUGGAUGGCAGUGCAAGUUUCCAUCCUAAAUUACUGGAUGGCAUAUAUGUACUGACAAAUAAACAUACAUUCUAUUUGCACAACAUGUAAACCCAUAAAGUAACUUAAAAAGACUCAUCUCAAAUAUUUCCAUCAGAGUGGUAAACUUACCAACCAAAAAUAUCAAAAAUGGAACAAAAACACAAUGAGCUUGUGCAAUUAUAAUGUGCCUUGAGGUGCCUUUGACAAAUAUGGUUUUGUAACUGAACCUCUCACAUAACCAUUUUCAAUCAAGUGUGUGAACAGUCUCUCAUAAGCUCUAGAAACUUGCUUAUGGCCAAAAAGGGCAUUGACUAACAUGUACACAUAAUCAGGAUGGGUGAAGCUUAAGAAUCCUAGGAGUUUGGAUCUAUGAACUAAGUGUCACAAACAACAUCAAGCAAGGCUUUUUAAACUGGUCCAGCUCCUCUUGCAAGGCAUUGAUAUAAAUAUCAUCAUGCAAAUCAGUUAUAACAAUUAUGGACACAAAACCAUACAUAAGCAAGAAGAGGAUAUCAUAUCAAUCAAACAUUUGAGGAUAGCAACAUAGUUUACCAGUCCACUUGACUUACCCUUAGUUUGUCUAAGCACAUUAGAAAUAGGUUAACGUCACCAAGUGAACCAUGAGACAACUUACCCAUCUUACAAUCCCUACACAUACCUCAAGGGAUACCAACAGGCUUUGGUAUCCUUCUUACACUCUCUUUUGAAGAUAGCUUCACAAUGUCCAGAUGAUUCAGGUGACACAUUCACCUUCCAUGAUACUUUCAACCUUUACCAUCAGGUUUCAAGCAUUUUGUUUGGUCAAAGAUAAUCGAGUCAUGCUUAUCAACAAACCGACUCACACUAGGACACUGGCUUUUUAAUCCCCUGACUAGGGAGACCAGAAGUGCUAACUGUCCCACAUCAUAUGAUUUUGGUUUUAGCACCAUCACCAAACACAACAUUACCGUAUGGGUAGGAUUUAUGAAUGGAUGUGAACCACUUUGGAUUACUGGUCAUAUGCCUAGAGCACCCGCUAUCCACAAACCAGGAGUUGGGUUUCCUAAUAGAAAGGUCAGUGAGAUCAACAUUGCAUAUGGCAUCUAUCAUAUCCUGAGGUUUAGGAUUGAAGUAGACUCUUGUAAAGAAGCAUGACAAAUAUUCAUCUGAGUCAUGACCAUGGUCAUGUAAGGGUUUGGAGUCAACUAGGACUCUUGGCCUUCCCACUUUCGGGUUUGCUCUCCUUCUCUCCAUUGGUUUCUUAACAAGAAUCUUAGGCUUUGGGAUGGCAAGGUUCUGUGCUAUCCUUGACAGUUCUUUCAGGGAGUUUUCUAAAGAUGACUGAAGAGUGUUGAGACUCUCCUUCUUCUGUGACUUCCUACAGUUUCGCUGACUGGAUCUUAACUUCCUACAAUGAGGACGAAUGUGUCCUAUGAUUCCACAAAAAUGACAAGUGGGAACAAAACGUUGUGGGAUAGUAGACUCUAUGGUAGUGGAAUUUAGGGGAUCUUUGCUUUUCACAAACAUGGUCUUGCUACCCUGAUUAGAGCUACUUCCUGGCACGAAACCUAGACCGGUUUUGUCCUUAUCGGACCUACCCAAACCACAGAUUUUGGUCAACUUUUCAGAUCCAAGAGAGAACUUCUCAAAUUGGUGACGUGACUCACUCAAAGCUUUCUGAAGAUCUGACUUUUCAGAGGAUAGUGUGGAAACCAGUUUAGUCUGUACGUCUAAGCUAGUUUGUAAGGACAACACUUGGUUCUCUAGACAGACCUUUUCGGCUUUCCAUUUUGACUUACGGGAUAUGAACUUCUCAUGUAUCCCUACUUUAGUCUCCUUGCAUUUUGAAAGCUCAUUAGUGAGAACUUCAAUCUUUGCAAGCAUGGACUUCGAGGCAGAAACUAACCUAGCACACUUAUUAUGCAUGGUCAUGUCAGAGUCAUCAUCCUCAAAGGAUUCGUCUAGCAUAACAGAGGUAAUAAAAGCUACAGUCUCAUCAUGGUCAUAGGAUGACUCAGACUCACUAUCACUCCAGGUUACUUUGUAGGCUUUGUGGGAUUUAUUUUUCCUACUUGGACACUCGACAACCCUAUGGCCAACACCACCACAUUCAAGGCAUCUAUCAAUCCUCUGGAGGGAUCUAGGUUUAGGAUUCCUAUCACCUGUAGGAUCAUUGGUUCUAGGAUUCCUAGGAGAAGCACCUCUGGUCAUAUUGCGAUCAGAAAGAAAAGACAUUCUUUUCCUAAGCAGCUUAUCAAACUGUUUGGACAUGUAGGCUUCUAAACUACCCUCAUCAAACUCGGGUUCUGUUUCUUUUUCUUCUGGCUCUCUAACAGUGGAUAGGGCUAUGGUCUUCUCCUUUCUAGACUUCAUUCUCUUAGACUCAUAGGUUUUCAAGUUCCCUACCAGUUCAUCUAAGGUAUAUGUGUCUAGAUCUUGGGCUUCUUCUAUGGCAAUUUGCUUAGCCUCAAAACUAGGAGGAAGAGCACGAAGAAAUUUCUUAACAAUCCUAUGGAAUGCAAUGGGAUCUUCCAAUCCUUGACACUGGUUGGUGACACUAAGGAGACGACCAUGAAACUCAUCUAUACUCUCAUCUUCCCUCAUGUUCAGUUCCUCAAAUUCAAGAAACAGACUUUGAAGUUUUUGAGCUUUUACCUUAGAGUUACCUUCAUAGGUUGUGGCCAAGGUAUUCCAUGCGCUUUUGGCGGUAGGACAAGUAAUGAUUCUUCUCCGUUCCUUUUCAGACAAGGCCGAGAACAAGCUAUUAAGAGCUUUGGUGUUCAUUCUGAAAUCACCCUUUUCAUUAUCGUCCCAUUCUGAUUUGGGUUUUUGCAUGGAAACAGCAGAUCCCUCAAUCAUAGGACUCAUGGGAUGUAUCCAUCCCUCUUCGACAAUCGUCCAUUGUCUCCCAUCAUCUUGGGAGAUAAGGAAGGCAGUCAUCAUCACCUUCCACUGUGAAUAGUUUGUUCCAUUAAAGAAUGGUGGAGUAUUCACAGGGGUAGGGCCUCUAUAACAGUCCAUUCUCGGGACACAGAGGGGAUCUCACUAGCAAGCUAGUGACCUGCUCUGAUACCACUUGAAGGUCCUAGAGGGGGGGGGGUGAAUAGGCCCUGACAACUUUUUUGCUCUAUCCCGCACACAAGGAUAGCAAAGAUUGUACUAUCCUGUUUGCUGUGAGACUAAGUUGUGUAAAUAAAAAGGCAAGUACUGAAAGUAAAAGAUAUAACACCAGUACGUUUUUUAUACUCAGAAACCCUGCAACCAGGGAGAAAAACUGCGUGCCUCUGACCCUUGAGAGACAAACUAUUCCACUAUUGUAAAGACACUUCUUACAAGACUCACAACUCAGAGGAUAGCACAACACCUAGCUAUCCUGUCUAGUCUAACUACUAGCACUCAACUGAACUUGCUCUCUUNNNNNNNNNNNNNNNNNNNNNNNNNNNNNNNNNNNNNNNNNNNNNNNNNNNNNNNNNNNNNNNNNNNNNNNNNNNNNNNNNNNNNNNNNNNNNNNNNNNNNNNNNNNNNNNNNNNNNNNNNNNNNNNNNNNNNNNNNNNNNNNNNNNNNNNNNNNNNNNNNNNNNNNNNNNNNNNNNNNNNNNNNNNNNNNNNNNNNNNNNNNNNNNNNNNNNNNNNNNNNNNNNNNNNNNNNNNNNNNNNNNNNNNNNNNNNNNNNNNNNNNNNNNNNNNNNNNNNNNNNNNNNNNNNNNNNNNNNNNNNNNNNNNNNNNNNNNNNNNNNNNNNNNNNNNNNNNNNNNNNNNNNNNNNNNNNNNNNNNNNNNNNNNNNNNNNNNNNNNNNNNNNNNNNNNNNNNNNNNNNNNNNNNNNNNNNNNNNNNNNNNNNNNNNNNNNNNNNNNNNNNNNNNNNNNNNNNNNNNNNNNNNNNNNNNNNNNNNNNNNNNNNNNNNNNNNNNNNNNNNNNNNNNNNNNNNNNNNNNNNNNNNNNNNNNNNNNNNNNNNNNNNNNNNNNNNNNNNNNNNNNNNNNNNNNNNNNNNNNNNNNNNNNNNNNNNNNNNNNNNNNNNNNNNNNNNNNNNNNNNNNNNNNNNNNNNNNNNNNNNNNNNNNNNNNNNNNNNNNNNNNNNNNNNNNNNNNNNNNNNNNNNNNNNNNNNNNNNNNNNNNNNNNNNNNNNNNNNNNNNNNNNNNNNNNNNNNNNNNNNNNNNNNNNNNGUUUUGUACCAUAAGGAAUUGCCAAUAAAUCUUAUACCAACACUUUUUGAAACUAUAUGCAAUUGUUGAAACUGAUGCACAAAUGGUUCAGUUACAGUUGAGACAGCUUGAUAGUCCCAACAGUUCGAUUUUGGGACGCAUAUAUGAUGAUAUGAAGGUGCUGCUAGAGGAUCAUUCUAAUGUGAAGGUAGUGUAUAUGCAUAGGUGUGCAAAUAAAGCUGCUCAUCUAAUGGCAGCUCAUGCUUGUGCCCAGGCACAAGAGUUUUUCUAUUUUUCUUCUCCUUUUCUGCUAGAUGUUCUAGCAGCUGAAGCUACCCCUAUGCAAUUCAUUUCUAGUUCAAUAAAGUUUCUAACCUCCUUUCCCACAAGAAAAAAGAAGAUUAGCCUCUUUGUAAGUAAAUUAAGCAAGUUGUUUUUUCUGAAACACAAUAUACAAUCCAGCUCUAAUUUUCCCGCCUAAGGAAUAUGCAACAACAAAAGAAAAGGCUGGAGUGAAUAUCGGUCUUUCUCUUUCCAAUAGUCAUAUUUGAGACGUAUAGUAUCAAAAUCUAGUCCUUAUAAUACAAAUAAGCAGCAAACAAAUCAACACGCAAGUGACGCAACACAAGCAUGAUUACUAAAAAUAAUUCCAGAAACCAAAUUAAAAAAUUAAAGAUACGAAAAAUAAUGCAGUAGGCAUAAGACACCAAUGGACAACCUCAAUAAAUAAGCAGUAAAUGAAUUAGCAGUGAGCCAUGGACAUCUUCUCCAAGACUUGCUGGAACUUCUAUGAUCACCAGUCAUAUAACAGGCAUUUGCAAGAUUAGCCCAUAUAUUAUAUGCAUGUCCUGAUUUAGUAUCCACCAGUCAUCCUAAAGCUUAAAUAGUAUGAAGGAAAGCAAUGGAAUACUUGAUGAAACUUGGAACCAAACCCAUCAACACCAUACCCGCAACAACUGAACCAUAUCUACAUAAAGGAAGGGCAGCAUAAGUGAUCAAACCUGGAUACAUCUUUCUCACAGUUCCAAAUUUCCACUGAAGGUCGAACGUACAACAGUUCCAAGUUUAGAGAGAGAACUACAGGAAGUCAAAACAUAUAAAAGAUGAUGUUGUAGUAAUUUCACCCACAAAUAUUGUUUCCCUUGUUUCUUACAGCACUAUAGUAGACAUUGUGAAUCUUAAGGAACAAAAAAAUCAGCUACCAUAUGUGCAAAUCAGCACAAUAAGCAAAUCAGGUACCAUAUAUGCAAACACAACAGCCGAUACCCAAUUAUGGUCAUGCUCAGUGAGCAGCAGCAUUCCAUGAAAAGUAGCAAUCUAUUGUAAGGUUACCUUUAAAUAUGUAUGUUGCUCUUUUCUCUCCAAUUCCCUGUACCAAAAAUCCUGAGUCACUUGAUUUGGACCGGUGCUAGAACAUGUUUUAAUAAUGGAAGUGGUGCUCACCUUUAAUCUCUUCAAAUCUUCCCUAUUUAUAAGAAGGAAAUAGAUAAAAUAAAUGGUUAGGCUUGAAGAGUAAAGAACAUAAAUCUCAUCAAUCACUGAGGAACAGAGAAUUAAACCGGAAUACCCGUGAGGCUUUGACAUAAAUUCAUAGAGCAUUGCUCACAACACAACAAGGACCUUGAAAAAAAACUUACCUUCCUUUCGAUGCAGAAGUCACACUACCAUUUGCUUUCUUGCAAGAAAGAGGCCCAUUGACUUUGUUCUCAGAAAGAGGCAUUCGGGAGGCGGUUUGUUUCUUUGCUAUAGCCGAAGCUGUCAUGGAUACAUGGCCCUUAUGUGAUGGACGCACUUCUGAUCUUGUGAGACCUUUACUUUACUUUGUGACCCUGUGACAGCCUGAUUGGUGUUUUGAGAAGAGCGGGACACCACGCUUACCAUGUAAAUGGAAUCUUGGCAAAAUAACGGUUUCUACAAGUAAAAAAUGGGGGAUAUAAGGUGAUCAAGCAAGAUCAACAACAGUAGACCAUAAAUGGUAAACUUGUAGCUGACUUAGAGGCUUACCAAACAAGUGAUCAUCAGAACUCUACUCAUCCCUCCCAUGGAGUCUUACAAUAAGUGUAAUACCAACCAAUAUUUACAUAAACAUCAUCAUUGACUAUGGCAAAAAAACUCAGCUUCCCAUUUAUCAGCAACAUGAGAGAAGAACAGUUUAGCCUUCUCCGAGACCUCUUCAGGUGCCUCAAGAUGGUCCUGCCAACAGUGGCAUGGGGUUAAGUUGAUCAGAUUACUGACGAUAGCCUACAACAAAUUUGCCGUACAACUUUCAUAAUCAGAACCAUACAUUUAUACCUAAACUAUGGACUCACAAAACUCGAUCACAAAUCAUACUGUCAUACCUGCAAGCUAUGAUUUUCAAUGUAUUCCCCCCUAAAACAACAAGAAAUAACAAUCACAUCUCAUUGAUCAACUCCAUUGAUCCAGAUAAUCCACUUAACUAUUCAAUUAUACAUCAACAUUUAAACAUGAACAAUACACUUCUCUAUCCAAAGCCCAUAAUCAACUUUGAGCUGGGCAGCAACCCCAUUCUCAAAGUGUACCUAAAAUCUACUAAACCCACUAACUACACUACAGAACCAACCCAAAUGUGAUUAAAGCUUUCAUUUUUUCAUUGCACAUGAACUUCCACCAAAAACUGAAUCCCACAUACAAAACCAAGAAAUGCACACCUGCCCUGUAGACUCGGAGCCCGUGACCGGAAAACAUUGCCGGAGACACGUGAAGCCUUGCUCUGCAUUCUCCCUGUGAAACUUGAACGUAUCGAUCUGAUUCCGAUUUGGGUCUUUUUCUUUUCAAUAGUUCAUAUUGGAUGAAGAAGAAAACCACUAUUCUCACACCUGAUGGUAAAGGUAACAACAAUAAGCAAAUCAGGUACCAUAUCUGCACACACAACAGCCGAUACCCAAUGCUCAGUGAGCAGCAGGUUACCUUUAAAUCCAUGAAAAGUGCGAAUAAAAGGGGAUAUGUCAUUCUGUGUGCCGAACAAACAGACCAUAUAAAUAACAAUCAAGCCAACUGAACAAAACAAACCAAAAGGAUAGAGUAUCAUCCUAAUAGAAAAUGCCAGUAUCAUCAAACAAUACUCUGCCUGAGCUUCCAAGCUACCAAUUGGGAAACAAGAAUCGUAUAACAAUAGAUAGAUGAGUUCAAAAUCAAAGCAAAGCAGUUAUUCUUAGAGAAUCAUGAAGACUACAACCAAAAAGAAAGAAAAGAAAUAUAAAAACACAACAUAAUUAAUAGCACACAUCCAGCUGAAGUAGCUGAUCACAGUAUCUUGAAUAUAGUCUUAAACUUCUGAACCAGCUUCCAGUCCACCGAUGGGUCAUUCUGGUAGUAUGAAUUUAGUACAUCAAUCGACCUCCUUGAGAUAUGGCUGACAAGUUCAUCUUUACCCUUCAACUUCACCUGCUGCUGAUUCAGAUUCGUCUCAACUAUCUUAAUGCAAACCUCCUCGCCCAUGUUGGCAAUAUCAACACAUCUAUUGCUAUUCAUAAUCGACUCAACGCGUCCAACAACCACAAAGUCCCUCUGGUGACGGAUACAAAGUGGAGUCCCAACCUUGACAGUGCCUCGAAGAACUUUAACCCCCACAAUAAUUGGAUCUUUCUUGUGGAAAAUAUGGUCUGGUAAAAUCUCGAGCACACAUGGAAAGACAGCUUCCUUUUCCACAGCAGCUAACUCCUUCUCCUUUUCCUCCUUGAGGUUUUUCAUAUAGGCCUUAAUCACCUCAUGAAUUAUAUCACCAACAAAAAUCUUCACACCCAAUUCAUCUGCAAGUUUCUGGGCCUCCUUUGUCACUUUGACAUCAAAUGCCAA
rnacentral:lncRNA from 1 species